UCUUAAUUUGUUCUUGAUGAUUUGAGAUGACAGAUCCUAGUUUAUUAAGUUUUACAGUUCUAACAUUAAGGUCCUAAGAAAUUUAGGAUUUUGGGUUUAACACUCACUCUGUAUAAGCCAUGUUAAGUUCUUAGUUCAUAUUUAUUUUGGUUUAUGCCCAACCAUAUUUGGGUCCUCUAUAAAUUUAUUUUGGUCUAGGUCUAGAUAUGUUCUAGUCAUCGGUUUGAUUUUUCUUUAUAAUGAUUAAUUUUGGUUAUAGUUAUUAAAAUGUAUUUUUUUGUAAUUGCAAUGUGAUUGUGCUUAUAACUUAAAAAAAAUACAUAUAUUAAUUGAAAAAUAUAUUAUGUUUAACAUAUGAUUAUAUUAAAAUAUAAUGUCAUUUAUAAUUUAUUUUAAUAAUUAUUAAAGUAUGUAACACCCCUCACCCGUCUCUGUCACCGAAAUCGAAUUACGGGAUGCUACAGUAAAUAACAGAAUAAGAACAUGUGAAUUUAAUUCAAAAAUUCAACAAAACAUUCAUCAUAUCUCAAUCAUUCAAACAAACGUGUUUUGCAUACAGUUUUGAGCUUAAAUCGAGCUUACAAAAGCUCCCAAACCAUCCAUAAUCAAAUAGGGUCUUAAUUGAAAACUUAACAAAAAGUAGAGAAAUUCAGAAAAUAAGGGUCACACGACUGUGUAUCCAGGGUGUAUGACAGACAAUGACCGUGUGUGCAUGAGUCACAUAAUCAUGUCACCAGCCCGUGUAACUAACUGCAACCGUGUAAAACUAGAGUCGCACGACUGUGUAUCUAGACCAUGUAACUCACUGAAGCCGUGUGAACCUAAAUGCAAAAACUUACAAACAUUUACAUGGUUGUGCAACUUGGCCGUGUGAGAGACUGAGACCGUAUUAAAAAUCUAAUGACCAAAUCAAUAGUACCACACGGGCGUGUGGCCAGCCCGUGUAAUAAACUGUAACCUUGUUUACCCAAAGCUUCCCAAUCAAUAUAGAGCACAUGGCUGUAUCAUUUACCCGUGUGUGACACAUGGUCGUGUGUUAGCCCGUGUGUGUCAAUAAGUGCCUUACUAUGCAAGCUACCAUUCAAAAAUUUCACUUAGGUCAUGAAUAUAUAUUUAACCAUUCUUUAAACCUAUUCAAAAUGUAUAAAAAUAUGCCAAAACAUAUCAUUUCCUAAAUCAAACCAAUAUGCCUCAAGACACCAUCACACAACAUGAUUUAACACCAAGUACAUUUCAUUUCAUUGCUAGAAUAGAUAAUGACCAAAUAUAUGCCUUAUACAUGACCAAAAUACCAACUUUCAAUCACAUAUUAUUAACCAAAAAAUGCCAAAUCCAUAACUUAUAAGAUUAACACCAUAAUUAUCCUACAACUCAUGCUUUUAACAUCCAAAUUAGACAUUAAGCUAUUGAAUCUUGUUUACCAACAAACCUCACCUAUUUGAACAUCACAUACCAUAACCAAACAUGCCAAACAUCCAUGAAAGUCUAUCACAUUUUCCGUACUUAUCAACCAACUUCAAAGUUACCAUUUCAAGCCAUAAUCAAACAUAUCAAAAUGUCAUCAAACAAACAUACUUUAUAAACACCAUACACACUUUGCUAUUACAAAACACCUAUAUACAAUUCAACCCCUAUUACAUGAUACAUAACCGAAAUGAACAAUUAAAAGUCCACCAAAAGUGGUUGGAUAGUGUGAUUCUCAAGUUGAUCUGAUCGCCGAUUUUUGUAAAAUGAUAACUACAGAAAAUAGAAAACGAAACACAAUAAGCUUCAAUUAAGCUUAGUAACUUCAUAGGUUGGAAACAAUAUAACAUACCUUAAUUUCCAUGUCUAAAUAGCAAAAAAGUUAACUGAAAAUUUUACCUCGUUACCACAAUUCAUAUUAAUAGGUGUGUUUAUCACACUGAAGUCACAUAACCUUCCAUAUUAGACAAGUAGAUCUAAAACCAUGUCAAGUCAUUAUAUCAAUAAACAUAAGAAUAUUCUUAAAUCAUUUAUUUAUGCUUUACUGCAUUAUACCUAUUUACCAAUCAUCCAAUCUAUUAACAAUAAUUCAGCUUGACGAAACUAUUAUGAAUAGAUACAGAUAUUUGGUUAUCCAAUCAAAACAUAUCUGAAUGCUCAAAAGAGCUAAACCAUUCAAGAACAUGCCUUAGAAUUGAGUGCCAAGCUCGUAAGCUAAACAUCCCUCAGAAAACACGCCUAGGAACUAAGUUCCAAGCCCGUAGGCUACACAUCCUCCCCUAGAAACACGCCUAAAUCACUGUAAAUAUUACUCGGUAAUCCGCAACAAAUGCUAGAUUCCGAUACAUUCAGUGAACAUAUGUACAUAUCAUCUAUCAUCAUCUCAUCUCACAUAAAACCUGUACAGUGCGGAAAUAACCUAUUAGGAUGCCAAUUGUAUCCAAUCUCAUGUUCAUUUGGGCUCAAUACAUGUAAUAAUAUGUCACUUUUCAAUCAAGUUCUUUUUCUCACCUUUGUAUCAAUUACAACAUUUGAGUUUACAUUUAAACAUUCCAAUUAUAUAAUACAAACAUAAAUAUUAAAAAAAUACCUAGAACUAUACCAUAUGAACUUACCAAGGAAUAGCAACAAUAGAAGAAGUAUUAGGGACUAAUAUGCUAUUUUUCCACUUCCUCGGUUAUCUACUGGUUGAUUAAUUUAUUGAUCUAUACGGUAAUUCAUUUCAAAUUAUUUGUUCUAAAUACCUUAUAACAUCUUACUUAAUGAAUAUGACCUCCUAUUAUCAUUUUCACACUUUUUCUAAAGUUUUACAUUUUAUUCAAUUUAAUCCCUAAAAACGUAACAAGCAUAUUUUCCAUAGUUAAGCCCCAAAAUUUAAAAUUGAACUCAUUCUCAUCCCUUUACAGCUCUCCAGCAUCUAAAUUUAUAAGAAUUUCAUGCCAAUUUUAAUAAAUUAUCAUUUUAGUCCCUAAACUCAAAACUAAUCAAAUUCACUUAACAAAAUAGUCUUAUUUCAUAACAAAGCUUCAAACCCAACCAUUAACAUCAAAAUAGCUUUAAAAAAAACAAUGAAAUCUUUUCAAAACUUUAACAAUAUUACGACAUAGUCCCUGGGCUAACUAGAUUAAAUUACAACAUUAUAAAAAACAUAAAAUGAUCUAAAAACGAGCUUCGAAUUCACGUACCUGCAAAGACUUAAGCUUGACCGAACUUUCAAAGUUCAACAAUGGUGUUUUGGUAGGAAAGAACAAGUAAAUGAAGAAGAUAACUUUAAAAUCCUAUGUUUUAAAUUUUAUUAUUAACAUUAUUUUAUGUAUAAAUUAAUCAAAAUACACCUAAUAACCAUCCACUAUAAAAAAAUAUGGCAUAAUUGCCAUUUUAAAACCAUCAAAUUAUUCUUUUAAACUCAUUUAGUCCAUAUAAAUUAAGAGCGAUUAACUUUUAUAGUUUUUAUGAUUCAGUCCUUGCACCUCAAUAACUAAUUGAUCAAAAAAAUUACUAGACCAAAAAUCAUUAUAACACUAUAAAUGACCCGUAAAUGCCCACUCAUUAGAAUUGUGGUCUCGAAACCACUAUUUUUGACACCAUUAAAAAUAGGCUCUUACAAAAUAUUUUUAUAAUUUAUUUAUUUUUAUUAUUUUUAAUUGAAAAAUUUUGAAUAUAAAAAUAAAUAGAAUAAUAAAUAAUUAAUAAAAGGUAAAGUUGUCCUUUUAUUCAAAAUUCAUUUAGUAAAUAAAACUUGGUGGGUUAGUUUUUUCUAUCAAACCUGGGGGGUGGGGAGACUUCAAGGGGUUCCAAUACUUUUCUCUAUCAUUUUUAAGAAAAAAAAUGAGUUAUUUGGUAGGUAAAGCAAGGUUUGAGCUUGACCUGGAAUUUUCUUUGGAAUUGGGUUUAGGCCUAACUUGACUCAGCCGAUGAGCACCUCUAUCAUAAACAAGUUUAUUUAGUUCAAAUGAAUGAACAUGAAUGCAUGUAAUUUUAAAUAAACAAACAUGAAUUAAACACAAAUAAGAUUAAAAAUUUAAAUAAAAACAUAAAUUUGUUUAUAAACAUAGAGGAUUAAAAUUUUAAAUAAACUAAUCUUAAAUAAACUAAUUUAUGUUUCUAUUUAUUCAUUUGAGUAAACCUUGACCAUUCACGGUUGGACCUAAUACACGAACCUUAGAAAAAAAAAUUGUUUAUAGAUGUCAAGAGUGAAGCUUUACCUAAAUGUCAAAAGUUUUAAAAGUCUCUCAAAUAAAUGUUUGAAAACAAUUCUAGUUAUAAAGAUAUUAAUGGUUUGUUAAAAAGAAUUAUGUUAUGGAUAAUGGUGAUAAUGAACAAAAGUUCAUUACGUUUAUGAAAGGAAAAGGGAAUCAUUCAAUAUUAUAGGAAAAUGUUAAGAGAGAACCCCAUAACUACUUGUAUAUAUGUUCCACCAACGUAUGCUUUCUAAAAUAUCCAAACAGUGAAGCUCCAUGAACCUUGUCAUAAUUUUGGAUUAAUUUCACUUUUUCUACUUUGCUAAAGUAAUAUCGAGUGAAACAUUUGCUACGGAAUACUUCUUGGAGAUGACACUUUACAUGGCAAUCUUGUUCUAUAAGUGAGUUAUUUCAUGAUAGUAUUAUUCUUAGAUGAAGUUGCUCUAAACAAUUAUUAUUCUUGAGCAAACAACUAUUUAGAAGAAGACUUGUUUUGGAAAAAAUUGUUCUAAACAUAGUUGUUCUUGGUAGAGGUUCUAAACAUCAACUAUUUUAAAUAUAAUAGGUUUUUGGUUGAGGCUUCUAUCAUGUUCAUCAAUUCUUGAAUAAAGGUAAGAAUAAGAGUAUUUUGAUUUUUAGUAGAUUAUCCAUGUCUUCUAAUAAGUUUAGCGUUGAAGAUUUUAGUCAUCUAAUGCUAUCACUCCUUCAGAACAAAAUUGUCAAAAUGUAAAGGGUUUUUGGUUUAGAGAGAAAAAGUUGCAAACAAGGAAAACAUAAUGUACCAAGACAUCACAAAGAAAGAUUGAAGCAAACCAACAACUAGUGGUUCGUAAGGUGGAGAAUUGUUGAAGUAGACUACUUGUGGAUAAGAAUAAACUUGAGAAAAGGAACAUGUUGAUAGAACUUUAAAAAGUUUUUAAUGGAAUAUGAAUUGCUAAAAUGCUAAAAUCCCCUUACAAGUUGUGAAGGGCUUUUAAUUAUAGAUGUAAAAAUAAUAGUUAUAUAGUUAUACAUUAAAUAAGAUAAAGAGAAAGAUUUUCAAUUACAAAAGACAUUAAUAUGUUUUAUUAAUAAAGUUUAACCACCUUUUGAUAAUAACUGCAUAGUAAACAAAAGUUCACCACAAUUCCAAAGACAAGGAAAAUCACUUGAUGCUACAUGAAGGGAAAUCACUUGGUUCACACUAAUCUCUAAACUUGAUAAAAUUUUCUAUUUUUGGUCUAUAUGAUGAUGUGGCACUUUGAGAUUGUGUCAUGUCAUUAGUUAUAUUUUAGAAAAAAUAUAAAUUUUGAUGUAAUGAUGUGACAUAAUAUAAGUGUAACACCCUACGCUUGAACUGGUUGUCGGAUUCGGGUAUGGAUCAUUAUAGGUUGACCGGAUUCGAAAAACACACCUAUGUACUUUUCUUUAAAGAAAAGCUCAUUAUCCUUAUGGUGGGUACCUCCUUCAUCAGAGUGGUAUUCCUUUAGUUCAAGACCAUUUUUGUAACAACCCUAACCCGUAUCUGUCUCCAGAAUAAGGUUAUGAAGCAUUAUCAAACUUUUCACAUAAACAAUCAUACAUUUUCAUAUUCAUUUCUCAUAUCCAAGCAAUAGUCAUUCAAAUUCAAUCAUAUAGUCCCUAACACAAGCCCUCAAGGCCCAAAAAAAGCAUUAAAAACAAAUUGAGACUAAAUUGAAAACUCAUAGAAGUUUUGGAAAAACAUUGAAAAUUUACAAAGUGCUGGGGACACAUGCCCGUGUGGCCAGGUCAUGUGUCUCACACAGUCAAGAGACACGUCCAUGACUCAGUCCAUGUGGGCAUUCGAAAUGGGAUCGCAUGGCCGUAUCCUAGCUAGUGUCCAACCCCAUGUAACUCACUGACUUGGGUCACACGGCCAACCACACGCCUGUUUGACUAGCCCGUGUAGCUCAUUGACUUACUUUCAUUAGAAAUUUUAGGGGACACACGGUCGUGUCUCCUGACCGUGUGUCACACAGGCCUGCGUUUCUGCCCGUGUGGACAAAAAUAAGCUAUUUUCUAAGCCAGAUUUCUCACCCAAAUAGGUACCAACCUAAGCUCAAUAAUGCAUAUACAACCAUGGCAUAAAUAAGCAUUCAAAACUAACCAAUACCAAGUUUAUAACAUGUAAUAUCCACACAUACAACAUGAUAUCCAUAAGCACAUUCAUUUGACCACUUUAAAGCAUACCAAAUAUACUUCCAAAGUCUAGUUAAAUGGUUAAUUACAUAUAUGAGACAUUGAACCUAAAACUUAGAAUGCAAGCUUAUCUCAAUUCCAACCAUUUGGUUCCAAAACACAAUUUCACAAGCAAGGCAUUCAUAUAGCAACUAUACACCACAUAUCACAAGGCCAUUUAUACAUAUAUACAUAUCAAAAUAUAUGACCACUUUUCAAGCCAAUUCAAAUGGCCUAAACUCAUCAAGACAUAUAGGCUAAAUUAGCCAAAAUACCUAUACAUGUCAUUUAACCAAAAUAUAGAGAUUCAAAAGUACCAAAACGAGAGCUUGAUAGUGAGACACAAUCUCCGAUAACUUUCAAUUCGAAUGAGCUUCCGAUUCAGUAUUAAAACACGAAAAAUUAAACAGAGUAAGCAAUUAAGCUGUAACAUAAAACUCAGCUUACCAUUUAAUCAUAAUUUAAGUAAUUAAACAUAGCAUAAUGCAACUCAAUUUGAUCCAUAAGCCUAACACAUGUUCAUCCACAAGAUUAGACAUGAAAUAACAAACCUCAUAGAUUCAAUUCUCACAUGAUUGACAUACAUACCUAUACUAGUUCAUAUCGAACUCAUACACUUUCGUAAUAACACUGUGCCCGUUGAACUAUUUGGAAUAAUAUCGGAUACUCAGGUAUCUCGCACACUUAGUGCUAAUACAUGGUCGAAACCAUCUCUAUCUCAUAUAGAUGCUCACUCUCGAGCCAUCACUAGGUCUGCUCACACAAGCUGACGGUCAAGACGUAGCUACACGGUGCUACUCACACAAGCUAUCGGGUAACCGCAACACAUGCUAGAAAACUUAGCCAUCGGUAGAACGUAUGGGAUCAACACCCAAAACACGAUUAUUCCUAAUGACAUGUCAUUUGUACCUAUCUAUUCCUAACGUUCGAUCGGGAUCCAUACACUUGCCGAUAUCUUGUCGAGAAUUUAUGUAGUAUCGUAUCAACUAAUAUUUCAAUUAAUCAUGUAAACAUAUAUAUAAUUUAAAGCUUAUUAAUAUAUGAACUUACCUUGAUCUCGUACGAUGAAAAUUUAUCGUUUAAUCGAUAACUUUAUCUUUCCCUCGAUCUAAUUCCGUACUUCGCUUUUCUUGAUCUAUGUAAUCAAAUUUAACUCAUUUAAUCAUUAAUCUAUUAAAUUCAAUCCAAAGUUCAUGUUAUGACAAAAUUACUAUUUUGGCCCUAAACUUUUGGCUUCUUUAUAAUUUAGUCCUAAACUCAUAAAAAUGCAAAUUCAUGCAAUUCAAUUUCAGCCCAUGCUAGCUGAAUAUCAUAUAGGUCCCUAGCAAGCCUUAUAUUUCAUUUAUUUCACAAUUUCACCAUGUAUAUUACAUAUUUUAAUUAAAUCCCUAUUUGACAAUUUUACUAAAAAUCACUUAACAAAUGUUGUUUAACUAACAACAAAGAUUCAUUUUCUUCCAUCAAACAUCAAAACACAUACACAUUCGUCAAUGGUGAAACCCUAACUCUUUAACACUUUUGCAAAUUAGUCCCUGGGCUAGCUAGAUUAAGCUACAACGACUUCAAAACCAUAAAAAUCAUUAAAAACCGAGCAAAAUUGCACUUACAUGCAAGGGAGAAAGAUGGUUGAAUGUUCAAUCUCCUUCCAUGGAGUUUCCUAGGUCUAAUUUCAGUGGUGGAUGAUGGAAAAAGAUGAUAGCCAUAUUUUAUUUUACUUAAUUUAUCAUUAUUUACCUAUUUACUAAUUUAACCUUUAAAAACAUUAAAAUUUAUACAAAUGCCAAGCCAUUAUCAUCCACUAAAAUUUUAAUUGUAUAAUUGCCAUAUAAGGACCUCUACAUUAAAGUUCAAUAGCUAUUAAACACUUUUAGCUAUUAGAACCUAACUUUUACACUUUACGCGAUUUAGUCCUUUUCAUCAAAUAAAACAUGUAAAUGAUAACAUUUCUUAACGAAAUUUUCAUAUGACUCUAAUAACAUUGUGUAACCAUUAAAAUAAUAAUAAAAUAAAUAUUUUCACUUCGGAUUUGUGGUCCCAAAACCACUGUUCCAAUUUCACUAAAAACGAGCUGUUAUAAUUUUAGUUUGGAAGCGCAAUUUAAAUAAAAACUCACUGCGUUAAGGAUGCAUGGAAUAACCCUUUGGUGGCCACUUAAUUAACAUUAAUAAGUCAUAAUAGCAUUUGAUCAUCAAAGCUUCCAUUCAACAUUCAACGUUUUCAAAGUAUUGUUCAAUAAAUAUUAAAAUUUCAAAUUGGCGGUUUCUAAGAAUUGGCCUAAUAGCCCCAGUAAAUGCAUGUUAACUUUGAAAUUAAGAAGGCUCAUAAAUGGUCGUAGAUCUAGCUGUAUCCCUUCGAUCACCUCGCUUAACCUAAGAACUUGAAAGGAAGAAGAAACUGGGUAAGUUCGUAAGAACUUAGUGAGUUCUUGGGAAAAAAAAUCCCACCUUAGUUAGUAUCAGACAUUAAGACAAAAAGACUUGACUAGAUCACCCUAUUUGGCAGAUACAUUACCUUGUCUUGUAGAUCAACUGGCGAAUGAUACCGCAAAUCAACUCAGCUUAUUGGUGAACAACACUGGUUUCUAUAAUCAUAUAUGAUAAUCACGGGCACAUAUUUUCCGCGAAUUUGCCACUUGUGUGGACUACCAUUUUUGAUAGAUAAGCUUACUGUUCAUGCUUUCAUGCAACAUGCAAUACCACAUACACUGUUUUUCUACGUCCUCUCUUUUUUAUGCUAGGUUCUGAUCCCUAUUCCUGAAGAACCAAAAUUUUCCUGUAUCUUCAAAUUCACUUGUUUGAGCCCUAACUUUUUUCCUUGUAUGAACACAUAAGUAUUCUACCGCAAGGUCGAGUUUUCACCAAUCAUGAUUUGUAUCUAAGUGUCAUCCAAAGGCAAAACAUAAUUUCAUGUAUCUUCGUUAUCAUUAUAUACAACAUUCCUCCGAUACCUUCUUACACCCAUCUAGAUGCGAAGCUUGUGCACCAAGGAAUGAGUACUUAUACUGUGUAUAUACCAGGUUUUUUGGGCCUGUUUAACCAUGCAUGCAUUGACUCUUUGAAUGAUACUCUUCAGACAUGAACUUCAAAAAUAAAUAACUAAGUCACUUACCUAGCUUAAUGAAGUUUAGAGGUAAAUAAACUAAUGCAGAUACCAGACAUAAAGUGCAAAGGAACUCACCAGAAUACUUUAUUCAGAGCUUUAUCUACUUUACUAGUUCUUUUCCUUUAGCACACAUGAACUUCAGAAAUAAAUAACUAAGUCACUUACCUGGCUUAAUAAAGUUUAGAGGUAAAUGAACUAAUGCAAAUACCAGACACAAAGUACAAAGGAACUCACCAAAAUACUUUUCUCAGAACAUUAUCUACUUUACUGGUUCUUUUCCUUUAGCACUGGGACCUUUUCCCGUUUCUUUAUCUAAACAAUAAAACAACUUUUUUAACUAUCAAAUAUAACCAAAAACUUAUGAUACAACAAAAGUCUAUAGACAUGCAAACGAUUUUUGGAUAAGAGUUUCCUUCCUACCCUAGAUUCAAAGAAAUCCUAUCAAUCAUUUCUCAAGUUAGUUUCUACCUAUUUGGUAAAACUUCAAGGAAGGUUUAAGAAUUUACCAGCAAACAACUAGCAUAGAAGUUCUCCUAAACUUUUACAAUUAACACCCUUGUUAGCAAAGAAGAACUCUUCUGGUUUCUUCGAUGAUAACAAAUUCUAUGUUCGAUCUGGUGCCUUGAGUACAAUAUAUUUGUCUAAUGAAAUUUGUAAUGUCACACCCCAAAUUUGACAGACCUAGUUAGAAGACAUGUAGAUGUGAAGUUAUCUGUUUGGCGUAGUGUAGUUUGCACAUUUGUAAUCUUUUGGUGAAUAACUGUAACAGCCCGGUUUUCAGUGGUGAUAGAAAUAGUGGUUUUGAGACCAUAAAUUUCACUGUGCCGACUUGUAAAUAUUAUUUUUAGAAUAUUUAUAGUCAUUAUAGUCAUAUUAAAAUUUGGUUAAGAAAUAUUAAUGUUUAGUUAGUUAAUUAAGAUAAAAGUAACAAAUUGAAAAAGGUGCAAAACUUGUUAAUUAAUACAUUUAGGUGAUUAGAUGGUUUAAUUAAUAAAUGAGGAAGGGAUUAAGUGAUAAUUAAGCUAUAAAUAAUGAGUGGGACGACAAUUAAAGUUAAAAAUGAAAGAAAAUUUAAUGAUAAUGGCAUAAUUGUAAAUUUCUUGAAAGUAAAACAAAAUUAAAAGAAGAAAAAGACAUUUUCUCUUCAUCUUUCUAUUUUUCAUUGUCAAAACACCAUGGGAGCUUAACUUGGAGGUUCGUCCACUUUAUACUCUUGCAUGUGAGUUUAAUUCCUAUCUGUUUCUUGUAAUUUUUAUGUUUUUGAGAUCGUUGCAACUAGGUCCAGCUAACCCGUACCUUUGAUUUUUAAACUGUUAAAGAUUUUGAAUGUUGCCAUUGAUAAAUAUACUAAUUUUUUAUGUUAAGUUGGUAUUUAAAAGUAUUUUGUUAAGGGAUUUUUGAUAAAUUUUUUAUUAGGGACUAAAUUGUUGAAAUAGUAAAAAUACAAGGGUUUGUUGUGAAAUUAUUGAAAAAAUGGGCUGUAAUGAAUGCCAUGAAUAUUUGGUUAGCAUGGGUUUGCAUUAAAAAUGGUUAAUUUGCAUGUUUUAGGCUCAAGGACGAAAUUGAAUAAAAGUAAAAUGUUAGGGGCAAAUUUGUAAAAAUGUAAAAAAUAAAUUCCAUAAAAUAAAUUUUUUUAUUUUCUAAAUUAAUAAAUUUAAUGAAAUUGUUAAUUUAAAUCAAGAUCGAGGGGAAGAUCGAGGAGAAUGGAAAAUUACCAAAAUGCCCUUAUACUUUUACAUUUCUACAAUUUAGCCAGGUAAGUUCGUACGGUUAAAAUUUAACAUUUGUGUAAACUGAUGAUUGAUAUUAUAUAUAUGUUCUAUUGUUGGAAUUGAAUUAUUGCUAGAAAUAUAUUAUCAAAUUUAAUACUUUGUUUGGAUUGAACGCGAGAUUUGAGUACAUUUGUGAUUUGGUGUAUGAUGGGGGUUUGGAGUGGAGAUGUUAUUGGAGGGUGUUAAGUUCAAUUUUUAGCUUAACUUAUUCCAUUAAUUACCUAAAUUAUUGACAAAUUCUUGAUCAAUUAGUUUCAAUUAGCUCAAUUUGCAUUAAGAAUAUACUAUGCUUUGUUAAUUUAUUUUUGCUCCAAUCCGAUGAUUUAAUGGUAUUUUAAGACAUGUUGCAAGGUAGGUACAUUGGGAAGGUUCGAAUGAACCCAAAUGUGGAAUUCACUUGCCCCGAAUAGAGUUGAUGGAAGGGGCUGGGCGAAUGCUGAAUUCUUUAAAGUCGGCGAAGUCAAAAUACAAAUUUGAAGUAAUUGAGUCGACCGCAAAAGACCUUGACAGCAAAAGCAAGAUUCGGUCCAACUUGAAGGUGCCAUAGACCGACAUUGUGUGACCAGCCAGCAAGGGAAUCAAAUUUAAAUUCGAAUUCCCCUCUUUCCAGCUAUGACCGAUUCUAGUGUACAAUGAACAAACCAACUCAGACUUGAGAAGUUAAGUUGGAGUGAAAGUCUAAUUGGUUUGAGCUAACCUUAUGCGAUAGGCGAGGAAAAAAUCAACGGAGAGAUCAGAUUUUUAUUUUCUAUAUUUAGAGGCUGAGUUUUAUUUUUGAAAAAGGGGAGAGGAGAAGAAAUUGAAAAACAAGAAUGAGGGACUCAGGAAGAACACCGUCUCCAAUCGACCUAGUAGGUGCGAAUCAAGGAGCUAGAACCGGUCUUAGAGUCCAGCAACUUCAGGAGGAGGGAAGCUCGAUGACCUUAGCAGUGUUGUUAAGCAAGAGUGAUUCUAAACUCGACUUGAUUUUAAUUAAUUGUUGUUUAGCCAUGAGGAGCUAAAGUCCCUUUGCUUAGUUAGGCAUUAUUGAAGCCGAACACAAGUUGAAGUAAAGACUCAUUUUAUCUGGAAUUAAAACUCGGUAAUUUGUAGUUGAUUGUUUUUCUCAAAGGGGUUUAUUUUCUAAGUCAAGCUAAAAUGAUCACCUAAUUAAUUUAGGAAUUCUCCUAUCAUCACCUAAGUAAAUUUAAGAAAUCCUAUUUCCUAAGUAGACUUAGAAUCGAUGAACACUAUUAAACAGCUACGGGUUUAAUUUAAUGGGAGCCGUUAGAGGUUUUCCAUGGUUAAUGCAAGGCAAAGCCUCUUUAGCACCUUACGCAUGUUUAAUCGAUUAAACAAAGAGGGAUUAAAUAUAAUUUUCAAUUAAGAACGUUUCAUAAUUGAACUAACAUUGGAAGAGGUAGGGAGUCACUUCGUAAGGGAUUUUCCAGCCUUACUAUCGAGUAGAUUUCCUAGGAUAAGUUGAGUCUCAGUUAGUUGUGUUUGGUGGAUUAGUCGAUAACUAAGCAUCUUUUUCCAUUUGAUUCUAGAAUAUAAGCAUUUUCAUCUCAAACUACUUUCUUUCGUUUUUAGAAGCAACAUUCAUAUAAAACCCCCCACACGCGUAUGUGUGUGUAUUUCAUUUAAUUCUUUUCAAAUAGAUUUAAUACGAGCUUCCUCGUGGGAUCGAUACCCCAUUUUCCCUAUAUUACUAGUUAAUAUUGGUUGAAUAGUGGAUUUAAUUCGGUGAACGUAACGACUUCUCACCAGAGGGAUAUAUCGACAUUUUACCCAAGUAAAUUGGGGUUCAACAUUUAUUGUGAACUCUCGGCUUUUACUUUCUCUUUGGCAUGAUUCGGGUGGAUUAGCUCUUACGAGCUUCUGUUCAGCUCUUUUGAGUUUCUAUUAAGCUCUUAUGAGCUUCUGUUGACGAUGUACUCUUACUCGUAAGUCGUUCUUCAUAUGAAAAAUCUCGAUAAGGUAAUUUGUUUAAUGAAUUUGAAAGUUUUGUUAUUUAUUGAAUAUUGACCUGAACAUAAAUGAAUUCAUCAGUUGAGAUUGUGGAUAAUGCUUAGGUUUGUGCUAAGCUGUUGGUUGCAUUAUAUCAUGUUGAAUAUUAAUUAUAUGAAUUGACAUGGUAAUUGGUUAAAUGGAAAUAUGCUUAUGUUUAUAAGAAGGUGGUAAGAUUCAAAAUGUGUAAUUUCUUAUAAAAUGGUUUAUCAUGUGAUUGACCCCGAAUGAGUUAUAUACAUAAAUGCACUAACUUGUUUAUUGAUGAUGGUGAUUAGGCUUAUGUCAAGCUUCAGAUUAUGAUUGAUGUAUAUGCUUAUGUUUGGUAUUAUACAAAUGAAACGGUAAGUUCAUAAUUGAAAUGUGAUAUGAUGAAAAAGGGAUUGAUGAGUUGAAUAAUGUACUUAUAUAUGAGAAAUUACGUGUGUUAUGGUUGAAAUUACCUAUGUUAUGAAUAAAUAUACUAAUUAGUUAAUUGAUGUUGUUAUUUAAGUUUAUGUUUAGUAAAUGGAAUGGAAAGUAGGUAAAGAAAGUUAUUCGUAGUUUUAUGAAAAUGUUAAUGAUGGUGUAAAAUGUUUUAUAAAAUCUUAUUAUGUUAGGAAUGAAUAUAUAUAUGAUGUUGAUAGACUUACUCAUUUAUGAGUUAGUGGUUAUGUAGUUGAUAAAUCUUGAGGCAUUGGUAUAGCUUUAUAUUUAUCAUAUAAAGUUUAUGAUUAAAUUAGAAUAUUAUGUUUAAAGUUUGUAUGAGCUUGCUAAGCAUUCAUUGCUUAGGUAGUUGUUGAUCCCUUACUUUAUAGAUUAUUAGAAGCUUGAUCGGGUUGGAAGCUUGUCAGAGAUCUAUCAAACUAUCCAACGAUUAUAUCAGUAGAUUUUGAUGUCUUGGUUAAAGUUAUAAUGGCAUGUAUAGUUGGAUUAUGUCUAAUGCUUAAUUGAUGAGUUUGGUAUAUAUAUGUCAUUUUGGUUGAUAAUUAUGGCAUGAAAUGUUGCCUUGAAUUUGAGGUACUUAAGGUACUAUUGAUAUCUUGUUGGUUAUGGUUAAUAUGGUUAAUUUGAUGCAUGUUUAGAAAUAACCAAAUUUGGUAUAUGUUGUAUCAAUCUCAAUAUGGCCAAGACAUGGUAUGUUUUGGACAAGUCUUGAAUAUAUGUGCAUGAUUGAAAUAUGGUAUGCCUAAUAUGGUAAGGUUAGUAUGUGUCAAUUGUGUUAUGCAUUGGUAUGGAAACAAGUCAGUUGGUAAAUGGUAUCAAUGUGGUCAAAUGUGGUGAGAUUAUUUUUGAUAUAGCAUGGAAAUAGUAUUGAGAUUAUUUAGGUAUGUAUGGUUAAGGUUUGUACAAAUAUGCUUAUGUAUAUAUAUAAGUUUGAUGCUUGAUGAUUAAGGUGCCUUUUGGCAUAUUGGUUAAAGUUGUAUGAGCAUUUGGUAUGGAGAUUAGUCAUUUUUUGCAUAAUUUGAGUAUUUUUAAAGGCCUUGUAUACAUGUACAAAUUUUUUGUAGGUUUAUGCUUGAAAGAGGUGAAAGAAAUGGCUUGGAAAUGGUCAUUUUCUUGUUACACUACCUAAGACACGGGCGUGUGUCUCAGCUGUGUGAGUCACAAGGCUUGGCCACACGACUGUAUGAACCCUAUAGUUUGAAAAAAAUUCUAUCUUUUUUUUAUGAAAUUAUAAAUGUUUCUGAUUUUGUCCCGAAUUGUUUCUAAAGUGAUUCGAAGGCCCCGAGGGCUCGAAUAAGGGACGUUAUGCAUGUGUUUGAAUGAAUUAUGCUAUGAUAUAUGAAAUGUUUAAGAAUGAAAGUUUUUAAGUUAUGAUUUCCCGGUAAUGCUCAGUAACCCUAUUCUGACGACGGAUACAGGUUAGGGGUGUUACAAUAAUAGUUGGCUUAGAGUAUCUACCGUGUAAGUAAUUAAAGAUUUUAUCUUAUGUUAUUCUGCUAUUUAAGAAAAGAAUAUGACAAGGGAACAGUAAUACUAGUGAGAGUUAGCGCCAAAAGUAUAGUACCUCCAGUUUGCCUAAGCACUGUGGUUAUUAGGUUUUGUAACAUGAUCUAGUUAAAAUCCAACUGAAUUGGCUGGUCAAAUAAUAUUUGUACAGGAUCCUCAUUUAUAUUUAUCUCAGAUUUUGUAGGCAAUUUAUUAGGAAAAAUUCUGGAUACAAUUGACACUUGUCAAGUUCCACUAAGGGAACUAGAGAGAUAUAUAUGGUGAGAAGGGUUCGCAUGAAGGGUUUUCUUCUUUUAAUACUAUUAUCUAGUUCUUCUACUUAAACUUAUUUGUUUUUUUCUCCUUUAUUAAGUUAGAAGCUAAGGUUCUUGAAUUAAUGAGCGGAUGUUCUAUCUCAUGGUAAGUUUGAUAGCUCUGCAUGCUAAGUUUUUGAAAGAAGGGUAUUAAGAAACAUAUGAAUAGUGAGUUGUGAAUAAGAGACCCCGUAUAGGGGUCGUCUGUGAUUGAGAUAUUAUCCAUUUGUCUAUGAAUGGGUUUUAAUGGUGGUUCCAUGUUCUUUAAGAAAUUGCUGCUGCUGGUUCGAGAGGGAUGUUCAAGUUUCGAACUCCAAGCUAUAGUUUAGGUGAGUAUCAUGUGAGUUUCUAUCUUAGCUCCUGUAUGUGCACUGUUCAAAUAGGGUUAUAUAUAAUGAUAACGUCUCAAAAAACUGGUAAGUGUGUUUUGCAGUAAUGUAAAGAUUUUACUUGGUUUAGGAUGAUAUGUGUGAGGUAUUGUGUGCGUAAUAAGUAAAAUGGUAAGUAUGCCUCUGAUAUCGGAUAUGAGUAAAUAAGAAUCAAUCAGGUAUGUGAAUAAUCUAGGUAACUAACUUCUGUGUAAACAUCUAUUGUGAUGCCUUUGGUUGGGCAAUUAUAGUUCUAACCAGACUGGAAUAUCAUGAUAUGAUGAAACAUGUAAGUUCAUGUGGUAGAGACCCGUGUCAUUAUAUGAUAAGUAAGACAUUCAUGGUGGUGCCUCUAGUGAAAUGAAGAAUGGACUGGAAAAUCACGACAUGAAUAUGUGUAAGUCCAUGAGUCUGAGAAUCAUGACGUAAUAUGAUAAUAAGAAUGUUCAUGGUGAUGCCUUCGGUAAGAUGUAAAUCAGACUGACAGAUCCCAACAUGGAGAUAUGAAUAAGUCUAUGAGAGAGAAACCCAUGAUACCUUUUGUGGAAGUCCGUCGGGCCAGUAAAUAUGUGAUUCAGUGUGUUGCCUGUGUGGCGUGAUCUGCUAAGCCUUGGUGGUGUAUUCUAUGUUGCCAUUGUAGCGAAUUAUAGAAUGCCUAUGUGGCGUAUUCAGGGGUGCUUAUGUGGCAGAAUUUGAUUAUCCACCUUUGUGGUAAGUUCUAAGAUCUCUUUGAUAAAUGAUUCUAUGAUAAUGGUCUGAUACGUCUGAAGUUAGCUUGGUUUGGUUAGGCUUGUGAGGAAAUUGGUUGAGUUUUAAAGAAAGAAUCAGCCAUAGUAGUCUACUAGUAUAGGAUAUGGGCGUAUUCAUAAUUAUGAAGGGUAGAAGUGUUCGUUGGUAAGAAUUCAUCUACACUAUGAAGGGCUGAAAUAUAAAUAAUCAGGUAUCUGCCAUAUCUGAAUGGUAUCAUGUCUCGUUCUGGGGUUAUUUGGAAUCUGAACCAUUUGUCAAUUUUGACAUUCUUGUGUUAUGUAAUAUAGACGUAUGGAAUUCUUCUGAAUGAUCCAGAAUGUUUCAUCAUUAGUAUGAGUUUGUUUUGGGUUUAAUUCAAGAUACGAUCUGAUUGGUGGACUGGCAGCUGCUAAACACAGUAUGGGAAUCUGCCAAGUGUAAGGUUAAUUAGUAAUUAUCCACUAAAGAAUAGUGUCUAUGAAUAACCAUUUUGGGAAAAAUGUGAAGUGUUGUUUGAAGAGGAAAUUCGAUGAAAGUGAGUUCUGUAUAGAUAUUCUUCUUAGAAGUAUCUUGUGUUCUAUGAAUGAUUAAGAUCUAUAGUGACUGGUACAAUUUGGAAUCGGUCUAGGAGUGAAAUGAGAGUGACACAUUAAGUAUAGAAGCUGACAUAUAGGUAUAUAUAUGAUAUUAUGAAUGUAUUAGCCAAAGAUAGAGUGAUAAUCCAAAAUCUUCAAUAUGAAGAAUUCAACUAUAAAGGCUCCAAGGUAUUUUGUAUUUAAACUGACUAGGUUCGCAUGAACUUACAAACAUUUUGUUCGUGUUUCAAGAGUUCACUAGGAGAGACCAAGCCAGGGAUGCACUAGAGAAAUUGGUGAGGGGAUAUUAUGCGCACAAAUGAGAUCUUAGUAGUAUGACAUAUAGUUCUCUAUGCCAAUGAGAGUAUGUCUUUAAUGAACUUCUGUGUUUAAUGUAUUAUAUUGUUUUUAAGGGUCUGUUUGUAUUCUUGAACGUUUUCUUUAUCUCUUUUAUUUAGAAGACCUUUAUUAAAAUAAUAUGAAGUAAGUUGAAAAAGGAUUAUACACAGAUGGUUUAAAAUUUAUGCUAAGUGUUCGUAUGUGUAAACAUCCGUUAUCCAGAUCUGGUGAUUCGGGUUUGGUAAAAGGUGUUACAUAUAAUUUUUUUGAGAAAAUUAGUUAAUAAAAUUAUUAAUUAAUUACAUUAAUACUUUGUAUAUUGUCCUCACCUGGUUUUUGCACGCAAAGAAAAAUAGAAGAAAAUGUUGCUCAUUGGUUGUCUAAUGUUUAAAUAAUACUAAGCGGUAUUACGUGGUCGGAUCAUAGUAUGGAAAGAAAACUAUCAGUAGAAGAACCUAAAAAUGUCCGUAGUGUAAUUGGGGAUGAGCAAACCGAUUGAAAGACUAAUAUGUCGUCUAUCAAGUCUAAUUAGGGAGAUAUCUUAUCAUGGGCAUCGGAGCAGAUUACUUUCAGAAGAUAGAGACAUAUAUGUGACUGACAUGACUGACAGUACAUUAGAUAGGACCCAAGAAUAAUAGAUCCUAAAUCUGUUUAUGGAUUUAUUCACUUGUGAUGUUCAUAGGGUAGCAUACCUAAAUCCUGAGUGGAUGGCAGAUUAUGUAUGCGUGACUCGUACACUUUGAUGUAAUUAAAAGCCCGAGUUCAAAUAGAUACAGAACCGAAAGCUGGUGCGUUGGGUGUACGACUUUUGUAGUAUGUAAUGUCAUUGAAAAUAGUGGAUUUCAUAGCCCAAAACAUGGGUAAAUGAUAUCUUCUCAUUAGCAUUACUUGAUCACUAUUUGAUGGUGAUUGAAUUUUCAUGAAGAAAGAUGUAAUGAUUAUCGUAAGAUAAAAUAGGAUCAUAUUGGGAGAACAAAUAUUAUCCCAAAGAGAUCAAGGAUUUCCUAUGAGGGUAACACACUAAUGACAAGGUCAUUAGACGAUUACUGAGUAGUUGCUUUCGUAAUGGUAUGUCGUCGGAGAGAGUUCAACCAUGAUACUAUAGUGGAUUGACUUUAUGACUAAAUGAGCCUAUAAUUAAUAGGCAAAAAGUCAAAGCUUAAUUAUAAAACAUUUGAGCGUCAACUACAUAUGUCCAAUCAGUCCCUCCGCUAGCUCGUUGAAAUAAAAAAAUAAUUUCAUGUUUGAAUAGAAAUGAAUGAAAUGAAUAGAAGAAGUGAAAUUGGGAACAUUCGAGAAUGAUUAUGGUUUUCUUUAAAAUGGAGAAAUGGAAUCAUUUGAAAAUGAAUGUAGGUUUCCAAAAAUGGAAAUGAAAAUGGAAAUUUGCAAUCCUAUAUGGAUUACUUAAAAAAUGAUGGGAAUAAUGAGUUCAUGUUUUUAGACUAUUUUGAAGCCCGAAAAGGAGAACAAACUAUUCAACAAAAAAAUAUACACUAUUUUGAUCUCCUACUCUAUUUAGACUGAAUAGUUUGUUUUCAUUUUCUAUUUGAAAUGUCAACCGCUCUCCUACUCUAAGUAGGAAGUGAUUUUUCUAUUUGAAAUAAACCACUACAACCCAAGAAGGGUUCUAUAUUCUCUUCCUAUAAAUAGAUGACACUGAUAGAGCUAUUUACAUAAUUGUUAUUCUGCCAAAAAUAGAGAGAAUUUAUUCUCAACUAUUACAUAUAUUUAUCCGGAGUAAUAAUUCUAACAAUUACUAUUAAAUAAUAGAGAAUUUUUGUUUUCACCCCAAAAAGAAAAGAAAGCUUUUUCUAGUUCCGUGUUUUGUUUCAAUUGGUUCAAGCCUAUACUUGAAGUAGUUUGUGGUACGAGAAUAGUGAAGAAUAUCUUUUCAUUGAAAGCCAGAAAAUAUCAAGAAUUUGCUUAUCUGAAAAGACAUGUAUGAUUGUUCAAGGUUUAAUGCUAUAAAUACCACAUAUAUAGUCAGUUUUCAAAAUUUUAAUUUUCUGCUAUGCAAGAAAACUGUUUUCAAAAUAAGUUUUUUUCCAACAGUUUUGUGGAGAAGGUGAAUCAUAAAUCUUCUCUCCACUAUCGUUCUAUCCUAUUUAUAGAUAACCAAUGUACAAAUCCCAAUUAGGAUUAUCUCUAAUCAUUACUUAUUCUCGCAUGCUUCCACUAAUUAAUAACAUCUGACGAGGCUCUAUAAGUGUCCUAAUUAUUGACUCGUUCCCUCCACUAGGAUGUCAGAUGACUUAAACAUGUCUUACAAGCCAUAGGACUUACUUAAGGAAUGAUAUUGAAACACGAGUGAUUAUCUUAUUAGUCGGAAAGUCUACCUAAUAAGGUGUUCGUCCUAACUAUAUCCUCAUUUAUUGCUCAAAUUGACACUCCGCAGCGUUGGCGAAGUUCUUUGUAGUGCUCCACCACAAAGUUACCAACCUUAUCCGAUCUAAGUCUUGCAACUUAGGUGGCCUCCGCUAGUGUAGUCUCCCAAACCAAACCGAUUUGCCAAACCAGGAUUUGACAAAAAAAUUCAAGUACUAAGUUAAUAAAAAUUGACCAAUUCGAAGACUAAAUGUUACCUUAUAAUAAAACAAUAAAGAGGUUUAAUUAGAAAUGUUUAAGGUAAAUUACUCAGUUGGCAACCCAACUUUUAGGGCGCUUUCAUAUUAGUUACCCAAGUGUCAAAUCCGUAAUAAUGACAAACUGUAUACGCCGAAUCAUGUCCACAUCGUGUUUACACUUUCAUUUUGAUCACCCAAGUUCUAGGUCACUUUCAUUUUGGUCAUUGAAUUUUUUUAAAAUUUUUGAUCUAGGUAAAACCAUUAAGGAUUAAAGUGAAAAAGUGGUAGAAACUAAAAUGAUUGAUUAAAAAUUUGUCAAAUUGUACAAUUAAAUAAAUUGUUGAAACUUUUAUCCCUUGAAAAUGUCAACCGAUUUGUUACCAUAACAUUGAAAUUAAUUUAAUUAAUUAAUUUAAUCUCCUAAAUUUUAAAAUUUUGUUUUAUGUUUCCAAAUUAUCCUUAAUGAAAUCAACUCCAAUAAAUCAUAUUUAUUAAUUUUCUAUGAAACUUAAAUCUAUUUUGAUUAUAUAAUAUCGAAUCUUCCAUGUUAAACUAAAAGAUAAGGAAAAAAAUCAUUGCAAUUAAUUAAGUUAAUUGUUUGUUCUUCGUUUGGGUAAAGAAAUGAAAAUAAUUUUGGAUUUGUUUGGCAUGUAAGAAAGUUAGUUAAUAUAAGAGAAAAAAAUUAUUUAUUUUUUUUCUUAACAUUGAAUAUUCAAGAUCAUAUAAAAAAAAUUAAGUUCGGUAGACAAUUAUUAAAAAUAAGUGAUUUUAUUUGAUUUUAAUUUGGAAACAUAAAAUAAAAUUUUAAAAUUUAAAAUGAGGCUAAAUUAGUUAAUUUCAAAAUUAUAGUACCAAAUCGACUGACACUAUCAAGGGAAGACAAAAUUUCAGUAAUUUAUUUAAUUGAUUGUAAUGUUUUAAAAUUUAAAAUUUAAAAUUUCAGUAUUGAAAAAAAAAUUAGAACUUUGGGCAAGGGGGUAAACAAAGAUAAUAUGACAGUUUUUUAACUCAUUAUUUUAGUUGUUAUCGCUUUUUUACUUUAAUGUUUAAUGUUUUUACCCCCAUAAAUAUUUUAAAAAAUAUUUUUUGUGGUGACGAAAAUAAAAGCGGCCUAGAAGUUGAGUGACUAAAAUAAAAGUUUAAACAUGAUGUGGUAUGUACAGUCAACCAUUGUUAGAGAUUUAACGUUUGGAUGACUAAAAUGAAAACGCUUUAAAAGUUGAGUGACUACCACAAUAGUUUAUCCAAAAAUUUAAGAAUAAAGCUAAAAGUUGCAUUGAAAGAUUUAGUUGAAUUGCCCUUUUUCAGGGAAAAGUUAAGUAUGUUAUGGGGUACUUUGAUUUGACACUACUUUAAAGGCCUGAUUGAACUUUGAGACGACGAAACUGUCAUGUAUGGUGAAUCAGCUAGUUAUAAAAUCAAUUUUUUUACUCAAUUAACCCCCACAAUUAAUAUUUACGAAAAUGAUCGAAGUUGAAAACUUAUAACGAAAAUGACUUAAAAUCUAUAGUGUCGAGUGGUGCCGACACUCCGAUGGCCGACACCAAAGUCAAUCAUCGUGUAUUGAUUGCUUGUUAAUUGGGUUGGGGUUUAAAAAACUAAUUUUUUGAUAUAAGUUUUUCAAAAAUACAAGUAUUUGCCAGUUAAAAAGUAUUUUUUAUUAGGUUACGGCAUCUAGGUGGCUGACACGCCGACACCAGGAAAAAUAAUCCAAAAUUUAUGUUUUGGCAUUUUUUAGUUUUGGCAUUGCGAUGGCUGGCACUCGUGUCGAAUGGAUUUUUUUUGGUGCUGCCACCGGUGUGGUUUUUAAUUUUUUUGCCGGCGUUCUCUGGUUUUUAGGAACGGUGACUGUUUGGUUUUUCUUCAUUAAGCUUUGGACAAUGCGACUCCUAAACUUUCAAUUGCAUGAGAAGUGAUAUUUGAAGAAAAUAACACAAUAUCAGUAGAGAAGAGCACUGGAUAUUUGAGAAGAAAAAUAAAAUGAUUUUGAGUCCAGUUUACUGAUGAUAGUACUUAGUAUGUAAAAUAAACAAGAGAACAAGAAGAUGAAAAGAAAAAUGGAGAGUUGUAUAAAAAAAAGAAGAGUGGAAGAGAAGAAAGCAAGACAAAUUUAAAUUUGACAUUUAUGGUUUUAAUAGAAAAAAAAAUUUGUAUAUGGAAUUACAUUCACAAAUUUAAGUAAUGGAAUUACAUUAAAAAAUUUGUUUAUGGUUUUGAUGAUGGACUUUUGUAAACUUGUCAGUCGGAGGCCCGGGUCACAAAAGAGAUGCAUUUUAAAGGAAAGGAGGGAGGUAAAGGCAUGGAUAUAGUGGUUGAUUCAUCACCAGUGAGGGCUCUUUCUUGGAAUGAAAAACUUUUGGGGAGAGGUGCUACUAGAUCUCGAGACUCAUCGGGUGUUCCUGAUAGGGACUUGAGGAGGACUUCGACUUUCUAGAAUGAGGUAUAUUAGAUCUAUAGUUAAUGGGAUUCUGUCGAUUGAAUUUUCCAAUAGGGUACAACAAAUGCUGGAAAAGUAAAUGGCAACUACGAUGGUAGUCAAGCUAUUGGGGAGAAAUAUUGGAUAUAAUACUUUUCAAAACAAGAAUUUCAACUUGUGGAAGCCGCCUAGGCCAUUUCAACUAAUGGACGUUGAACAUGGAUAUUAUUUGGUAAAAUUUCAAAGUAAUGACGACUUUGAAAAAGUGUAAACUCAAGGACCGUGGGUAGUGUUUGGACAGUACCUAACUGUUUAGCCAUAAACACUGGAUUUUAACCCUCUCCAACCAUACCCAAGCAUUGUAAUGACAUGGAUCAGAUUGUCAAGUUUGCCUGGUUUUUUAUACAAAAGGAAAAUAUCUGAGGAGAUCGACAAUUUGGUCGGCGGAGUAGCAAAACUCGACUACAAUAUUGACAGUAAAUCGAGAGGAAGAUUUUCCUGAAUGACGAUUUUCGUGAACCUUGACAAGCCAUUGAUCCCUCAAGUUUUGGUGAAUGGUAAGGCUCAACUCAUGGAAUAUGAGGCUUUGCCGUCGAUUUGCUUUGGAUGUGGUAGGUACGGCCAUACGAAAAAUCUAUGCCCUCACAUUUUUGGUAACUAUAAUUCCACCAUAUAGAAGGGCGAGACGACAGAUCCAUCAAUAGGAGAAAAUACGUCGACCAAGGUGGCGGGGGCAUUUGGGUCGUGGAUGGUGUUGGAGAGAAAAAUACGACAGAAUUUUAGGGAGAAUCAGAAUCAAAAUGCUAGAAAUCAAGAGGAUUUUUUUGGAUCAAGAUUCGAUAUCUUGAACCCUCUGGAAGAUGGAAACGACGCUAUUAAUGGAGAUUUAGCAGAUCUAUAGGGCAUCACUAUUUAGAAAGGUGAUUUUAUUAAGAGUAAUGUUAGGGUUGAGGGAUAUGAUGAUGUUAGAAGUGGGCCAGGUAAGAAAGGUGUAAAUUAGAUUUCUAUAGAUAGCCUGGUAGGUGAUCGUGAGCCAAAUGGAAAUGAAAACCUUUAUGGGUUAGUAAAGAAAGGGCCUAGACUAAAAAAAAUGGUGUUACAUGUGAUUUUAGGUAGAUUGGGGAAACUAGGCCAAUGGUAGAAAAAGCAAAUUUAAUUCGGGCUAGCAAAUUAUAAGGGUGGGCGAAAAUUGGAAAGUGUCAUAUCUUUGCAUAACUUUAAUAAUUCAAAAAAUAAUUAUGGUAUAGUGGAUGCUAAUUCUGGAAAUUCUCACGAUAAUGAUCUUUUAAUGAAGGAGAUGUAUAUUGAUAAUGGGGCGAAAUUAUCAUUUAGUCCCUGUUUGGCUACGACAUCGCACUUUAAUCCUACCUUUGAGGGACUAGUUGAAACCACAGUAUCACUUAGUGGUAGUGUUUUGGAUCUAGGAACGCAUUCUGUUGUUACCUUCAAAGAAAAUUCUAACCUAGUUACUAAUAAGCAAUAAGAUGAAGUUAGACUCAGUGAUUCUAGUAAAAGCAUUCUAGUUCCUAAAGGGCAUAGUCUUGGGACAAAAGAGGGAUAUGUCUGAUGUAACACCAUAAACCCGGCCUAGACGUCCAGCCCAAGUUUAUAGAGUUACCUCAUCGAUUAUAAAACGUCACGCAACAACACAAAUAAGCUAAACCAUGUUUCAUAUCACAUUUAUCAUAAAACAAAUUAAUUAUAUAAUCUUCUAAAUUUCAUACUGUUAUAGUUUACCGAAAUUCCUCAUACUACUUAUAGAAAGAUAACGCUUGACAGAGCAUCCGUUGCGCCGACCCAUUCAAGACUGGGAACCACAUGAAAUCCAAUAAAAAACAAAAUGAGUUGUAAACUCAGUUCGUAAAAGAAGUUUAUUCAGUUAAUGUCCACUUAUAAGGUAGUUCCAAAUUCAGAGAAUUAGUUCGAUACAAAAUUAAUUACAGUUUAGAUUCACGACAGAUCAGUUACCUAUAGAUAUGCAAUUUCAGUUCAUAUACAAUGCAGGUAAGAUUUAGAUGCAGAUAUUCCUAACCCUAUCUGCUACACACCAUCUUCAACCAUCCCAACACACCGUUAAGUGCAUCCAAUACCCAAUCAACCUUACACACCACAAAGUGUUUCUCUGACACAUUUAUAGAAACACAUAUUAGCUGCUGGAUCAUAAUGUGACGAAGUGCCAGAAUCAGAACUAUACACAUGGUGGCUUAACCACUGAUUCAGAGUGGAUUACUUCCUUCAUCAUACAUCCCAACCCAUACAAAUACAGAGUAUAAUUAUCUACAAUACACUUACAAUUAUGAUAUUCAUACGUCCGUUACAGAGUAUCAGAGAGUUCUCGUUCAGUUAAAUUCAAAUCAUUCAUACAAUAAGGAAUCAAUAUCAGCCAUAAACAACAUUUACGACCUCAAAAAGGGUUUCAGGCCCCUUUUACGAUGCCAUACGGCUUGGACACACGCUCAUAUCCUUGCCCGUGUGGCUCAAACGACUUGGACACAUGCCCAUGUCCUUUACCCGUGUGGUUCUAAAACGUAAACAGAGAGUUACACGACUCGGACACACGACCAUGUCCUUGCCUGUGUGACUCACACGGCCUGGGCACACAGCCGUGUGCUUGCCCAUAUGGUUCUAAGUCACAAAUAGUGAGUUACACGGACUAGACACACGCCCGUAUGCCAUGCUUGUGUGGCCUCAAAUCGAUGAAUAGUAAGUUACACGGCCACCCACACAUCCUAGCGAUCCACACGGCCUAGAAACACGCUCAUGUGCUUGGCCGUGUGGCGUCGACAGCCACCAUUUUCGGUGAACAAAACUUGCAAAAGCUAAGGAUUUUGAUACGCGCUUAGUUUCUCUUUGAUGGGAAAUAAGACAGAGAUUACUUGAAAACUAAUUGAUCAUUCAGUAAUCAAUCAAUUGACUAAAUGACCAAUUAACACAACAAUAAUACACAAUCAACUAUGCCGAAUAAAUUGACACGAGGGAACUUCAACGACUAACGCUUAUCGAUGAUUUAACUCGAAUUUUUUGCGAGUACAAUAGAGAAUUUAAGCUUGAUAUCGUGGGAUUGUUAAGGACUAGAGUAAAUGGAAGUAAAGCAGAUUGUAUCAUUGCUAAAUUAGGUUUUCAGUUCUCUUAUCGGAUAGAAGCUAUUGGUUUUUCUGUUGGUAUUUGGGUUGGUUGGAAGGAUUUUAUACAAGUUGAGAUUAUCCAGAAUCAUUCACAAUUUCUUUUGGUUUGGGUCAUUUCCAAUGUUGUGAAAUCUCCUGUUUUUAUCUCCUUCAUUUAUGUGAGUCUUGAUAGAUAGAAGAGAAGGCUUUUUUGAGAGGGUUUAAAAUUGACUGUGUCUGAUGUUUCUAUGCCCUAGAUGGUUUUUGCUAAUUUUAAUGUCAUUAUAUCUUUCUGUGAAAAGAAAUGUGGACAUAUUCAUGAAAGAAUAUUCAUGAAAGAAGGUGUCCUUAUUUUAGGGAUUUUAUGGAGUCACCUGACCUUCAUGAUUUGGGAUAUAAAGGUCCCUCAUUUACUUGGCAUAGAGGUGGGGUUCAUGAGCGCCUUGAUAAAGCCAUAGGUAAUAAUGCUUGGAUUGAAGCCUUUCUGCAUUAUUUGGUGUCCCACCUUCCGAGAAUUAAGCCUGAUCACAGGCCUCUACUCAUGUCUCUAAGAUCAGAUGUUAUCCCAUCUAGAGGUAGACCUUUCAGGUUUUUUACUAGAUAGACUGAACAUCCAGAAUUCUCAGAGUUGGCUAAUAAUAAUUGGAGUUAUAAUGGGGAUAUGACUACUUCUAUUGCUAAAUUAACUUCCGAUAUUAAAAAUUGGAAUAAGUCUGUCUACAGUCAUAUUUGAUAUCGUAAAAGAUAGUUGUUAUAGAAACUUACUGGCAUUCAAAAGGUUAUGUGAAGGUCAGAUUCUAAUUUGUUAAUUUAGCAAGAAAUAGAGGUGCAUGAACACUUGGAGAGUGUCCAGCAUGAGGAACUUCUUUGGAGCUAAAAAACAAGAUGUGAUUGGUUAGUCUUGAAGGAUCAAAACAUUAAUUUUUUCCAUAGACGAAUAAUUCAUAGGAGAAAGCAUAAUAGGAUUACUGCUCUGAGGAAUGAGAACGAAGAGUGGGUUUUCGAUAACGCUCUGUAGGUUGAGGUGAUUAAGUUUUUUCUGAGUUUAUAUGGAGAGGUUCUUGAACCUUUGAGUGGAAUUCCAUCUAGUGCGUUUCCUAAACUUGAGAAUGCGGAGGUUCAUUUUUGAGCAAUGAAGGUACAGAUGAGGAAAUUAGAACUACCCUAUUUGAUAUGGCUUUGCUUAAAGCUCCAAGAAGCGGAGGGUUUCAUGCCUUAUUCUUUCAGACUCAAUGGGACCACAUUAGUACAAUUAUUUGUAAUUGGGUUAGGUUAGUGUUUUUCGAGAAAGCUAUUAAUUCAGAUUUGAAAUAACACUUUAAUUAUUCUUAUUCCCAAGGUUCAUAAUCCUGAAAGCUUUUCUUAGUUUUGGCCAAUCAGUUUAUGUUCAGUCCUCUACAAACUGGUAAUAAAAAUCAUCGCUAAUCGAUUUAAAGUAAUUUUUCCUAAGAUUAUUGCAUAAGAACAAGCAUGAUUCAUUUCUGAAAGAAACAUCAUGAAUAAUAUUAUUAUAGAUUAAGAAGUUAUUCAUUCCAUGAAAAACAAGCAGAAGAACAGAAACUGGAUGGUUAUUAAAGUUGAUUUGGAAAAAGCUUAUGAUUGGUUGAGAUGAGAGUUUAUCGAUACUUCUCUCCAUGCUACAGAUAUCCUUGAUUUUCUUCGUAAUGUUAUUAUGUCUACUAUUACGAACUCUAAUUUGCAGAUCAUGAUAAAUAGAGUCCCAAUUGAGAAGGUUCGACCUAUUAGGGGCAUCCAAUAGGGGCGUUCGCUUCCUCUAUACCUCUUCAUUUUGAGCAUGGAUUGGUUAGGACAUGGUAUUAAGUUUUCCAUUACCAUGGAUCAGUGGAAGCCUACCAAGUUUUCGCGCAUAGGGCCUACCCUUUCUCACAUCUUUUUUGCAGAUGAUCUCAUUUUUUCGAGUGAGUGGAGGUGUAGCAAGCCAAAAUCAUAAAAGGUAUGAUGGAAAGUUUUUGUGGUUAUUCCAGCCACAAGUUAAUUCUCGAAAGACGAACAUCUUCUUUUCUAAGGUGUUAACAAGGAGUUGGGGGAGCAGAUCAGUAGUAUUUUUUGUUAUCAUAAGGUUCAAAACCUCGGUACGUAUUUAGGGUACCCCCUUUUGAUGAUAAAGUUACUAAUAGUACUUUAACGUUUGUUAUGGAUAGGGUUUGGAGUAAGCUGUAUAGUUUGGAUGUGAGACAUUUGUCUCUGGUAGGAAGGUUCAUUUUGGCUCAAUCUGUCUUAUUGUCGAUUCCAAGCUAUUUCAUAUAGUCCAUGAUGGUCCCUAAAGAUAUUUGUGUAGAAAUAGAAAUCAUAGUUAGACAAUUUAUCUAGUGAUCCUCAGUUGGGGGAAGGAAAAUAACAAUGGUUAGAUGAGAAGAUAUUUGCCAACCCCGAUCUUGUAAGGGGCUGGGCAUUAGGCAUCUGCAGGAUCAGAAGACUUCCUUUAUGGCUAAGAUUGGUGAUGAUGAAUGCAAAUUCUCUUUGGGUAAGUUUCCUGAAGUCGAAGUACAAAGUACAAAGUUCAAGAUGAGACUCCAAAGGAUAUAUUGAGGGGAAGAUGCUCGUUUCUUUGGAGGGCCCUUUCAAAGACCUGGCCUCUAAUCUGUGAAAACUUAAUAUGGUCUGUGGGAAAUGGUUGCAGUGUUAAAUGCUGGUUGGAUCCCUGGCUUCCAAAUGUUUGGCCGUUUGUAGAAAAAAUCCAUUCAAAUUCUAAUCUUGAGAGGGAUUGUUUACUUUUGGAUAUGGUUAUAGAAGAUGGCAGAUAGAAUUUGGAUCUCUUUCAUCUCUGGUUAUUGAAGGAUAUAUUUAGAAAGAUUGUGGGGAUCCCCUCCACAUCCUUCUGCACGUCAAUAUAGAAUUAUAUGGGCUAGGUCUACUAUUGGGGCCUUUUCUGUUAAAAAUGCUUAUAGGAAACUUCGUGAGAUGACGUGGAAUCCAAAAAAUGGAUUAUGGCAGAUUCCGUGGAAAUUUCAUGGUCUAUAAAGAGUUAGAUUCUUCAUUUGGAUGAUGAUUAAAGAACGUCUUCUAACUAAUAUCGAGCGUGUAAGGAGGGGGAGAAGGAGCAACAGUUUAUGUGGAUUUUAUGACCAUGACUCUGAGGAUGGCUUACAUGUUAUCAGAGAUUGUAGAGCAACUAAAGAUAUUUGGUUACAUGUGAUUCUUGAAGAUAAGUGCAAAUGGUUUUUCUUUGGGGACUUGAAAGCAUAGCUAGUGGCUAACUUGCAGAAUCAGCCACAAAUUUUGUUUGGGGAGGUGGAAUGGUCAUGCCUUUUUGGGUUAAUCGCUUGGCGUAUUUGGAAAAUUGAAAUUUACAUAUGUUUCAAAGAGUAUCGUGGAGUGUUGAUGAAGUGAUUAAAGAAUCAUAUAGUUGGGCUAAACAAUAUGCUUCUACAUGCAAGGUGUAUGUGUCCAAAAGGAAUACAACAAAUUCCUGUCUGAUAUUGACAGGUAAUUGGAUUAAGUUAAACACGAAUGGUGCCGUCUGGGUGGAUUCUAGUUUUACUACUGCAGGAGGGGUUAUGCAUGACAUGAAAGGGAAUUGGAUCUUAGGAUUCAAUAGGUGUUUGGAAGUAUGUAUGUUCAAUGCUGGAGGCUGAGUUAUGGGGUAUUUUUAAGGGUUGCGAUUUGACAGAGUGUUGAUUAAUAUAGAUAGCUUGGAAGCAGUUUAGGUUAUUCAAGACAACAACUUAAGGAACUCAAGUUCAACUUUGGCGAGGCGUAUACAUCAACUAUUGGGAAGGACAACUCAAUGGCAUAUCCAACAUGUAUCUAGAGAAGAUAAUAAAGAUGCGGAUUUUCUUGCAAAAUGAAUCGUAGUAAUGAAGACGUUUUACUUCUGUUUGAACAACCUCUUUUAGGUGUUUUAGCUUAAGUCCUUGUGAACACUUUGAUUUGUUUUAUAUUCACCAAAAAAAAAUAAUGGUUUUUUUAUGGUUUCAAAGUAAGAAAAAAUUUAAUGUCAUUUUAUGGUUUCAUUAUGAAAAAAAGUUCUGUAUAGAAAAAAAUUUCUUCCCUCUGUCUAUUAUCACCUUUCUUAAAGUGUAUUAAUUAACUUUUAAUCCCCAUGUACAACUUUUUUUCUCUUAAAAAAGUUAAUUAAUAACCUUAAAAAACUUUGUUUAAGAUUUUUAAACUUAAUAAAAAAUUGUAAUACAUUAUUUAGAAAAUUUCAAAUCAUAUCAUUUAAAAAUAAUAAUGCAGUUAUAUUAUAUAUGUUUAAAAGACAUUAUCAAAUUAUAAUCAUAUAUCCCGUUUAUGCUUGUGAAAUAAAAUAUUUGAGCCAUUUUAAAGGAUUUAUGCAGGGUUAAAAUAGUAAAAUUUUGUAUUUUAAGAGUUAUUAAAUCAUAAAAGGAUAUUAAUUAACUUUUUUAAGAGAGAAAAAGUUGCACAUGAUUAAAAGUUAAUUAAUGCACUCUAAGAAAGGUGAUAAUGAAGAGGGGGAAAUUUUCUUUCCAUCUACAACUUUUUUACUAUUGAAACCAUAGAAUUGCAUUAAAUUUUUUCUUGCCUUGAAAUCAUAAAAAAUUAUUAAUGUAAUUUCAUAUACAACUUUUUUUUUUCCGUUGAAACCAUAGAUGUCAAAUUUAAAUUUGUCUUGCCUUCUUCUCUUCCACUUUUUUUUUUUACAGCUCUCCAUUUUUUUUUCAUCUUCUUCUUUUGUUUCCUUUGCCUACUAAGUACUAUUAGGAGUGUUCAGUCGGUUAACUGACCCGAAAUUGUAAUAACCGAAUUAACCGACCUCCCAAAUUUUUUAAUCGUUAACCGAACCGAAUUUUUUUAAAAAUAAUUAAUCGAACCGAAAUUUUUUUCGGUUAAUAAGGUCGGUUAACCAAUUUAACCGAAAAAUAUGUGUUGGUCAUUUUUGGUUAAAAAUUACCCGAAUUACCUGAAUUACCCGAAAAUUAUCCAAAUUACCCGAAUUACCCGAAAAUUACCCAAAUUACCCGAAUUACCCGAAGAUUACCUAAAUUACCCGAAUUACCCGAAUUAAAUCACUACAUAAUUAAAAACAUUACAUAAAUAUUUGAAUCACUACAUAAUUAAAAAUAUUACAUAAGUCUUUGAAUCACUACAUAAUUAAAAACAUUACAUAAGUCUUGAAUUAACACAUAAUUGAAAUGUAAGUUUUUAAUAUUCUCGAUUUAUAUCCAUUUCAUCUCUCCAAAAUAUAUUCAUUUCAUCUCUCCAAAAUAUCUCCAUUUGCAUUAAACCUAAAAAAAAAAAACAUGAGCAAAAAUUUAGCAUAUAAUAGAAAUAUACGCAUUUAAAAAAACUUAAAUAAUAUAAACAAACGAAUAGAUUAUAAAUUAACAAGAAUAAGAUAGUAGUAAGCAUACCCUUCAACUCACGAAAGCUCAUGAAUCUAGGGUAGGCUCUAAUGCAUUCCAAGAAAUGUCUAAACAUUGAAUCAAUUAAAUAAAUAAGGGUGAUAUGGUAAAAAAAUUGAAACUAUUAAAAUAAAACAAUAAACAUACCAUUUUCAAUCUUGUCAAGCUCUUGGAUUUGUUCUUCAAUCUUUUUUAUGUCUUCUCGUGAUGAUGAUCUUCGAAUCCAAUCUUGAGUACACACAAGAGCUUGUACAAUUUUAGGAGUUAAAGAACUCUGAUAUUGAUCAAGCACACGUCCCCCGGUGCUAAAUGCAGACUCUGAAGCAAUCGUAGAAACCGGUAUAGCUAACACAUCUCUGGCAAUUUUUGAAAGAGUGGGAAAUCUAGGGCUGUUCACUUUCCACCACAAUAAAAUAUCAAAAUCUUCAACAAAUUCUUCAUUAGCCUCAGCUAGAUAUUUAUCCAACUCAGAUGUUUUAUCCUCACCACAAAUUUCCAACUCACGCUUUUUAUACAAAGCUUGCAUUCGCCUUUUCAUUUUUUGUUGUGGUUCACCAAUAGAAACAUGUGUUGACACACUCGAUUGGCUACAAGUACUAUGAAGUGGAGGCUUAUACUCAUCAAACAAUUCAUACAAAGAUUCCUUCAACUUUUGCAUCAUUUCACAAGCUUUUUCAAAACUAGACAUUUCACUAAGUGCAAAUUCAAGAUACUUUAGUUUUUGUCUAGGAUCUAAAACACAAGCAACAAACAUAAGCAAAUUCAUCUUAUCAAUACCACCCCAAUACUUAUCAUACUUCUCUUUCAUCUUGAUGGCCAUAACAUUGAAAUCAAUAUUACUAUUUAACUGAGCAUCUCGUAAAAGAAUAUCAAUUUCGGAAAGAUCAUCAAAAAAUUAUUGGACGUGACAUAUGAAGUGCCAGAUAUACGCAAAGUGACUUCAUAAAAGUGUUCCAAGAAAUCCCUCAAGUUUCUAACAUUAUCCCAAUCAUCCACACUAGGCCAACCCUCUCCCUUUUCAAGUUUAGCCCUAAAGUUUGUAUCUUGCUCCUGAAAUCUCUCAAAAGCUCUCUCAAAGUUCUGAGCAGUGUCUAACAUUAAGUAGGUCGAGUUCCACCUAGUACAAACAUCAAGACACAACAUCUUCUUGCACUCUAUCUUUUCCACCACAACACACUCCUUAAACUUUUGUAAUCUAGUUGGAGAUUGUCUCACAUAUCUAACAGCCCCCUAACACGUUCAACAGAUUUAUUCAUUUCCUUUAAGCCUGCAACAAUAAUCAAAUUCACAAUGUGUGCCAUGCAUCUCAUAUGAAGAUAUUUACCAUUUUGAACUAAACCCCCUCGAGGGUUAAAUUUCUUUCUCAAAUAACCAAUAGCAACAUCAUUUGAACUUGCAUUAUCAACAGUAAUAGUAAACAACUUAUCAAUCCCCCAAUUCAACAAGCAUUUCUUAAUCACCAUCCCAAUCGACUCACCCUUAUGACUAGAAAUUGGACAAAAGUUUAAAAUCUUUUUAUUCAAUUUCCAAUCAUUAUCAAUAAAGUGAGCAGUGAUACACAAAUAAUUAACUCUUUGCAAAGAUGUCCAUGUGUCAGUAGUUAAGCAAACUCUAGAACAAGAACUUCUCAAAAUUUGUUUUGGCUUGACCCUUUCAUCUAGAUACAAUUGAUAAACAUCCCUAGUCAUAGUAGUUCGUGAAGGAAUAUGAAACCUAGGACACGCCACAAACAUAAAUUUCUUAAAACCUUCACUUUCAAUAAACUUGAAAGGUAAUUCAUCAAUCAGAAUCAUUUGUGCUAAUCCUUUCCUACAUGCUUCUUGAUCAAAUCUCCAAGUUGAAAGAUUCCCUUCCCCCGCCCCCUUCAACUCCCUUGCUAGGUAAAACUAGUUGUCCUUGACUAGUGUCAACUACAUUACUAGGAUUUUUCUUACAUGAACCAAUAUGAUAUUUCAAUGACCUUGCACCUUUUUUUUCAUAUCACAACAAAAUUCCUUUUCACAAUAAUUACAUUUAGCCUUACUUGCACCCUCACUAUUAAUAAACUUAGUGAAGUGAGACCAAACUUCUGACCUUUGAGGAGGAGCUUUUCUUUUCCUGGACGUAGUCCCCUUCGUUUGGAUUGAAGCUCCAACCCUCGAAUUUUCAGAAUCUAUCGAAGUAGGAGGUGUAACACUACCCUCAAUAGAUGUUGGUUCGGUUGACAUUCUGCAAGAAAAAAAGUAUAUAAUAAAUUAAAAUAAUACGACAAACUUGGGGUCAACUGUCAAGGACAAUAUUAUUUACAAAAUCCAAAAACUUAAUAAAUUGAUGCAAUAUUAUUUAGAUCAUUUACAUUUUUUAAUUUCUCCAAUAAUUAUUCUAAAAUAUAGCAUUUUAAACCAAGUGAAAUCAUUAGAUAAACCACCAAAGAAAUAGUUUAACAGAUAAGAAUAAACCUUAUGGAAGAAGGCAUGACGAUCUUAUGGGUCCUUCAUUCAUCCAAAUUCGACCACAAUUAUUUGAUACGAAAUAAAAUAUGUUCUGAGACUUAUUUAUUUAUGGAAAAAACACUUAUGAAGUCCCAAGUUAAAAAAAACCUAAUAAAUGAAACUAACUAAAUUAUUCCAAAAUCUUGAUUGAUUAAGUGUUUAAAUAGGUGAAGAUAAUGAUUAGACAUCGAAUCUUUAAUGCUAAACAAUUUUAUUCUUAACAAAAAGAUCUGAAAUAAUUAAUUAACCAAAUAAUUAAAAAAAGAGAAAAGAAGGCCACAAAGAUUAUAAUAUGAUGAUAUAAAUAAAGAAAACAGUUGUACUGAUUAUGAUAAUAAUUCUAGUCUGAUUAUAUAUACUUUUUUAUGAAAUAAUCUGAUUAUCAUUAUUAACAAAUAAAUAAAGUCAUGACGGAUUUUAAAAAAAAAAUACAAAGAUAAAGAAAGAUGGCAAGAAAAGCAACGUUUAAGAUAAGAACAAAAGAAAUAAAUGUGUUUCCCCAAUUGAAUAUUAAAUCGUCAUAAAAUAGUAACACAAUUUCUUAGACGUAUAAAUAUAAUAUUCUACAUGUAUAAAAAAUGUAAAUUCUCCGGAUAGGAUUUGCUAUAGCCUUUGGCUUUAAUCUAUGGAAAGGAUUAAGUUUAGUAUGAAAAUUUGUUACUAUUUUUAGUGGUUUCUCCUUAUGUUUAGAUAAUUAGUUGUGGUGUAUUACUUGAAAUAACUUUUGGAGAAUAAUCAUGAAAAGAGGGUAAGCUUCCAAUUCCUUCCAAACAAAAACUUUAUUCCAUUUAAUACACUACAUAGUUACAACCUUGUGCCAAAUGUUAAAUGUAUUUCAUUUGAACUUAAUCAGCAUCAUGUAUCAAACAGACAAACACUCAGUAUUUUUUAAAAAUUAUAAAUUCCAACACUCAAUAUUUAAUAAGUAUCCAUGCAUCAUGCACGUUUAACCAAUCACUAAUUAUUAUAAUUAAGUAAUUAAUUCCUUUUAGAACCUAAUAAUGAUGCAGAAUACACUUAAAAGGGAUCUAUAUUGUAAUUCUCACAUCCCCCAUGAUAGUUUAAGUGCGCUUUCAGCCUAACCCAUUAUUUUUCAUCAAUAAAAAUAACUGAAAAUGUCAGGCUCUUCAACCCUUAGCCUAUCAACCUCCUCCGUCAAACCUGGAUAAAUUUUCCCUAUAAAUAACAGUUUUGCGUGGCCCUAAGGUUUAAACAAAUAAGCUACAUUACAUACAAUCUUUGCAAUGUCUUAUUCAAGAGUUGCCUAUUAGCCCUUACUUUCAUUGUCCAAACAGCUUUUGGAGCUGACCCUCUUUUCCAUUUUUUUCCAUUAGAAAAAAAAAACGAAUACUAUCUAUAUCAGUCAACUACAGAGUACAAACCCAUUCAAGAAAUUGGAAAAAAAAAAGAAAGGGAAAGUAGAAGAAAGCAAACCUAGCUAUUGGUGUGGUGGUCCGACACUCUGACUCGGCGACUCUGGCGGAAGAGAAAUAGUGUGUGAGUGAAAGUUUAAGUGUGUGAUUUAGGGUGGGAUUCGACUGAGAUUGAGAAUAUUAGGGUGGGAUUUAGGGCUAGAGGGGUUGGGUGUUAACUGUUAAGUGUGUGAGUGAAAAGUGAAAACUGAAAGUGAAAGGGAGGGGGUAGAGACGUAGUAGUCGGGCUGCUGCAGUGCUGCUGAGAAAUGGGCAUUGGACAGUAGGUUUAAAUUUGGGCUGGGUUUAAAUUUAAUUGGUGUAGGCCCAACCCUGUUAAUUUUGGUUUACCCGAAUUUUAUUGGUUAACCGGUCCGUUUCGAACCGAUUUAACCGUUAACCGAACAAACCAAAAAAAUUUAACUGACCCUCGACCGAAGUUUUUCGGUUCACCGACCGAUUAACUGAACUCGGUCGGUUAACCAAAAAAUUUCAAUUUUAACCGACUAAUGCACAGCCCUAAGUACUAUAGUCAGUAAAUUGAACUCAAAAUCUUUUUUUUUCUUCUCAAAUAUUCAGCGCUUCUUCUCUACUGAUAUUGUGUUAUUUUUUUUCAAAUCUCUCUUCUCAUGUAAUUGAAGGCUUAAGAGUCACAUUUCCAAAGCUUUAAAAAGAAUCAAACGGUCACCGAUCAUGGCAACCAGAGCAUGCCAUAAAAAAAAAACCACGCCGGCGCUAGUGGAGAGAAGGUCGGCACCAAAAAAAAUAAUUUAAUCUGACACGAGUGUUAGCACCAAAAAAUACUGAAAAGUAAAAUUUCAUUAUUUCCCGAUGCCGACUACCUAGAUGCUGACACCUAAUAAAAAAUAUUUUUUGAACCAGAAAAUACCCAUAUUUUUCAAAAAAGUACACAAAAAUACAUACGCGUGUUAGCCAUUGCAGUGUCAGCACCAAAAAAAUUAUUUUUUAAAACCCUGACCCAAUCAACAAGCAAUCAUUAUACGCUGAUUGACAUUGGUGACGACCAUCGGAGUGCCGACACUGCCCGACACUGUAGAUUUCAGGUAAUUUUCGUUAUAGUUUUUCAACCUGGGUCAAUGUCAUAAAUUUUUUUUUGGUUAGUUGGGUAAAAAAGCUUAUAAAAUCACUACAAAUAUAAUAUUUUAAAUGGUAAAAGUAUGAUAAAGGCUCUUAUUUUAAGAGUAGAUUACAUUUUUCUCUUUUUACUUAAAAAAUAAGUAAAUUAGUCUUUUUUAUAUUAAAGGUACACGUGACAUUCUAUAUGUAAUUGUCUGAUUAUUCUAUCAAUCAAGUCAAUUUUUAUCAAUAGAAAUAGAAACUUUUUAAUAGAAAGAACUAAUUUACUUUUUAAUCCAAUGUACAAGAAUUAAUUUAUUAAUUUAAUUUUGCUCUUAAUACACAGAUUUUUUAUUUUAUUUUAAGCAUGAUCCAAUAAAUUAACUAAACUAAAAUCUGGUGUUUUUUUUCAAAAUUGAUCCAAAAAAUAGAUUAUUUAUGAAAAUGACCCAGGUGAAAAAUCUUUGAUGGAAAUGACUUGGUUCUAUAGUGCAUGUUGGUGCCAGCCAUCUCACCGUCGGCACCACCCUCCAUGAUCUCUUAAUCAUUACCCGAUGAUUGCCCGGUCAAAUAAAAAAUAAUUUUUUUGUGUUGGCACUGUGUUUGUUGACACCAAUAUGUUUUUUUUCAAAUACACUUAAAAAAUACAGUAUUCUAAGAUUAAAAAAAAAGAAAAAAUAAUAAUAUUUUAAUAGGUGUCGGUGUUCACGUUGCCAACAUAGGUUCAAAUUUAAAAAACAAUGUUUUUUAGUGUUGGUACUAACGUUCUCAUUGUCAGCAUCAGUGUGGUUUUGAUUUUUUUUUGUCGGUGUGCUCUAAUUACUAGGACCGGUGACUGCUUUUUAAAAAAAAAAGCCAAAGGCAUUUUAUCAUUGACAAAAGACUACGGCGUUGUCAUAUUUGUUGCCGUUAACUGCAUGUCCUCCACCGCCAAUGUCUUCUUCCUCUAUUUGCUGCUAUCAUCACACGACACUCUCCUCCGCCUGCUUCUUGUUCUUGAAGCGACCAUCAUCGACUUAUUCAACAUUAUGACUUUUUAUUGAUUGGGCAAUCAUCAGAUAAUAAUUAAAGGAUGAUGGAGGAUGGUACCGACGAUGAGAUAACCGACACCAACAUGUACUAUAAAAAAAUAGUUCAUUUUCAUUGUCGAAACCAUUUUUAUUUUGAAAAAUGGGGUCGACUUUUAAAACGAAAAUGGAGUCGCCACCAAUCUUUUUUCGAGGUGUGAUCUGAGAUUAAUUAUUUUAAUAAAACAUUUUGAUUUAUUAAAAUAAUGAUUUUGGUCUACAAAAUUCGAGAAAACGGGCUCGGAAGUUGGUUAUGCACGAGGAAGGAUUAGCACCCUCGUAACGCCCAAAAAUUGGUACCUAAUUGAUUAAUUAAUGUCUCAAAGUCGAAUGUCGAAAAUUUGAAAAGUUUAGAAACGAUUCCCCUUUUUAUUAAUGCCAUAUUUUAAAACAAUGCUUGGAUAGAUUUGAACGAAUGUAAAAUGAUUUCUCAUCCCGAGGCAACAAGAUGUCGUAUCCCCUAAGUUAGGAUGCAACGUUUGAAUUCCCGAGCAUAAGUUAACCUUUUAAAAAUAUUUAUUGAAACCUUGUGCAUUUGAAAACUAAAAUGUUUAGUCAUUUUAGUUCAAUGAGAAAAUCGAAACCCCGUAAGUUAGAGCACGAUUUCUCAUCGUUCCAAAGACGACAUAUUGCAAACUUCAUUUUCCCUUUUUUACGAAAUUGGAUCAAAGCGAAGGUUUAAUGCAAUAUUAACAAUGAUAUAAAUUUGAUUUAUUCGAAAUGAAAAGAAAUGAAAUAAUCAAAUUUUGGCAAAUAAAUCGAAAAUUUUAACUAUGAUGUAAUGUUCUCAUUUAAUAAAUUGUUUAAAACAACUAAUAAAACACAAUAUAUAAAAAUAUUGAAGCAAAUGAAGUAUGAAGAAAAAUUAGAAUAUCCAUUAUAUAGAAAAAAAAAGUAAUAUUUAUAAUUCAAAAUAAAUAGUAUGUAUAUGGAUGAAGUUUAAAACAAUACAUGAAUUAAAACAAAUAAUAUAUAUGAAUGUACAAUUUAAUACCAAUAAUAUCUACAAUUUGAAAUGAAUUGGAUAAUUUACAAUAAAUAAUAUAUAAUAAAUUUGAAAUAAUAAUACAUAUAAAAUUUAAAAAUUUUAUGAUAAUUCUAGAAUAAUCAUACGUGAUAAAUCCAAAAUAAUAGUAUAUAAUAAAUUUAAAAAUAUUAAUGAUAAAUUUGAAAUAGAUAUACAUGAUAAAUUUAAAAUAAUGUUAACAAUGAAUUUAAAAUAAUAAUAUUGAUAAAUUACAAAUAAUAAAACAUGAUAAAUCUAAAAUAAUAAUAUACAGUACACUUAGAUAAUAUUAAUGAUUAAUUUAAUAAUAAUAAGCAUAAACAUUCAAAUAAUAUCAGAUUUAAUUUUUUUAAAAAAAUAGCAUAAUAAUCGAUACUUAAAUAAAUAAAACACAAGCAAAUUAAAUCAAACUAAUGAGGAUUAAAUUGAAUUUAAAGCAAAAUUAAAAGGAAUAAAUGAGAAUAAAACAAAACUGAGGGCCAAAAUAUGGAAAAAAAUAGAUAGUAUAAAAAAAUAAAUUGCAAUUGAUAAUAUAUGGAAAAAAAAUUAAAGCAAAUAAUCAAACAAUUUAAAAUGGACGAUUUAUAACAUGAGUUUUAAAAAAAUAACAUGUGUGACAUAAUAUUAAAAACAAAUAGAGUAUAUAAUUAAUGGAAAAAAAAUAAAAGAAUGAUAAGAAUGGUUAAAUGAAUGAACAAUAUAUAAAUAAGAAAGUUGAUGGAUAAAUAAACAAAUAAAAAUAAAAGAAUAAUUAAUGAUUAAACAAUUAAAUGGAUAAAUAAAAAGGUUAAAAAACGCUUAAGUCAGUUUAACUCUUACAAUAUGAAGAUUCAAAGAAAUUCCUCCAUCAAAAUCCAACUCAAAUGAAAGCAACUUAAAAAGAAACAAAGAUGAACGAAGAACAAGAUAAGAACAAGCCACAGAAAAUAAGAACGCAAGAGAGGGAGAAAUUUGAGUGAAUGCUUUUAAGAAUUAUUAUUGCUCCAAACUUCAGUGUUUUACAAUGAAGGGAGAGGCCUCUAUUUAUAGUUGAGCCUCCCCAAAUCUAACGAUAUAGAUCAAUUACAUCAACGGCUAAGAUUAAAGGGUAUCUACAAAUUAAAUCUCUAAGAUUACAAAAUCUUAUCUUCUAAGAGUGCAUAUCAUAUCUUAGAUUGCAUAUUCUGGACCUUCAACCCACUACACCAAAACAAGUCUUUAGCGGCGUUUUUUUAGGCCUUUAGCGGCAAACAUCGCUAACGUUUGCAGCGUUUACAAAAAAAACCGCCGCUAAAGAUCAUAUUCUUUAGCGGCGUUUUUUUUAAGCGCCGCUAAAGAACCUGCUCUUUAACGGCGCUUUGUAAAAAACGCCGCUAGAGAUCAUAAUUUUUAGCGGCGCUUUUUUUACAAACGCCGCGAAAAGAAAUGUUCUUUAGCGGCGCUUUUAUACAAAAACGCCACUAUUUUUGGGAUUUUUUUAUAUUAAAAUUUUCAUUUUUUUAGCCCUCCUGUAGCAACAAAUCAAAAGCAACCAGAUCUAAACCAGCCAAAAACAAUAAUUUUAUAUAAUAUUUCAAAUUAAAUGAAUAAAAUAAUAUUAAUAUCAAUAAAUAAAAGUAAAUUCAUAUUAUUUUUGCAAAAAUGUUAAAAGUUAAAAUGAUAGAAAUAUUUAUGCAAUACACUAUGACGGCAGAAGUUGCGACUGAAACAUCUUCAUCAUACUCUAAAGCUGCUGCUGGAGUUCGUCGUACUUUUUGCUUUGCUCUGCUUCUCUCGCUGCAGCCUCUGCUUUAAGUUGUAGCUGGAGUUCUUCAUAUUUUCUUUGAACCUCUGCUUCCCUCGCUGUCGCCUCUGCUUUAAGUUGUAGCUGGAGUUCUUCAUAUUUCCUUUGAACCUCAACUAUGGUCGCUUGCAUCUGAGUCAUCUGAUCUUUUAACCUCUGAACUUCAGCUUGAGCCUGACUCCUCGAAGCCAUGUAUUGCUGCGAGCUGGAUCCAAAAUAUUAGGUUGGGCUAACAAAAGAUCCUUGAAAUCGAACCCGACCAUACCUUUCAGGACCUAAAACUUCAGUAAUAAUCCGGUUAUCAAUGUCUUCAGGAUGAACAGAACUAUCACUAGAAGCAAUCGCUUCGUACUCCGCCUUUUUAUCCUUUAGUUUUUCCUAAUAAAUAAAUCACAUAGUUAGGAACGCAAUAUAUAUUAAAAAACAUAUGCAACAUAACAAUAGUCGCAUUACAAGCAAUGAAUUAAACCAUUAGAAAAUAAACACUAUAAAUAACUAAAAGAAGUCAAAUCGUAUUAAGUAAACGUACCAUUAUUUCACCAGCUUCAGGAGUCAUGGGAGAUCCAUCUUUCUUCCUAUGUGUAAUUUCAAAAAGUUGAAGGCAUCAAACUUUUUGACCGGACGACAGUUCCUACAAUAUAGUAGUAAAAAUAUUAUUUAAUGGAAAGUUAUACAUAUUUGACAAUAUUAAAAAAUUAAAAAUACCUCCGCCUCAGCUACACAUGCAAAACUUCUCGACCUGGCUGUGUGAGUGAAUUUUUGUUUCUGCCUACUGCUUUUUCCAACUCGUUCACGAUCCUACGUUAUGAAAUUUUUAGUACGUAAAUAGUAAAUACUAUAAACCAAAAUAAUUACAAUAGUUUGGAAGUACGUCAUACCUUGCCUUUCUUCGAAUGCCAAAAUCUAACCGCAUCUUCCCAUUGGUACCUCAACAUACCCGGCAGGACAUUUUGCAAUUUCUCAUCGAGGGUUAUUUUUGUCUUAUAAUAAUUUUUCUUCAAAGUACUUUUAUGGUCUCUCCAUCUUUUUCCCAAUGCCUUCUUUACAUAAGCAUCCGAGACCUCCAAAGCAAACCUCGCCUACAAAAAACACAAGUUAAUAAAGUAAAUAUAAAUGAAACUAUUUCCCAAGCAUUACAGAUGACAUUAACAUUUUGUUACCUUAAUAUUAUCGAGGGCUUGGUUUUUGUUGCUAUCGGGCAUUUGAUGCCAUGACUUAUAGUUGAUAGGCAACAUAUUCGCAUUUUGUGCUAAAAUGCCCAUGUAUCCUGCUAAAAGUUGAGCUUCUGGUCCAACAGGCUGACCAAAACUAUUUCGUCCAACCUUGACACGCUCGACUGGAUCUAACUCGUAUAACUCUCUAAGCAGCGUACGUCCUCGACCUCUGCACGUCCCACCAUUUUCAGCUACAAAUGGUAUAUUAUAAUAUAAGAAUUUGAAAAAUAAAUCAAUUAUAAGUCAACACGCAUGUAAAUUAAAUGUAAAAUUACUUUGAACUUCUGUAGGAUCCUCAGAUGUAAUCGGAACAUUCGAAGAUCCAAUUGCUGUCUGUUGUUCAAUACUAUUUGUUUCUGUCGAGUUUGGAUUAUUUUGAACCAUGCUUCCCCUUAGAAUUUUUCUUCUAGGCAUUUUAUCUGCAAUACACAUAAAAUAGUUGAAAACUUAAUAACUAAUUACAACAAUAACAACACAUAUAAAAUAAUUGAAAUAUAUAAUAAGACCAAGAUUUAAAUUAUUAUAUUACAUAUAAUUAAACAAUCGUAAAAUCUUACUCCAUCAUUAUUCGUAAAUAUCUUCAUCCGUAUCUUGACGAACCCAUUGAAAUUGUGCACUAGUACUAGGGAUAUUAUCGUUUAAGUUUUGUUUUGGAAAGGGCAAAGUUUCUGAUCUGUCGUCGAUGUUAUCUCUACUUCCACUGCCCAUGUCAAACAAGUCUCUAGGGAUGUUACGAAGUAUAACGUACUAACCCUCAUCAGUUGGAUAUUUUGAGUAAAAAACUUGUUUGACUUGAGAUGAGAAUACAUACGGCUCAUCUAUCACUUGUUGUCCUAUAUAAAUCAAUCGGGCGAAGUUCACCACUGUAAAACCAAAUUGAUCUUGCUUAAUUCCACGAGCAGUAUUAACAUCAGCCCAAUCACCUCGCAAUAAGACAACUUUCCAUUUGCCGUAGUUAUCCAACUCAAUUAUGUCAGUAAGAAGUCCGAAAUAUUCCACAUUUCCCUCAACAAGAUUAUUGUCCCUAGCACUAGCAUAACUUGUAAUUGAGGAAUUAACAACUAUUCCACAAUCUUGCUUUCUCCUCAACCUCUUGCGAUAUUUUGUAUGAAAUCUGAAUCCGUUGAUGAGGAACGCACUAUAUCUUUUAACCACUCGAUCUGGACCUUGGGAGAGCCAUUUAACUUCGUCGUUUACGUUCUUCCCACUCCGAACCUAUUGAAUGGAAAGUAAACCGAGUAAUUAAAAAUUAUUCAAUGUAGACAAUAUUUCAUAGCACACACCUCAAAAAUUUUCACAAACAAAAAGAAAAACAAUUAAAAAAAAGAAAAAGAAAACCCUGAACUACUAGAAUUAAAGAAACCUAUAGCAGGCAGAAAAAUGUAAAGCAACCUUCUUUGUAGCAGGCAUGGCCUCAAGUAUUAUAACCACAAAGAAUAUCUGACAACAAUUGCCUACACCAAACCAACAUGGACUUGUAAAACAAUUCCCACAAGAAGUUGGGUUAAUUUUAUAUGAAAUAGUUUCCCCGCAAAAAUCUAGCUUUUUGGACUUGUAAAACAACAAAUCCAAGUGAAAUGACUUUAGUUUAAAAUUUAAAUUACGGCACUCUCCGCCAUUCAGCCAAUAGUGCUUUUUAAAGAUAUACAAGUAAAGAAAAACAAACUGAAUGAACAAGAUAGGGAAUGACAAGGCCCAUGAGGAAAAUAAUGAAAAAAAUAAAAAUUCAGAUAAUAGUUGAAACAGAACUAACGGUUCUAGGAGAAACUUGGACAAGCCCAGAUACAGAUUUAUACACUUAAGGUAGCCAAAAUUUUCAAUGGCAGCAAAAAUGAAAAAAAAAUGUAUAUAUAUACAGAAAAAGGAACUGAAAUCUUGUAGAAAGAGAAGAGGUGGCUCACUUCUCGGACGUGGAUAAGCAGACGGAGAAACAACGAAAAUGAAGCACAGAUUCAAAAGAGAUGAUUUAAGAGAAAAAGUUUUAUAUUUAUUUAUUCAUUUGCCUUACUAAUAAUAUCAAAUUCCAAGCAGGAAAGAAAGGUUGAAUUCCAAGCAUUGAUUUUAAAUGUCAAAGGAACGAUGACACCUUCGCCGAAGAUCUCCGGUGUGUCAACAUCGUCGACUUCCAUGGCUGAACCUUGGUCGUCUGGGUCCGUCACGAAUUCCAUCGGCUUCUAAGCUUCUAGGGAUUUCUUUCCCCCUUUUUCUUUAGGCUUCUAGGGAUUUCUUUCGUUGUUUUAAUUUUAAUUAUUUCUGUUGAAAUAUCUUUCCCCUCUUUUCCUUACAAUAAAUUAUGGAUUUUGUGGCGUUUUUAGAAAAAACGAAGCUAAAAAAAUUAAAUUUUUGUAGUGAAACGGCACGUUUUGGAAAAAUUUAAUAAAUAUUUGCGGCGUUUUUUGUCCAAACGCCGCUAUUGCUUACCUUUUGCGGCGUUUUUCUCAUAAAUGCCGCUAAUGGUUGAUUUUUUUUAUAAUUUUGUAUUUAAUUAUUAUAUAAUUCAUAAUCCAUAAUUCCUAAUUAUUUAAAUUAUUUAAAAAAAAAGAAAAUCAAGAAUUGUAGAUUUAAUGUUGAUAUUAUAAAUUACUGGUAAAUUCAAAUAAAAAUCUAUCUUAUCUAAACAUUUUAAAUAUAUAUAUAUUUUCAAAUUGUUAAAUUUCAGUCCUAUAUAAAUGAAUCACCAUCCUGUUUCAACAUUCGGCUUUCGAAAUUUCAAUGGAAUUUACAGAAAAUAUUUUGUUAUUUUAUUUAAUAAUUAGGUGUUUUGUGAGAUAAUAAGUAAGAAAUUUAAUUGACAUAUUAUCUUAAUAUGUUAUAAAAAUACUGUUAUUAUCUUAAUUAUAUUACUUACAUUCUAAUGAUUUAUCGGACCUAUUCCAUACACGUGUCAAAUCAGAAAAAUAAUACAACAAUUCUGUAAAAAAAAAUUCGGUGUUUACUUCAAAUAAAUAAGGAAAAUAAUAAUUUGAAUGUUUCAAAAUUCAAUUUUAAACCGAAAAAUCAAAAUUUAGAGGCAAAAAAGGAUCUUUUUCGACGAAAACUGCGGCAAACUGCCUUCGGCAAUUUGUCAGGGCGUAGAUCUCGAAAAGUUAUUCGAGAUAAAAAAAAUGGCCUCAAUUGGACAACCGAGCCAAAAGUUAUGGCCUUUCAAAAUUUUCCAAGCUAAAAAACAUAAACUGUUCAUGAAUUAUUACUUCAAAACUCACCGUUUCGUUUCCAUUGAUUUCAUCGUGCACCAUUUCAAUUGAUUUCACAAAUCCCGCCUCUAAUCCUCCCAAAAUUUGACAUCCCUCCAACUCUACACAACGAUUCAAAAUGCUUUCUUUUUCAGGCAAAAUACCAAAAAAGCCCUAUAUUUUUAAAAUUUAUCGAAAUGGGCCCGGUAUUUUAUUAUUUACCGAAAUGGGCCAUUUUUCCCGAAAUCGCGUCCACGUCAGCGCGAUACCAGGGGACGUGUUGAAACUCUAAACCCCAAAUCCCUAACCUAAUUAUUGAAACCUUAAACCCCAAAUCCCUAAACCCUAACCCCUAAAUCCCAUAACCCAUAAAUCUCUCUAACCUCUAAAGCAUAACACUGAACCCCUAAACCUUAAUUCACAAACCCAAAAUCCAUACCUCGGCCUACUCCUUAAACUCUAAACCAUAUAAUAUAGUGAUAAUUAAUUCAAUAUUUUUAAAUUAAUACUAUCUCUUUUACGAUUAUAUAAGAAAUUAUUUAAUAUAUAAGCUAAAAAAAUCAGUAAUGUAUCCAAAAAGCUUUAAAAUUAUUUUAAAUAAUAGUAUUUUAAUUUUUCCAUUUUUAACAAAUAUUUUAAAUUAUUUUAAAUCCCUGAGCAUUAGCGGCGCUUUUGUAAAAACGCUGCUAAAUCCCCGAAAGCUCAGAAAACGGCAUCGUUGGGUUUAGGUUUUUUUGCGGCGCUUUCCCAAAAACGCCGCUAAAGCCCUGAGCAUUAGCGGCGCUUUCUUAAAAACGCCGCUAAAUCCUCAAAAGCUUAGAAAACGGCGUCGUUGGGUUUAGCUUUCCCAAAAACGCCGCUAAAGCCCUAAGCAUUAGCUGCCCUUUCUUAAAAAUGCCGCUAAAUCCCCGAAAGCUCAGAAAACGACGCCGUUGGGCUUAGUUUUUUUUACGGCUUUUUCCCAAAAACACCGCUAAAGCCCUGAGCAUUAGCGGCGCUUUCUUAAAAACGCCGCUAAAUCCACGAAAGCUCAGAAAACGACGCCGUUGGGCUUAGUUUUUUUUGCGGCGCUUUCCCAGAAACGCCGCUAAUGCCCUGAGCAUUAGCGGCGCUUUCUUAAAAACGCCGCUAAAUCCACGAAAGCUCAGAAAACGGCGUUGUUGGGCUUAGUUUUUUUUUGCGGCGCUUUCCCAAAAAUGCCGCUAAUCCCCGAAAGCUCAGAAAACGGUGUCGUUGGGCUUAGGUUUAUUUGUGGCUUUUGAGCAAAAACGCAAGUAAAGUCCUGGGUAUUAGCGGCGCUUCUCGAAAAACACUGCUAAAUCCUCGAAAGCUCAGAAAACGACGUCGUUGGACUUAGAUUUUUUUGUGGGGCUUUAGCAAAAAUGCCGCUAAAGUCCUGGGUAUUAGCGGCGCCUCCCGAAAAACGCCGCUAAAUCCCCGAAAGCUCAGAAAACGGCGUCGUUAGGCUUUGGUUUUUUGUGGCGCUUCGGCAAAAACGCUGCUAAAUCCGCUAAAGCUCAAAAAAUGGCGUCGUUGGUCUUAGGGUUUUUUGUGGCGCUUUGUCAAAAACGCCGCUAAUGCCCCGAAAGCUCAGAAAACGACGUCGUUGGGAUUAAGUAUUUUGUGGCGCUUUCGCAAAAUCGCCGCUAAUGCUUAUUUCAUCGGCGUUUUCCAUGGAACGCUGCUAAUGGUCGAUCUUUAGCGGCGUUUUUUAUCCAACCGCCGCUAAAAACGCCGCUAAAAGUCUGUUUUGGUGUAGUGACCUUUUCAAGUAAUGAGUCAUUCCGAUCGGACCAAAUGAUAUAAUUUUGGACUGGAGUUAGACUUUAUUUUAUUAUUUUAAGUUUUUUUGUAAACUCGGGCUAAAUUGACCUAUUACAUUCAUAAAUAAAAUUUAUAUUUAAAUCAUUUUUGUAAAUAAUCAAAUUUAAAACCCACAUUUUACAGUGUUGUGCUUCUGGAUUCAUCGUAGGCCUAAGAGUUGGCAAGAUCAUGAGUGACAUAGUGGGUAGUUGUUGUGUAAUGUCAAUCUACAGAAGACACGUAAUUAGAAAGUGACAAAAUUAUUGUCCUUCAGUUGUAGGACAUCCCAUGCAUUUACACUUUGAAAAAUAAUGCAAAGAGCUGACGCGUAAGGACAGCAAUUAAUGGUACGGUAUUCAUCUGUCUCAUAAUUAAUUAAUAUGGCCACAACCACAAGGCUUGUGCCAAAUCACCCCCUACUUCAUUUGACCCCAAUCUGAACUGAAAACCAUGCCUCCAACUUCUUUGCUCCUUAGCUGGGACUGAAUUAUGUUAUUUUACAUUUCCUAUUUGCUUUAAUAUUAUAGAUGUAUAUUUAUUUUAUUUACCCUAUACAAAUUUACAUUAUCCUCUAUCAUUUUAUUAAAUAUAUAUAUAAUAACACCCUUAAACAAUUAAAUUAGGAUUCAACUUUUUAUGGGUUACUUAUUUAAUGAUUUAACCUUUCAAAAUGGUCACAUGAGCGUUACUUUUAUAUACGUAUUUAAAUAAGAGUUUUUCAUACGCUUCAAUUAAGUUCAUAUUAAAAAUUAGUUAAAUGAUAAUAUGUUUAGAAUAAAAUAAAUAACAACUAAAUAAAAUAUUAUUUAAAAAGAAAAGAAAAGAAUAAUAACAUAAUUUGAAACCCAAUAUACGAUAUCUAAGAAGCCAUUAUUUUUGUAGUUUUGAAAUGGUUUGGCUAUUAUUUAAGCACUUUCGAAAAGGUUCGGCCAUUGUUUGAACAUUUUGAAAAGUUUAGCCUUCUUUUGAGCACUUUUGUAAAGAUUAGGCCUUAUAUGACAAUUUUGAAAGAUUUGAUCCUUAUACGAGCUACCCUAAAAGGUUAGACCUCAAAUUGAGCAUUUUUAGCUUUUGAUUUAUUAUUAUUAUUGUUAUAACAUUAAUGUUAUAUAAAAUGUUGAAUAAUACAAUGAGUGUGAUUCACACUAUAAGGGGGUGUGAAGAGCCUCUAGAAUGGGGCAAUUUACACCAUAGAUGAUGCGAUUGGAUUUUAAGUUGUAACACCUUGAAUAAUUUAAGUCUGUUUUUGUGAAAUUUAGGGUCUGUCUGAUUGCCAGUAAAAUGUUUUCCGUAAAAUAAUUUUUGGAAAAUGUUUUACUUUUCUAUAAAAUGAUUUACUGGAAAAUAUUUUUUGGUGUUUGAUUGAAUCCGUGUAAAAUAUUUUCUGCUGUUUGGCAGAUUUCCUGAAAAUAUUUUUCGAAAAAGUUAUUUUUACAUAUAUUAAUAUAUAUUAAUAAAUUUUUAUAUUUUAUUGCAAUGAUUUAUUUAUAAUAAUACUCAAUUAUUAAGCUACAAUAUUAAUCGUUAAAUUAAAAAAAACUAAAUUAAAUAUAUAAUAAUACUCAAUUAUUAAAAUAUAAAAGCAUUGCAAACUACUUCCGAAAUUUACUAAUUAGUAGUGAAUCAAUUGUAGUGAUCUCCUGAUGAAAUUACGCUCAGCAUAAAAGCAAUUUUUUUGUUGUCUUACAAACAACACAGAUAGCAUCAUUAUCAAAUUUCAGCCACUCUCAAGUAUAACCAAUUCCUUAGCCAACCAAUCUACAUUGUAACACAAAGCUAACUCCUAUAAAAAUUAUCCCAAUGCACACAUUUACAGAAAUAAAUAUGUAUAUAUGUAUGCAUUCAACAAAUACAUAACCAUAUGCAUGCAAUCAGCUAUGUUCUUUGAAAGCUACUACUAGAUCAAGCAUUGCCCCAAUACCAUAGGUUGCCAUCCAAUAGAGAGGAAAAAAUACAAGCAAAGAACCCAACUUUUUACUUAGACAUAUGGCGAAACGUGCUCAUGCAACUGGUAAGAAAAAAUCACUCAUGGCCCAAAAAAGAAUUUCAUAAAACUGAUAGUAAAAUCAAAAUGAAUGAUACAUACAAUCAAAAUUUUCAACUGACACCUAUUGAUUUAAUACAACCAGGUAAAGAGGCCGACAACCAUCUGAUAUCUAUGAAGCAAAUGAACUAGCAAUAUACUAGAAAUAUCAGCAAUUGCAAUCAACAAAGGCAACAGGCUCCAUUGAAGUCCCCAAUUUAAAUCUAUUGAUUUAAUACAUGCUCUCAUUGAAGUCCCCAACUCUAGGAAUAUUGUUCUGCCAGAAGCUAGUCAGUUAAGCAAAAUCAAUAAAAAUUCAAGAAACAUAAACCCAAACCUAGAUAAACUACUGCAUUUAUCUUACGGUGCUUGCCAAUUACGUUGCCAUGAUUUCCAAUUAUAACAGAAAUGGAGUUCUGAAAAAGACCGACCCGUACCCGGGGUUCUCUUAACAACUCUUUGUCAGCAGAAAAUUUGAAAGCCUGGAAUGAUUUGAAAUGGAAAAGCACUUAUAACUGCCUUCUACAAUAUACUUGUAUUGAAAUGACAAAAAUUGAGGCACAAGGUGAUAAGAGCUAGAAAGGGGUGCAAGUGAUAAUAGACAUUAACAUGUCCUUACCUUCCAAUAAAUUUAAAAUGGCAUAUCCAUCGCAAGAAUUUUUAUGAUUUGUACCCUCGACAACAUUGGUGAAGAACAACACAACCUAUAAAAUUGUUAUAAGUAUCCUAAAUUGAGAUCUACCUUGAUCAUUAGAGACAAGAUUAGUGCUUUGUUGUAGCACAAUUUAAAAUAAUUGUUUAUGAAAGCAAGACAAUGUGCAAGUACACAAGCAUGAGAGCAACGGAGCUUUCAAUUUUAUCUAUUAAUGGUUUUCACAUGUCUUGAGAGAGAAUAUGAUUGCUAGAUAUUACAAAAGGUUAAACAAAAAAGGUAGGCUAUAUUCUGUACUAGCUCUACAAGUUCAGAGUACAAAAACCACAAGCACUUCUAAUAAAUCAAAUUCUACAGGUCUCUAAUGGUCAGAACCAUUACUCAUUUAUCUUCAGAAAACAGGAGUGGCGAGUUGCAAAAAUCUAUACCUCAUCAACUUCCAUUGAGAGAUCAUUCACACUUUGCCUAAGUAAUCCUUUCAAUCUUCCUUUCUUGAAAUCUGAAAGCUCAGCACCAAUGUUGUUUUCAAAAAGUGAAUCAACAUCUUUAGGACUACAAUCCAUAGACUCUUUAUCAUUGACCACCAUAUACUUCCCUUGAGACAACUCAGAUGCAUUGGAAUUGGACAGAGUAUUUUUAUCUUCUGACAACAGGUCAGCUAUUUGACAAGCAUAGAAGCUAAAGAAAUCAGGUCCAGCUUUACAUUGCUUACUCGAACCAUCUGAAUUUCUCGGCAUCUCUGACAUGAUAGAAGUACUACUACUCUGCAUACGACAACUACAUAGAUAUGAAUCAGUCCAGACUCCAGAUAAAUAACUGAAGCAAAAGAGGAAGAAGCACCAUUAUAUAUACUAUACAAAUUUCUCUCUAAAGCUAUAUUUAGAAACAUGAAUUUGAACAUUUGGAUUUAAUUUCAUUUGUUAUAAAAAUCUACGGAUAAAUAAAUAUUGAUGAGCUAAGAUGAUGGAUCUCUAUAUCAAUGAAUCGUUAUAAUGCAGUAAUGUUGGAUAAAUAAAUAGGCACUUGAAGAUCAAACUCAUGUUUUGAAGAGAGGGCUUUAGCUGAUUCAGGUGGAACAAUAGUUUCAAGUGUUGUUCCGCAAUUCAGCCUUAGAAGCAAUCGGCUGACUUCCUGUUAAUAAACCAUAACAAAAUUCCAAAAGAUUGUUACUUUCACCAGCAAUAAGAUCAGUAGAUUUUGACUUUUAAUAGGCAAAACAUGUUACUUGUUAAUGAGAUAAACUGUUUACAAAUUCUAGGAUCGUCUGCAAUGAUUAUUUCAGUGGCAAAAACUGACUAAAAUGACAAUAACCAAUCAAUUCAUAAUAGACAAUAUGAAAUGGGUUUCCUUUUUCAUGAUCAAAUUUGCUUUUACAAUAUAUAUAUAUAUAUAUAUAUAUAAGCAAGAAAAAUAACAGGAAAGACAAAUAAAUUACAACCCGGAAAGUGGGAAAAAAGAAAAAGAAAAGACCUGGUAGAGUUGAGGCUUGAGAUUUGCGCUCAAGAGGUGGUGAAGCGAAUUAUACCCACAAAUUGAUCCAUAUUUGAAACUUUCUUUUUCUUCUGUGCUUCCAUUUUCUUUCCCAAUUCCAUCAGUUUUUUCAUUUUCUGAUUCCCUCAAUUAUUGCUCCGAAAUCAAAACAUAGAAAAAAGGUUGAUGAACGCCGGUGUCUAGUGUUAAGAAUCGAUGUUGGUUGAUGGCAAGCAGAAGAUCAGGUGUCAAGGAUAGGAGAAAGGGAAGGGCAAGGGAAAGGGAAAGGGAAAGGGAAGAUCGAUGUCUAAAAUUUUCUUGAAAAUGUCUUAUCGAAUUAGAAACGGUAAGAUAUUUUCCAAAAUUAAAGGCUUCUUUUUCCCGUAUUUGUAAUUGAUUUUACGUGAAGAAAAUAUUUUCAGCCAAACAAACACUGGAAAAGGCUGAAAACCUUUUCCGGAAAAUGUUUUACUACAAUCAAACAGAGCCUUAACAUAAAAUGUGUAUUUGCUUCAGUGGUUAAGUGUUCUGGGUGUGUGUAUGAGGUUUUGGGUUCAAGUCUUUAUUUUGGAAUUUUUUUUUAUUUUUUUAUCCAAGCCUUAUCUCUAUUAGGUGGGCUUAUGUUUUAUCUUUAGUAAACCCAAAUCAGAAUGAGCCUGUUGGUUCGAGCAAUAACGAGUUAGCUUGCUGAAGGUCCUGUGUUCGAUUCCCUGUGUGAGCGUGGAUGAUAUUUUUGUUUUAGUUGUGAGAUAGAGGUUAGGUGAAAGUAAAAUUCUAAGGUGGUGGAGAGUUAGUCGGUUAGUUAGUGGAAUAAUGGAAAGUUGAGAUAUUAGGGGUUUCAAAUUUUAUUUUAAUUUUUUUUCUUCUCAAAGUUUUUGACGUCAGUUUUAUUUUAUUUUUCCCUCUUUUAACAUUUUUACCUUCUCGGUAAAAUCCUUUUCAUUUCUCUUUGAUUCUAUUCGUGAAUCCCUCGUUCAAAUCAUUGCUACUGUGAUUUUUGGGUUCUUUAAUCGGUUGGUAAGUAGAACUUCGUAUCUCUUUAACAAUUGGUUUGAGAUAUUGGCAAUGUUAAGUUGUAGCGAUUAAUUAGUAGAUUCUGUGUUUAGGAGAAGAUUGUGAAGCAGAAAAUUCACUCCGACAGCCUAAUCCGUGUUAGUGGUGGUUUUCAUUAACGAUAAGUUUGUGAUCGUUGUUGAAUUUUUGUCACGAAUUUGUAAAUUGGUUGCUAAUCGGGGUUAGAGAUACUAUUUACAGGUUUUUAUGGUCUCGGGAUUGAUUAUACUACAAAAAUAAACCAGGUGUGUAACCCUAACGUGAGAAAAUGAGAUUCGACGAAAGUUAAAAUUUAGGUUUGUCGACGCCACACUAGCGUGUGCCCGGUCGUGUGCAAGACAUGGUCGUGUGACUUAUAAGGGUAUGGCCCUGCGUAAGACACGACCGUGUAACAGUGUUAGUGUGGCUGUGUGGACUUCACGGGCUGGGCGAGAUUGGCCGAAUGGGCCCAUACGGGCAAGCCACAUCGACGUGUGGGCCCAUAAUUCUAAAAUUUUCCCUAGGAUCUCACUGGUCGUUUUGAUUGAAUGUGAACCUAUUAUAGGGUCGGUAAGGGCUAAUCAAACUCUAAUUCAUGUGAUCUGAUAUUCUGAUAGUCUGAUUUGAGUAGGACAUUGAUAUGUAUGUAUGACUGUUCUGUUUGAGUAUAUAUAUAUGUGUUAUCUAUAUACGAACAUGUGUUAAUUAUGUUAAUUUUGUAUUAUGUAUUGUGUUUAGGGUGGGAUUUGUAUAUAUGGAGGAAGUGAUCUGUACGGUGACCUUUCGCCUAUAUUCUGGUAGCUUGGCUGCGUAUUAUCUAUUAUGUGUCGCAUCAAAACUCUAUGGUGUCUAGGGAUGGGUGGGUGUUUUUAACCCCCACAUGGUGUGAUGGGAUGGACGGAGAUGGUGUGUAGAGGAUGGGGGUAGGAUUUUGUAUAUUCGUUCUAUUUAUCUGAUAUGAUUUCUGUAACUGUUGUGGACUUAGGUUCGAAUCUGUUUCUGACUGUAUAUGAAACUUUGUGUAUGCUGCAUGUCUGUCUCUGUUGGGUUACACACUGAGUUUAUAUAAACUCACAUUUGUUUGACUUUUUUGUUCAGGUAACCUAUAGACAUAGGCGGGUCAGUGCGACGGAGGCUCAGCGGUGACCACUCGAUAGAAAACUGUUUCCAUUUAUUAUUUCAUGGUUUUUAUUUAAAUUUCUAAUUUUCGUGAGAGUUUUGUAAUUUUUGGACUCUCCAAACUUUUUGAACUGUUUGGUUUCAAUUUUUGGUUUGGUUGGGUUAUGAUUUCUAAACUACGACAAUUCGACAAAAUAUUGAUUUUACGUGAUCAAAUGUCAUCGAGCCUGGUUUCUAUUUAAACGACUUUUCAAACUUCCGCUGCUAAAUGAUUUGGUUAACCUUAAGGGAUAACAUGUAACUGUUUCAUUAAUAAAUAUAUAAGUGAAUACGUUUUACAAAACUUGGACGUUUUAUUGAAAUAUUAUUGGUUUUAAAACCUUUCUUCGUAACACUCCUGAAUUCGGCCAUAACGUCUAGGUCGAGUUUGGGAUAUUACAUUUAGUGGUAUCAGAGCCAGGUUGUAAAACUCGGGUUAUGAAUUUUGGAUUCCAAAAUUUUGUCUUGAAAAAAGACUAGUUUUUAAAUAAUUUAGAUCAUUCCUGAGUAAGUAUGUGAUACACCAAGUCUUCGGUGUCGAUUUUAUAAGUAUCUCUAAAUUUUGAAAAUACAAUAGAUAGUACUUUAUGAAAUUGUAAUAAGUUAGUUAAAGACUAAAACCUCUGAAAUACUUCUGAACUUUUGAUAUUUUAAGCAUAAAAUAUUUGUUAAUAAAAAUUGAAACUGAGGCAUAAAAUUUUAUAAUGUAAAUAAAAUUAAAAAUACGAUGAGUACUCAUGAAACUCAUGGUCAUAGUAAUCGUGGACGUGGCGGGCGCCGUAGUAGGGCUUGAGUUGAGUUUUCCUCUCUAGGCAGUAUGCCAAAUUUAGAUACGAGUGAGGCACCGGUUUUACUUACUACAAAGACUGGGUUUGAAAGCCGUUCGUCUGGGGACGAUGCACUGUCCUAAUCUAUGUUGAGAGUGUUGGAGAGGGUUGCUAGACCCUAUUCGGGAUCUGGAGGUCGUAGGUCGAUAACAAAAUGACUUCGAUCCAAUAGAGUUGAGUUGUUUAGAGGUGUCACUAGAGUCACCUUUACUGUGGACGAGUAUUGGUUAGAGGCCAAUAAGAGGAUUAUGAAUGACAUCUACUGCACUCCUGAGUAGAAAUUAAAAGGUGCAAUCUCUUUGUUUCACGACGAAGCUUAUCAGUAGUGGUUGUCAGUUGAGGAGGGUAUUCAACCGGAUCAUCUGAACUGAGACUACUUUAAGACCGCUUUCUAGGGAAAAUAUGUGGGUGCAAGCUCUGUGGAUGCUUGUAGGCGUGAGUUCACGAAUCUCACGCAAGGUGAUAAGUCUGUGGUCGAGUAUGAGGUCAAAUUUCUGAGACUGAGUCGCUACGCUCAAGGCAUUGUGGCAUCUGAGUAUGAGAAAUAUGUUUGUUUUAAGGACGGCUUGAGGGAUAGUCUGAGGGUAUUAAUUGCUUCACAGAGAGCGAGAGUUUGCUGUUCUUGUGGAUAAGGCGAAGAUCGCCGAGGAGGUUAAGGACGUAGAGUGCUAGAACAGAUAUCGUGAGAGAGGCAAGAAUAAGAAGGAUUCAGAGCCCUCUAGUUCUAUUCAGAGGCCUAAGAAAUUGCCCAGACCUGAUGGGCCUGUUAGGGUGGGAGUUAUUAUUGCUCUUACUAGGAUUCAGCCUUGUGGUGACUGUGGUAGGCUUCAUCUGGGUAAGUGUUGGAGGAGAUCGGGGCUUAUUUGCGGUAUGGGUCUUUAGAGUACCAGAUUAAAGAAUAUCCACAUCGUACCAAUUAGAUGCAAGCUACGGGACCAGGUUUUGUUCAGCCUCAGAGGACAGUACAACAGCCACCUAAGGGUCGUGGAUUGGCUAGGAGUGGUAAUGGUAUGAGUCAUGGACAGAGAGUACCAGACAAAGGUGUUAAUCAGACUGAGGCGAGACAACCUGCACUGGUUUAUACUGCUCGACGCCGAGAGGAUAGAGACGCUCCUGAUGUGAUCACGGAUACGUUUUUAAUUUUUGAUAUUUCAUAUAUUACUUUGAUAGACUUAGGUUCUACACACUCCUAUGUAGCUAGUGUUGCUUCUGAAAACUUGAGAAUUUCUAUUGAGUGUACUUGUGGUGAGAUUAUUGUACUGAGUCUGUUGGGACAGUCUGUUUGGGUAAAUAGACUUUAUAGGAAUGUUUCGUUGGAAGUAUAAUGGGUUAUCUUUUCGGUAAAUCUGAUGGAGCUAUCGUUUGGGGAGUUUGACUUAAUUCUAGGUAUGGACUGAUUAGUUGAACACCGAGUUAGUUUGGAUUGCGUAACUAAGAGGGUCAUUUUGAGGACCAAAGAUGAUAAGGAGGUGGUUGUGAUUGGUGAGUGUCGAGAUUACUAGUCUAAUAUAAUCUCCGCUCCAGUAGCUGAGAAAUUAGUUUGAAAAUUGUGAGGCGUAUUUAGCCUACGUCAAUAUUUCAGUUUAUGGGGACUCUGCUGUCGGGGAUAUCAGAACAGUGAGGGAAUUUUUGGAUGUUUUUCUUGAGGAAUUGCUGGGUUUACCUCUGAAUCAAAAAGUUGAGUUUGACAUUAAGCUUCUACCGGGUACAAAAUUGGUAUUUAUAGUUCUUUACUGUAUGGCACUGAAGGAGCUUACAGAGCUUAAGGUUUAACUUUAAGAGCUUCUGGUUUCAUCCAUUCUAACGUGUCUCCGUGGAGGGCACCAGUUCUAUUUGUGAAGAAAAAUGAUGGUACCAUAAGGAUGUGCAUCGAUUACUAGCAGUUGAAUAAACUGACUGUGAAGAAUAAGUACCUACUUUCGAGGAUCGAUGAUCUGUUUGAUCAAUUUUGAGGGGCUUCAGUAUUCUCAAAAAUAGAUAUCUGUUUUGGGUAUCAUCAACUUAGAGUUAAGGAAGCCGAUAUUUAUAAGACGGCUUUUAGGACUCGUUAUGGGCACUACGAGUUCCUAGUUAUGCCCUUUGGUUUGACAAAGGCUCCAACUGGAUUCGUAGAUCUGGUGAACCAAGUUUUUGGUGUACUCUAAGAUUGAGGAUAAGCAUGACGAUCAUCUUAGGGUAGUGCUUCAGAUACUUCGAGAGAAACAACUUUACGCUAAGUUGAGAAAAUAUGAAUUCUAGUUAUGAGAAAUAACAUUUUUGGGGCACGUGGUUUCUACUGAGGAGAUCCGAGUUGAUUCUAGAAAGAUUGAGGUUAUGCUUGACUGGAAACAACCUAAGAACGUAUCUGAGAUCCGUAGUUUUCUAGGACUUACAUGUUAUUAUUGGAGGUUUAUUGAGGGGUUCUCGUUGAUUGCAGCUCCUUUAACUAAGCUUCUGUGCAAGAGUGUUCCUUUCUUCUAGACUGAUGCGCAAUAAUCGAGCUUUGAGAAGCUCAAGUCUAUUUUGACUCAAGCUCUUAUUUUGAUAUAGCCUGAAUCUGGUAGGGAGUUUGUGGUGUACAGUGAUGCGUCGCACGUUGAUUUGGGAUGUGUACUGAUACAAGAUAGUAAGGUUAUGGCUUAUGCGUCUCAAUAGCUCAAGUCACGCGAGGGAAAUUAUCUGAUGCAUGAUCUCUAGUUGGCUACGGUAGUGUUUGUACUAAAGAUUUGUAGGCCCUAUCUGUAUAGUGAGAGGUGUAUUAUCUACACCGAUCACCAGAGCCUCAAGUACCUCCUUACUCAGAAGGAAAUCUUAGGCAACAUCGAUGGAUUGAGCUGCUAAAAGAUUAUAACUGCACAAUGGAGUAUCAUCCCAGUAAGACUAAUGUGGUGGCUGAUGCUCUCAGUUGUAAAGCGAUGACUGAUUUGAUAGUAGUGUUCGCUCUUCUUAGUCUGUUGGAUGAUGGAGGUCUGUUAGCCGAGUUGCAAGUUAAGCUGACUUGGAUUGGGCAGAUUUGGGAAAGGGGAUGAGUCACUGGUUCUGCGGUUUGUCAGGUUGGGAGUGGCUAUACUUUUGAUUUUAGACUGAAUAAGGAUGGAGUUCUGUGUUUUUGAGGACGGGUUUGUGUAUCAAAUGAUUUUGAUCUGUUCUGAGGGAAGCGUAUAGUAGUCCUUAUGCUAUACAUCCUAGUGGUAAUGGAUUUUCGUGAGCUGUACUAGUGGCCGAGGUUGAAACGAGAGGUAAUAGAUUUUUUUAUUCAUUGUCUGAUAUGCCAGCAAAUUAAAGUUGAGCAUUAGUUUCCUUCAAGUUUUCUCCAACCCGUUAGGAUUCUUUUAUAGAAAUGAAAACGAGUGAUGAUGGACUUCGUUAGUGGGUUGUCCUUGACACUCAUUAAGAAUAAUUUUGUUUGGGUCAUCAUGCAUCGAUUGACCAAAUCUGCCCAUUUGAUUCUGGUCCAGACGAACUUCUUUCUACAAAAGUUAGAGAAGCUCUAUAUCUCCGAGAUUGUAAGACUGCAUGGGGUUUCAGUUUCGAUAAUUUUUGAUAGGGAUCCUUGCUUCACUUCUCGUUUCUGGAUGAAACUUUAGGAAGCCCUAGGUUCGAGAUUGGACUUCAGUACUGCGUUUCAUCCUCAGACCAAUGGUCCAUCAGAGAGGGUGAUUCAGAUACUGGAGGAUAUGCUUCGGAGUUGUGUGAUUGAUUUUUGAGGUAAUUGAGAGGAUUUUCUGUUGUUAGCUGAAUUCACCUGUAAUAAUAGUUUCUAUUCUAGCAUUCAUAUGGCACCUUACGAGGCUUCGUAUGAUCAUAAGUGUCGUACUUCACUAUGUUAGACUAGUUAGGUGAGUGAUAGAUUUUGGGUCUUAAGUUGGUUUUCUAGACUGAAAAUAAGGUUAGAUUGAUUCGGGAUUGUCUGAAGGCGACUUUUGAUAGACAGAAGUCCUAUGCAGAUCUAAAAAGGAGGGAUAUUGAGUACUCUGUGGGUGAUUCUGUAUUCUUUAGGGUAUCACCGUGGAAGAAGGUUCUACGAUUCGAUCGUAAUGGCAAGUUAAGCCUUAUUCAUUGGGUCGUACCAGAUUCUGAAGCAUGUGGGACUGGUUACUUAUCAGUUAGAGUUACUUCUAGAGUUGGACUAUAUCCAUGAUGUGUUACACGUCUCGAUGUUGAGGCGGUACUAGUCUGAUCCAUCUCACGUUGUCUUUGUUGAGGAGAUCGAUGUUAGACCAGAUUUAACUUUUGAGGAGGAACCGGUUCAGAUUUUGGAUCGAGAUAUUAAGGUUUUGAGGAGGAAGUCCAUAUCGUUAGUGAAGGUUCUGUAGUGGAAUCAUGGCAUUGAGGAAGCCACGUGAGAACUUGAGGACUUGAUGCGUCAGCAGUAUCCUCAUCUGUUCGGAUCAGGUAAAUUUCGAGCCAAAAUUUCUUUUAGAGGGUAGAGUUGUAACGCCCUGAAUAAUUUAAGUAUGUUUUUAUUAAAUUUGACAUAAAAUGUGUAUCUGCUUCAGUGGUUAAGUGUUCUGGGUGUGUGUAUGAGGUCUUGGGUUCAAGUCUCCCUUUUAGCAAACUUUGUUAUUUUGAUCCAAGCCUUAUCUCUGUUAAGUGGGCUUAUGUUUUAUCUUUAGUAAACUUAUAUUAGAAUAAGCUUACGGGUUCGAGUUAUAAGGAGUUAGCUUGCUAGAAGUCCUGUGUUCGAUUCCCUGUGUGAGCGUGGAUGAUAUUUUUGUUUCGGAUGUGAGAUAGAGGUUGGGUGGAAGUAAAAUUCUGAGGUGGUGGGGAGUUAGUGGGUUAGUUAGUGAGAUAAUGGGAAGUUGAGAUAUUAGGGGUUUCAAAUUUUAUUUUAAUUUUAAUUUUAAUUCUUUGUCUUCUCAAAGUUUCUGACGUCAAUUUUUUUCUCUUUUUUCCCUCUUUCGACAUUGUUCCCUUCUCGGUAAAAUUCCUUUUCUUUUUUCUUUGAUUCUAUUUGUGAAUCCCUUGUUCAAAUCGUUGCUACUAUGAUUUUCGAGUUCUUUAAUCGGUUGGUAAGUAGAACUUCGCAUCUUUUUAACAAUUGGUUUGGGAUAUUGGCGAUGUUAAGCUAUAGCGAUUAAUUAGUGGAAUCUGUAUUUAGGAGAAGAUUGUAAAGUAGAAAAUUCACUCCGACGGCCUAAUCCGUGUUAGUGGUGGUUUUCAUCGACGGUAAGUUUGUGAGCGUUGUUGAAUUUUUGUUAUGAAUUUGUAAAUUUGUUGCUAAGCAGGGCUAGGGUUACUAUUUACAGGUUUCGGUGAUCUCGGGAUUGGUUAUACUACAAAAACGAAUCAGGUGUGUACCCUUAACGUGAGAAAAUGAGAUUCGAUGAAAGCUGAAAUUAGAGUCUGUUUAUGCCACACGGGUGUGUGCCUGACUGUGUGGCACGACACGACCGUGUGACUGACGAGGGUGUGGCCAUGCGCAAGACACGGCUGUGUGAUAGUGUGAUAGGAGUUUGGUUGAGUGUGGGUCUUAGCUUAUUUGGUACCUUAGUUUUUUUUGUUCAAUUUAAUUCCUGAACUUAAUAUUUUUUUCUUAAUUUAGUACUUAAGCUUCUUUUUUUUCCAAUUUGGUAUCUAACUUGUUAAAGGUUUUACAAAUUUCUCCAAUAUAAUAACAAUUUUAUUUUUAUAAGGUGCGAAAAUAAUCAAUGUAUGAUUAACGUAUGACAGAUGACAUGAGAUUGAUUUUUUGUAUUUUAAUGGUUAAAUUACUUUUAAUUAAUUAUUUUAUUUUACCUUUUUAAUUUAAUAAUGAAUUUCUUUUUAUUUUUGGGUUUUAAAACUUUUUUUUCAAUAUUCAUUCAUUAAGCGUAGCUCAAAGUACAAUCUUUUAACAUAAUUUUCCUCUAAUACUGACAAUAUUUUUGUGGGAUUUGAUGGCUUUAUGAAAACUAGGUCAUGCUUUAAGCAUGUGGUUCCUCUUGUAACAUUCUUGCCAUUAACUGUCAAAGUAAUCUUAGCCUUGAUGAAAUGUAAAUUUUGAACAUGUUGUUUAGAAAAAUAGAGAAAACUUUAAAUAAAUGUAAUCAUCCCUGUCAUUAAAUUCCAUAUCAUUGGUCACAUGACAACCAUACGUUAGCUACCUCAUAAAAAAAAUGAAGAUCAUUAGUGUUUUGAGGUAAUUUGUAUAAUAUUUAAAAGGUUUAAGUGUCAAAUUAAAUAAAAAAUGAUUAAGUAUCAAAUUAUAAGAAAAAUGUCAAAAUUAAGUACCAAAUGUUAAAUAAUUAUAACAAUAUAUUAUUAGUCGGCUUACAGUUUGAUUUCCUCUUUCCCAGUUGAUUGGAACAGUUUGUGGACAAAGGGUUUGAUAUUAGAGGCAGGAUUUAGGGUUUAACAUUUAAAAAUUUAUGGUUAAAAGUUUAUAAGGUUUAAAAUUUAGGAUUUGUGUUUUGUAAAAAUAAAAAUAGAAGUAUAUAUUUAUUUUACAAAGUCACAAAUUUGUAAAAAAAAAAAUUAAAUUAAAUUAGUUUCUAGAAUUACAUUAAGAAUAAACUUUCAACAUUCACUCAUUUUCUUCUAAGAUUUUAAGAUAAUGGAUUUAUCAUGCGAAGACUUGAACCCCACAAUAUACGAUAUAUGAAGAUAAUGGAUUUAUUUAACCCCACCAUGCAACAUAUAAGGAUAUAUGGUUAGGUAAACUCAUAUUUUCUUUUAUAAAGUUUUACAAUUAAUAAAGAUUAUUUUUUAGUAAAAUAUAAAUUCAAACUCACACACAAAUAAAUUUAUGAUUUCGACCCUAAUUUCAAAUAUAAAUGAACUUUUAAAUUAUGGGUAUCGUAUUAUGAAACGAUAAACUUGCCACAUUGAAAUUUUUUAUAUGGAGUGAAUCUCAUAAUUUUUGUUUUCUUAAUUUUGUUUUAAAGCAAUGAAAUAUAGAUCACGUGAAUGUUGAUAUAAAAUGGGAAAUGGAGACGAGUGAUAUUAAUUUGUAGAUAAAGUUAAUAUUACGUAGUCGCAUAAAGCGGCAUAGUACACAACCCACAACUCUGGAAUUUUAACAUCCAUAUUUAUUCUGUAGCUAUCGUUAUUUUGGCUUCCACUAGCUGGUGAACUUUCCAUGCCAAAACUUCACUUGACGCUGCAAAUGAAACAACAAAAAACACAACAUUAAAUGUUGAGCAAGUAAUAAGCAUAAGCAAUGAAACAACUCAUACGAACCUGUUGCAGUCAGUGCUAGGGCUGAUCUUGUAAGGGAUGUUGACACCGCACUUGCCUGGGAGUCCGCUUGCAAUACCAUAGUUGAUGCCAGAAAUGCCGGCGGCCGCACUUUUGAUGCAUUUGCAAGCUGCUUGCCGGUCUGGUGUUGUUUGGGCGGCGGAGUUGAGAGAUUUUAUGCCGCCGCAGCAACCUGGGGGAACGCCACCAGCACCAUUCCCUGUCAAGUAACCAAUGCAGGGUGCGAGGGAGCUUGUGACUUGACCACAGGUUACGGCCCCUUGAGCCAGGGGUGCACCCACCACCAUGCACAACACCGCCACACAUGCAAGCUUAAGGGACAUUGAGCUAGCCAUAUCGAUUAAUCACAAGAAAAACAAACUUGUAAGGAAAAUGCUUGCUUGGAGUAGUAGUACUAUUGCUGAUUGUCGUGGUUAGGGCUUGAGGGUAGGAGGGUUUUUAUAGCCAAAAGUAGUAGCGGGUGAUGUCUGAAUUUUACUUUCCUAGCUAUUAGGUAAGUUGAGAUUAUCCGAUCCAAACAUUAACACACCACAUUAAAAGUUGAGACCAUUCAAUUAGGUUCAACUGCCAACCUACGUGAUUAUUGUUUUCUUUCAAUACAAUUAAAACCAGCGUCCAUUUGAUUUCACUCAAUCAUGCCUCCACAGCUAGGACUCAAAUAUUGGUUUAACUUUUUUCUAGGUGUUUUCUUAUAAACAUGAGAUUUACAUUUGAUGUAUUUAUAAAUGCAUUUAUUGUCAGAAUGAUACCAUUUUAUUAAAAGUAAUUUGAUUUAUAAUUGUUUGUAUAUAUACUUUUAUAUAUUAAGUCUUUAAUUGAAUUGGUAUUACGAUUCACCCAAGCAUCUAUUUAAUUGAAAAUUUGUUAAAAUAUUCAUAUAACAAAUAUUAAUAUUAAUAUAAAUGUAUUUUUAUUUUUAUUAUAAAUAAAACUAUAAUAAGAUUUAAACUUAUGACUCAUAAAUUUUACUCUUUUUAACUUAACUAUUUCAACUAAAAUUUCAUUUAGUUUUAAUAUAAAUUUUUAUAAAUAUAUUAUUUACAUGAAUUUUCCUUUUCCAGGCGGUAUGCCAUGGAACUAAUAUAAAAUAUAAACAAAUGGUUAUUUUGUUAUUUUCAAUGGAAAAAAAAAACUUCACAAGAUUAGGACACAUGCAUGGUUUUUUUAAUAUAUAUAUAUAUAUAUCAUGCAACAUUCUAAAUCUAUUUAUAGAUUAUUUUGUUGAUUGAAUUUUUAUUUUUUUUUAUUUUGGUAAUUAUAUAAAACUAAAUAUUUUCUUCGCGCAAUGUUAAGAGCAGUUUGAAAUUUAAAAGAAGUGUGGAUUCUAAUAAUAAAUUUAGUUAUCUAAUGUUUACAUAUUUUAUUAAUUUGGUCUUAAAUAUAAAAAUUAAAUUCAACAAAAUUAGCCCUCAAUGUUUACAAAAUUUUUCAUUUUAAUUCAAAUUCUAAAAUAAUCCAAUAAAUUUAGCUCUCAACAUUUACAAAAUGAAAGGAUUUGAUUUUUAAAAUUUUAAUUUUUUUUUUUAAAAACCCAAAACACAAACCUAAAUAAACUGAAAAAGAAGAAGGAAUAAUUAUCAUCACCACGAUCUAAUCUCUCAACUUUAAAAUAAGACUUCAACUUCGGUUUAACCCCAAGACAAGGCGAAACAUUGAAAGUAAGUGCAGCGGAUGCCAUUGAUUCUCCUACCUUUUGGCUAAACACAUAAAUUUGAACAACUUCAUACAUAACUAGCAGCAGUACUAAAAAAUCAUUAAUACUAUAUUUUCAAGUACAAGAAAUUGAAAAAAGAAUCACGGGUAGAGUACAAAAAUGAAAUUUGGUGUGAACCUAGAUUAACAAAACAAGGUUCACGGUUUCUCAAAAACACAAUACUAAAUUUUUAGAAUUUCUUGUGAAGAUCAAGCAAUGAGACAAAUACUGAAAUUGGCAAUGCCUUAAUAGCAAAUAAUAAUUCAAACCAAUGUAGAAAAAAGAUGAAGAAGAAGAAGAUAGGAAAAGAAUUUUUAGUUUACAUUAAAAGCCUUGAAAAGGUAGACCGAUAGGAUUGAUUGUUUUGAAUAUUACUCAACUUUCUCAUUAAUUCUUGUACUAUUAUGGCUAAGUGUGUUUUUAGAUGGUAAUGAAUUUUUUUAAUUGUUAAUAAUUUUUACAAUUAUUACACUUGAUUUGGCAGUUGUUUUUCUUUUUAAUUUACAAAAUUUUAAAAAAUUAAAAAUUUCUAUUUUGUAAAUGCUAAGAGCUAAAUUUAUUAUUAUUUAUUUUAGAAUCUAAACUAAAGUGACAAAUUUUGUAAAUAUUUGGUGUUAAAUUUAUUGGAUUUUUAUAUUUAAAAUCAAAUUGAUAGAAUGUGUAAAGAAAGUUAAUUUUUUUAUUAGACAAAUAAAAAAUAACCCAUUUCAACACUUCCGAAAAAUUUUCAAACGGCCGUUAACAUUUAGUGAUGAAAAUAUUUGAUUUCAUAUAGUUUAAUAAUUAAAAUAAAAAUAAUUAAAAAUUUAGUAAUCAAAGUAAAACACAAGUGAUAUUAUUCUAGUGAUCAUUUCUGUACUUGACCCUAAUUUUUUUUUCAAAACACUGUUAAAAAACGAUUAAUUUCUCGUUUUGGCCGGAGUUAAAAUUUUUAAUAUAUUUGUUUUUAUUAAAUUUAAAAAUUAUAAUUUUACAUAAUAUAUUUUUGAUAGAAUACAUAUGAUAUAAUUUUAAUCAGUGACACCUGUUAAAGCUUGUUAGAUCUCCUGUAUCUCUUUCAAUCUGGUGGUAAAUGAAGCAAUCAAUGAGUAUUACAACCAGCCACAUGUCAUUCAAUUCACAUUAUAUCAAUCUUUUCCCUUUUCUCUCAUUUUGGUAGUUAAUUCCUUUUUUUGUCAUCGAAAUUAUAUUUUUUUCUCAAAUUGAUAAUUUCCUUAAUCCGUUAAGUUUGUUAAAAGAAACCUUAAUCUUAUUUAAAUUAUAUCUUUUUUUUUUUAUUUUGAUACUUAAACAUUUUUGUCACAUGUGGUAUGUAAUUUAUUUUUUCUUAAGUUGUUAGUUUAAUUAUUACUCAAAUAGUUAAGUCUAUUUAAAAAAAGAUAACUAUUUAAAAAUUACCAUAUUCGAACUAGCUAGGCCAUUAGUUCCUGGUUUAAUCAGUUUAUCUAGUUUGAUGAAAUCAAUUAUUAAAAAUUCAUAAAAAUAAAAAUGUUAAAAAAUAGAGAAAACUAGCUCAACUAGUUUUUUUUUUAAGCUCGACUCAAUCAAUCUGUAUCAGUUUGUAGGUUAAUCGGUUCAAGCCCUAUCUCCAAACUAGUAUCCCAGUUGGUUCCUAGUAUUAAGGGUGAGCAAAAUUUGAAUCGACUCGAAAAAAUUUAAAAAAGUUCAAAUUUUGAAUUAUUUGAAUCGAGUUAAUCGAAUCAACUCGAUUUUUUUUUAAUUUCAAGUUCGAGUCGAGUUGAGUUUUUGAAUUCAAAUGACUCGAAUAAUUCGAUUAAGCCGAAUACCAAACUAUAAUAUUUUACAUUUUACCUCAAACCCCAAACCCUUUUACUUUUCCCCCAAAACUUUACUCAUUCCUCCUUGUCUGCCCCUGUAACGCCCCAAAUUUUGAAUUGUUACUGUUAGUUUCUAUUUAUAAGUAAGUAUUUGCUUCAGUGGUUAAGUGUUAUGUGUUGGUGUUUGGAUCGGGGGUUCAAGUUACACUUUUAGAGAAUUUUAUUAUUCUUUUGUUUCAACUCUUAUCCUUGAAUGCUUGAAUUAAGUUUGUAUCUGCAUUAAUUUGUGUCAAGAAUGAGUCUUCUAGUUUAAUGGUUAAGUUUUGUAUUACCUAUGGUCUCGUGUUCGAGUCUCUGCGUAGGCAAUAAAGAAAUAUUUUGGCAUGCUAUCGGGAAAUCAGUUUUAUUUUAAUAAUUAUUUUUAUUUAAAACUUAUUUUUAGUUUUUUUUAUUUUGGUUCUUCUCCUUCCUUACUGUUCAUUUCCUUCUUCUUUUUUCUCCUUUUGUAACACCCCUAACUCGAAUCCGUCGCUGGAACAGGGUUAGGAGUAUUAUUGAAGUUUACAAUUUAAACAGGCAGAAAAAUUAAACAUUUCAUAACAUAUAGCAUUCAUGUUAGAAACCAAUCAUAAUUAUGCAUAUUGUCCCUAAUACGAGCCCUCGAGGCCCAAAAUACACCUUAGAAAUAAUUCGGGACUAAAUUGAAAAUUCGGAGCAUUUUUUAGAAACUUAUAAAAUUUUUAAAACUACAGGGGUCACAUGGCCGUGUGGCUAGGUUGUGUGACUCAUAUGGCCAACAGACACGCCCAUGUCUUAGACCGUGCGGGUAUUCGAAAUAGGGACACACGGUCGUGUCCCAGCCAGUGUCCAUGCCCGUGUAACUCACUAACUUGGGCCACACGGUCAAGCCAUACGCCCGUGUGCCAGGCAUUGUGAGCAUACUAACUUGCAUUCUUUAAAAGAUACAGGGGACACACGGCCAUGUCACCUGACCGUGUGUGACACACGCCCGUGUCUCUGCCCGUGUGGACAAAAAUAGGCUAUUUUUCAAGUCAUAAAUAUUCAUGUAUUCUUUAAAAGAUACAGGGGACACACGCCCGUGUCUCUGCCCGUGUCUCUGCCCAAUUUGGUACCAACCUAAACACAACAAUUUGCAUAUAACCAAGUCAUAAAUAGGCAUCCAAAACCAGCCAAAAUCAAGCUUAAAACAUGUAAUAUCAUCACAUACAACCAAUAUGCCCUUAGGCACCUCAAAUGACAACUUAUAAUAUUAAUAUUCAUGUAUUCAAUAUAGCCAAAUGUAUAACUCACUUAUAUGCAUAUUUUCAUCCAAAGUUUAUUAAGCAAAUUUACAUCAUUUCUUACCAAAUUACUUACCUUCCAAAACAUAUUAUUUGGUGCUAAAAUGUAUUUAACAUACUAACAUAUUUAACUUAUAUGCCUUACAUAUCCAGACACCAAUUCAUGAUCAAUUCUUCACAUUCCAAAACACAUAUAUGAAAUGCACAUUAGGUUACCUUUUUACCACUCUUUAUUCAAUCAUGAACCAAACUACAUGUCAACCAUAAUAAGCAAAAUAUGCACAUAUCCAAAAUUCCAUAACACAAACAAAACAAAUGGCUAAUCUCAACAAAACACAUAUAAGCCAACAUUGGCCAAACUAAUCUAUACAUGCCAUUAUAACCGAAAUUAAACAACCGAAUGUACCAAAAGAGCCAAUGGAUAGUGUGAUAUAGCUCCGACAAGCUUUCAACCAGAACGAGCUUUCGAAUCACUAAAAACACAGAAAAUAACACAGAGUAAGCAUUCAAGCUUAGUAAGUUCAUAUAGCAUAUAAUUUAACUUACCAUUUAGUCACAUUUAAGGUAAGCAUACAAAACAUAUCCAAACUCAAUUAGGAUAAAAGCCUCAACACAUAUCCUCAUCAACCAUGUUAGUCAUGUAAUUCAUAUAAAUAUCAAGAAACAUGUAUGAGCUCAACAAUAAUCAAACUUGCAUGUACAUAUAAUUUCCACAUCAUGUAUUUACAUAUCAUGUACAAAUCAUUUUCAUAUAUCUCAUGUAAAUACAUGUAGUAGUUUGUAUUGAACUCAUGUAAUAUCAUAACAGAACAGUGCCCGUUGAACCAUUUAGAUUAUUGUUGGAUACGCGGAUAGUACACAUGAGGUGUACUGAACUGUAAUUCAUCAAUUCAUGUACAUGUAUGCUCAUAUGAGCUAUAAACAGUAAGCUCCUCUGAGAUGAAUAACAAUAAGCUUGUACGAGCUGAAUAUCGGUAAGCUCAUAUGAGCUGAGUAUCGGUAAGCUCAUAAGAGCUGAAAUCGAUAACCCUAAUGACAUGUUUACCAAGCCAUGACAUUCCACUAACACAUUUAACCUUUAAAAUUAUUUCAAUUUACAAGUUUAAGAAAGAACAUAAAAGAUGAUACUUGGCUUUAUUUUACUAAAUUUUGUUAUUUACUUAAUUACUUAUUUAACCUUUAAAAUCAUUUCAAUUUACAAGUUUACUAAGCCAUGACAUUCCACUAACACAUUUAAGGGUUAUUUACCAUAUAAGGACCUCUACUUUAAAUUUUUAUAGCUAUUUAAUACCUUUAGCUAUUAGAACUUUACUUUUACACUUUACGCGAUUUAGUCAUUUUUAUCAAAUUGAACAUGUAAACGGUAAAAUUUCUUAACGAAAUUUUCAUAUGGUAAUAUUAUCAUGUUUUCGACCAUAAAAUAAUAAUAAAAUAAAAUUUUUUACUUCAUAUUUGUGGUCCCAAAACUACUAUUCUGAUUUCACUGAAAAUGGGUUGUUACACCUUUCUUGCUUGAUUGCUUCCGUAAGUUUGCUAUCGUGCUUAAUUGGGCAUUCUGUGUGGUUUCUUACAUUGAUUGCAAGGAUAUUGCGUAAGUUAUGUUGUUGUUUUUUACCUAUUUUUUCUAGACUUCGUCUGUUUCGUCGAGGUUAGAUAUUACUGUUAAUGGUUGUAAAAUCUCGUUAAUAGUUCCAAUGGAUCUUCUUUUAGGAAAAGGUUUCAAAAGUAACAUUUCCCUGUGAGAUUAGGUCCGAAUUGUUGUUGCUUGCUUGUCAGUAAUUGAAAAUUUCUAUUUUGGAUAGCUGCGUCGAAGUUUUCGACGAACGUUAGUUUUGAGUGCUAAUUUUGGCAUUUUGAGUUGAUUUAGUCAUUUAAUUCGUCAAUUAAUUGUCGUUUUAGGUUUCAGAUUCUUGUGUGUUGCUUCUACAUCGAAACUACAUCAAGUGUGUAACGAAAACUCAUUUUUCUAUGAUUUACGAAUGCUAGAAAACAUGGCUGUUAAUCACACGACCGUGUGUUAGGCCAUGUAACUUACUGUUUAUGUAUUAAAGUCACCGAGCCAAGGACGUGGGCGUGUGUCCUAGUCGUGUAACUUACUAUUUGUGGAUUGGAGUCACACAGGCUAGGGACACGUUUGUGUGUCCAGACUGUGUGAAGGAAAUUUUAUGAAUUGAGUCACACAAGCGUGUGCUUGACUAUGUCAUAGACCGUGUAACUCACUUUUUUGAGCCACACGAUCGUGUGCCAGGCCGUGUGAUAGAUCGUGUGCUACACGGGCCAGCCUUCCGGGACAUGUGAAUCCACACAAGUGUGUGGGUCAAAAUUUCAAAUUUUUUAUUAGGGCCGUAAACAUCAUUCCAGUCAAACGUAGGCCUACUGUAGGGUCUGGAUGAUCUGAUUUGGGUUAUAAAACCCAUUGACUAGUUAUCUGUUUCUGUAUAAACUGUUAUUUUAUAUACAUCAUAGAAUUGUAAACUAGAGAGUAGUUGUAUUCUGUAUUAAUUGAGUAUAACCUGAAAUUUGUAACAUCGUAUGCUUAUAUCUGUAUCUGUAACAUUGCAUCUGCAUUGGGGUUGGGAUUGAAUAAGGAGGAAGUUAUGGCAGUUAAAUAAUCUGCUAAGACUGGUGGCUAAGACACGUAAAUGUAUCUAAUUUUGGUGACUUUCGCAUUCUGUCCUAGCAAUUAGUCUGCAACCUUUUGAACGUGACAUAUGGUCACUAUGUGGUGUGUAGGGACGAUACCCUUUUUGGUGUGUAGGGUUGGAUGCAGAUGGUGUGUAAUUGACAUAUUCUACUCUAUUUCCGUAUAUAAUUCUGAGAACUGUUCUAACUUUAAGAAAUUGAAGAUCUAUUUUGUUGUUUCACUUAAUAAUAAUAUAAGUUAUACGCUAUGUAUAACACCCUUUACCCGAGACCGUGGUCGGAGUCGAGCAUGAGGUGUUACUUGACUUAACUUAAAAGUUCAGGGCAUAAAAAUUUACUUUCAAAAUUAAUUUCACCAUUCACAAUAAAGUUGUCCACCUGAGCAGCAGUCACUAAAUUAAUUAUAACUCAAGCUAAGAAACUCGAAAUUUAGAUUCGUAAAUUUUCCCUGAAACUAGACUCAUAUAUCUAUUCACAAAAAUUUUUCAGAAUUUUUUAUUUGACCAAUUAGUACAGUUUAUUAGUUGAAGUCUCCCCAGUUUCACUAAUCGACUAUCCUGACCUCUCGUCACUAAAAUUCAAUUAUCUCAUUAUACAGACUUGACAUGCUGAUUCCACUUAUUUAUACUUAAAAUAUACUCAUUAAGGAAUUUAAAAAUAUAAUUUAUAACUCAUAAUUCUAUUUGUACAAUUUUUAAUGAAUUUCUAAAGUCAGAACAGGGGACUUCAGAAUCAUUCUGACUCUGUCUCACUAAAAUUAAAAUAUCUAAAAGUAUAUAACUCUUUUGCUUACUCUAUUGCUUUCAUGUGAAAGUAGACUCAUUCAGAUUUAAUUUCAUCUCUCGCUAAACAUAUAAUUCUAUUUCUACAAUUUUUGGUAAUUUUUCAAAGUUACAUCAAUGCUGCUGCCCAAAAAUAGUUCCAUUGAAAUUUUUAAAAAAAAAUUCAAUAUAACCCCUUUAUAAUUAUCUAACCUUCCCUGCAAAUUUCAAAUCACAACCAAUUUCAGUAUUUCAACUACUUCACUUAAAUACUAAUGAAGUUCAACUAAUCAACCAUUUCAAACUAAAAACAUGUAUAGUUCAAUGUUUAACACAACCAUCACAUUCAAAUUUAUUCAUUCUAUUACUUUUUACUUCAAUUCCCUAUACAUGUCAUAUAAAUCCAAAAAGUUGUUUAACAAAAUCUACAGGAGUAAAUCUGGAUAGUGUGAUUCUUGGUGUAGAUCUGAUCCUCCGAAUGUAUAAAUACGUCAAUCUACAAGAAUCAAUAAACACACAAUUAAGCGUAUAGAAAGCUUAGUAAGUUCAUAGGCACCAAACAUAAAUCUUACCAAACAUUUAUACACUUAUACAUUAUACACCAUUACUAAGUUUACCUGUCAACCACAAUCUUUGGUGAGUUCCUUGGUAUAAACUCACUACUACUUAUUCUUUUACCAUAAUUCCUUUGGGCCCAUUUGUCACUUACCAUCCUUGAUCAAAAUUAAGGAACGGUUACGGAAAAUUGAGUACUUCACUUUCACUUUGCCAUAGUAUAACUAUGGUCUUACGUAUGAUCAAACAUCACUUGUCCUUGAUAAGAUAAGUGUAGCUAGGCAACCACUUAUCACUUUGUCACUUGAUCAGAUAAGUGCAGCUAAAGCUACCAUUUAUCACUUUAUCACCACUUAUCACUUGUUCUUGAUUAGAUAAGUGUAGCUAAAGUUACCACUUAUCACUUUGUCACCACUUAUCACUUGUUCCUAAUCAGAUAAGUGUAGCUAAAACUACCACUUAUCACUUUGUCACUUGAUCAGAUAAGUGUAGCUAAGCUAUCACUUAUCACUUUGUCACUUGAUCAGAAGUACUCAAAUCCGGUGUUCUGCUCAAUUUGAUCAUUUAUUCAGUUUUCACAUUUUUAUUUUAUUCUCAUUUCAUCAAUAAAUAUAUAUAUUUCAUCAUACAUUAUAUAAUUCAUGAAAUUAACAUUUAAUCAUUAAAUUUUAGCCAUAUGAACUUACCUGGGUUGAUUUGCUGAAUUUGUAAAAGUUUAGGGACUAAUCAGCUACUUUUUUUUUCCUCGACUUGUUUCGGGUUCUCAAUAUGAUUCAAAUAUAUGAAAAACCAACUUGGAGGGACUCUUCAAUGGUGUUUUUUGCUAAAAAAUAUGAGGAAUUGCCUAGAAACACUUUUAGUUAAGAUUUUUAUUUGUUAUUUUUUACAAAAUUUCCAAUUUUGCCCUUAUUACAUCACUUUUUCAAAUUUUUCUUCUCUUAUGUCGUCUCAACUAUUCCAUAUUGGCAUAUUUAUGCCUUAAGUCCCUCCUUAUUUACCACUUAAGCUAUUUAAUCACUUUUAACAAAUUUUACAUUAUUUUCAGUUUAAUCCUUUUUAAUUAAUUAACCACCCAAACGUUAGAAUUUUCUAACGAAAAUUUAAUACCAACUCAAUGACACUCCAUAAAUGUUUCUAAAAAUAUUUAUGGCUCGAUUUAUGAGGUUGAGGUUUCAAUACCUCAUUUUCGAUUCUAAUUAUUUUAAUAUUUAUUCUUAGUACAUUAUUCACUAUUUCAAAAAUUUUCCUAACUUCGCAUUUAACUUAUACUCACUAAAUUAAUAAUAUUUUCUACUCAUUUGUCAAAUUUAAUGAUCUCGAAUUACCAUUCCGACACCACUGAAAAUUCAGGCCAUUACAACUCUCCCCCCAUUUUGGAAAUUUCAUCACCGAAAUUUCGUACCUGAAAAUAAAUUCGGAUACUGAAAUCUCAGCAAUUCCUCUGUUUCCCAGGUUGCCUCCUCAGAUCCAUGUCGAUUCCAUAACACCUUAACUAGUGGUACAUGUUUAUUCCUCAACUCUUUAACCUUCUGAGCUAAAAUUUUCACCGGUUCCUCUGAAUAAGUCAUGUCAGGUUGAAGCUCUAUUUCCGUAUGAGGAAUUACAUGUGAUGGAUCUGAUCUGUACCGUCUCAACAUAGACACAUGAAACACAUUAUGAAUCUUUUCAAGUUCCGGGGGCAAAGCUAAUCUAUAGGUUACCGGACCGAUUCUUUCAAUGAUUUCAUACGGCCCGAUAAAUCGUGGGCUGAGUUUCCCCUUUUUGCUGAACCGCAAAACUUUCUUCCACGGUGACACUUUCAAAAAUACACGAUCACCCACAUUAAACUCUAUAUCCCUUCUCUUCAAAUUUGCAUAUGAUUUUUGCCGAUCGGAGGUAGCUUUUAAACAAUCUCGAAUAAUACGAACUUUUUCUUCAGUUUCCUGAGUCAAUUCCACUCCCACUAGUUUCGAUUCACUUAAUUCAGACCAAUAUAAUGGAGUUCUACACUUUCUUCCAUACAAAGCUUCAAACGGUGCCAUUUUAAUGCUAGUUUGAUAACUAUUAUUAUAAGCAAAUUCGGCUAAAGGUAAAUACCUUUCCCAGCUACCGCCGAACUCAAGUAUACAACACCUUAACAUAUCUUCUAAAAUCUGAAUCACUCGCUCUGACUGCCCAUCUGUCUAGGGAUGAAAAGCUGUGUUGAAAUUUAAUUUGGUGCCUAAAGCUUCCUGUAAUUUACUCUAAAAUCUCGAGGUAAAUCUCGGAUCUUGAUCUGAAAUAAUAGAUGUCGGUACCCCAUGUAACCUCACUAUCUCAGACACAUAUAACUCCGCUAACUUUUCAAGCUGAUAAUCUGCUCUGACUGGAAUAAAAUGUGCUGACUUAGUUAACCGAUCAACAAUCACCCAUAUUGAAUGUUUCUUCUUCAGAGUUACUAGUAAUCCAGAUACAAAAUCCAUCGUAACAUGUUCCCAUUUCCAAUCUGGAAUCAUAAUGGGCUGUAACAACCCUGUCGGCACUUGAUGCUCAGCUUUCACCUGUUGACAGAUCAAACAUCUUGCUACAUACUCAAAGAUUUCCCGUUUCAUUCCGGGCCACCAAUACAUUUUCUUCAAAUCACAAUACAUUUUUGUACUACCCGGGUAAAUAGAACACAUACUACUGUGAGCCUCUGAUAAAAUAUCAUUUUUCAAGUUUAAAUUAUUCGGAAUACAUAUUCUAUUACGAUAAUAUAACAUACCAUUUUCAUCAAUGGAGUAUUCUGAGCUUAACUUAUCUUGAACCAUCUGUCGCUUUAUCAUCAAUUUUGGGUCAUCAUCCUAUAACUCCCGAAUCCGUUGAAAGAACACGGGUUUAGCCUUUAAUUCUGCUAGUACAGAACCAUCCUCAUUAAUAGAUAAAUGAGCAUUCAAUGCCCGUAGUGCAAAUAAUGAUGAUUUCCGACUAAGCGCAUCUGCUGCGGCAUUUGCUUUCCCUGGGUGAUAGUCAAUGACAAGAUCAUAAUCUUUCAGCAACCCCAACCAUCGUCUCUGUGUCAAAUUUAACUCUUUCUGAGUCAUUAAAUACUUCAAGCUUUUAUGAUCAGUAUACACGUAACAUUUCUCACCAUAUAAGUACUCUCCAUAUCUUCAAAGCAAACACGAUCGCUGCCAAUUCCAAAUCAUGUGUAGGAUAAUUCUUGUCGUGCGGUUUCAGUUGCCAAGAAGCAUAUGCCACCACUUUGCCUGACUGAAUAAGUACACAGCCCAACCCAUUUACAGAUGCAUCACUAUAUACUACAAACGGUACACCCGAUUCUGGUUGAGUCAACACUGGAGCCUCUGUCAACAUCUUUUUCAACUGAUCGAAACUCCGCUGACAUUCAUCUAACCAUAUAAAUUCAACAUUCUUUUGUAGCAAUCGAGUUAACGGUAAGGUAAUCAUUGAGAAAUCUUUGACAAAUCGACGAUAAUAACCUGCCAAUCGUAGAAAACUCUGCACUUCAGUCACAUUCUUCGGAACUUUCCAAUUUAUCACUGCCGCUACCUUACUUGGAUCCACUCUUAUUCCAUCAGCUGAUACAAUAUGACCCAAAAAUGCAACUUCAUGGAGCCAAAAUUCACAUUUGCUGAAUUUGGCAUACAAUUGUUUCUCCCACAAAGUCUGUAAUACAAUCAUUAGAUGUUGUGCAUGUUCGGACUCUGUCUUUGAAUAAAUCAAUAUAUCGUCAAUGAACACAACCACAAAUCUAUCCAAAUAUGACUGAAAAAUUCUAUUCAUCAAAUCCAUAAAAGCAGCAGGGGCAUUGGUUAAACCAAAUGGCAUCACCAAAAAUUCAAAAUGACCAUAUCGAGUUCGAAAGGCAGUUUUCGGCACUUCACACUCUUUAACUUUCAACUGAUAAUACUCGGAUCGAAGAUCUAUCAUGGAAAAUACUGUAGCACCUUUCAACUGAUCAAACAAAUCAUCAAUAUGAGGCAAAGGAUUUUUAUUCUUUACUGUUACCUUAUUCAACUGUCUGUAAUCUAUACACAGUCUUAAAAAACCGUCCUUCAUUUUCACAAACAAGACAGGUGUACCCCAGGGCGACAUACUCGGUCUGAUGAACCCUUUAUCUAAUAACUCCUGCAGCUGCGCCUUCCGUUCUUUUAACUCGACUGGAGCCAUUCUGUAUGGUGUCAUUGAGAUAGGAGUUGUUCCGGGGAUCACAUCAAUUACAAAUUCAACUUCUCUAUCAGGUGGUAGACCGGGUAACUCUUCAGGGAACAUAUCAGGGAAUUCAUUCACCAUUGGCACUUGUUCGAGCUUCAAACCAGAACCCUGAGUAUCCAGGAUAUAGGCCAAGAAUGCUUCGUUGCCUUUGUGUAAUAACCUCUGAGCAGAGAGAGCUAAAAUAAUUCUGACUGUAUCACCCAGAUUUUCAGACCCAACUGAGAUUAUAUCUCCCGUUUGACAUUUCAAACUGAUUUGUUUAUCACGAUAAUUCACUACCGCAUCAUGUCUCAUUAACCAGUCCAUCCCCAGAAUAAUGUCAAAUUCCCGAAAAGGUAACAACAUCAAAUCAGCGAGGAAUUCAUAGCCUUUCACUUUCAGUGGACAAUUACGACAUAUCAAAUUAACCAUCACACUUUGACCUAAUGGGUUUGUGACUUGUAUAUCAAAUUCAGUGGACUCAACAGAUAAUUUCUUUUUAGAUGCUAACAUAGUGCAAAUAUAUGAAUGAGUAGAUCCAGGGUCUAUCAAUGCAUAAACAAUAACAUCAUAAAGAUAGAAAGUACCAGCAAUUACAUCAGGAGCCGUAGCCUCUUUCCUUGCUCGAAUGGCGUAGGUACGUGCUGGUGCUCUAUUCUCUGAUCGACCAACUGAUUCCCUCGUACCCGAACGGGUAGUCCCUGUAGCACUGCUCUGGCCCGAACGUCUACUUUUUUGGGGAAUGGUUCUCUGUAUUUCUUUCUGUUCCACUUCAUCUUUUUACAGUCGGGAACAAUCUCGAAUAAGAUGAUUAGUACCCUCACAUUUUUAACAAGCCCCUAUCUUGGUCCUGCAUUCUCUGAAAUGAUAUCUUCCACAAUAUUGACACUUAGGCCGGGGAGCAUUCUGAACACUGCUCACACUUGCUGGAGGUCUAUCGAAUACCCUGAAAUCAGAUUGUCUUGGUCUAUCUCUACCCGAUCUUCUCGACAGUGAUGUAGUUCGACUAAUUUCUUCUCUAGAUUUGUUCACUGGUAAAUCUAAAAAUGACUUAGAAGCACCUCUUUUGAAUGGCUCUUUACUUUUUCGAUCCCGCUACAUUUUUCUGUUGUAUACUUCUUCGAGCUUUUGAGCACGGUCUGACAGAACAGGGAACUCUCGUAUUUCAUUACCCCCAAUCAUCAUUCUAAUUUCAUCAUUUAACCCUUCUUCAAACCUGAUACACAUUUCUUCUUUAAUAAGUACAAUGUCUCGGGCAUAUUUGCUGAGGUAGACAAAUUCUCUUUCGUAUUCAGCCACUGAUUUAUCUCCCUGGCGUAGGUCGAGAAAUUCCCUUUUAUUUUUAUCCAAAUACCGUCUGCCCACAUAUUUCUUCUUAAAUUCAUUUUGGAAAAAUUCCCAAUAAAUUUUCUCUGUCGGAACCACAUCCUCAAUCGUCUCCCACCAACUAUAAGCUUCUUCUUUCAAUAGAGACACAACACAACUCAAAUAAUCAUCUAGUGAGCAAACCAUUUCUUUAAAAAUUCUUAUUAAACUCUGUAACCAAUAUUCAGCUUUGACGGGAUCUUUAUCAGUCCUUCCCCGAAAUUCUUCGGCUCCAAGUUUUUUAAGCCUUUCCAAUGGAGAACGCUUUCUGGAUUCAGUCGUUGUAAAAGGUGGAGGAGCAACCGGGUGUGCCACCGAUGGAGCAGUAGGGGGAGGAGGUGGUUCAGCCUGAUUUCUUUCUUGCCUCAUUUCAGUAUAUCAUUGAUUCAUAAUCCCAUAAAUCAUAUUCUUUAACUCUUGCUCUCGCAUUUGGGAGAUCGGAACAUCACUGCUUGUUCUUUGUUUAGAAUUAUGUAUUCUACUAUUAACUUCUUCUUUCUCAGUACGUUUAGGUAUAUCUGACAUCUCCAUAACCGGAGAAUAUCUACUAUUAACUUCUUCUUACUGGAUUCAGUCGUUGUAAGAGGUGGAGAAGCAACCGGGGGUACCACCGAUGGAGCAGUAGGCAGAGGAGGUGGUUCAGCCUGAUUUCUUUCUUGCCUCAUUUCAGUAUACCACUGAUUCAUAAUCCCAUAAAUCAUAUUCUUUAACUCUUGCUCCCGUAUUUGGGAGAUCAGAACACCACUGCUUGUUCUUUGUUCAGAAUUAUGUAUUCUACUAUUAACUUCUUCUUGCUCAGUACGUUCAGGUAUAUCUGACAUCUCUAUAACCGGAGAAUAUCUAUAAAAAUAACAAAGAUUAGAUCGCAUCAUACGCAUUACACUAUCACAGAUUUAUAUGGCAUGUAUUUCUAAACACUUUACACUUUACACAUAUUCCGAGAACCGGCUAAACCUGGAUCUGAUACCAAUAAAAUGUAACACCCUUUACCUGAGACCGUUUCCAGAGUCGAGCAUGAGGCGUUACUUGACUUAACUUAAAAGUUCAGGGCAUAAAAAAUUACUUUCAAAAUUAAUUUCACCAUUCACAAUAAAGCUGUCCACCCACGCAGCAAUCUCUAAAUUAAUUAUAACUCAAGAUGCGAAACUCGAAAUUUAGAUCUGUAUAUUUUACCUAAAACUAGACUCAUAUAUCUAUUCACUACAAAAUUUUCAGACUUUUUGGUUUGGCAAAUUAGUACAGUUUAUUAAUUGAAGUCUCCCCUGUUUCACUAAUAGACUAUCCUGACCUCUCGUCACUAAAAUUCAAUUAUCUCAUUAUACAAACUUGACUUGGUGCUUUCAAUUAUUUUUACUUAAAAUAGACUCAUUAAGGAAUUUAAACAUAUAAUUUAUAACUCAUAAUUCAUUUUGUACAAUUUUUAAUGAAUUUCUAAAGUCAAAAUAGGGGACUUCAAAAUCAUUCUGACUCUGUCUCACUAAAAUUCAAAUAUCUAAAAGUAUAUAACUCUUUUGCUUACUCUAUUGCUUUAAUGUGAAAGUAGGCUCAUUCAGCUUUAAUUUCAUCUCUCACUCAACUUAUAAUUCUAAGUCCACAUUUUUGGUGAUUUUUCAAAGUUACAUCAAUACUGCUGUCCAAAAACUGUUCCAUUGAAAUUUUUUUAAAAAAUUUCAAUAUAACCCUUUUAUAAUUAUCUAACCUUCCCUGCAAAUUUUAAAUCACAACCAAUUUCAGUAUUUCAACCACUUCACUUAAAUACUAAUGAAGUUCAACCAAUCAACCAUUUCAAACUAAAAACAUGCAUAGUUCAAUGUCUAACACAACCAUCACAUUCAAAUUUACUUUGCAUAUUUAGAUAUUCAUUCUUUUACUUUUUACUUCAAUUCCCUAUACAUGUCAUAUAAAUCCAAAAAGUUGUUUAACAAAAUCUACCGGAGUAAAUCUUGAUAGUGUGAUUCUUGGUGUAGAUCCGAUCCUCUGAAUGUAUAAAUACGUCAAUCUACAAGAAUCAAUAAACGCACAAGUAGGCUUAAUAAACACACAAGUAAGCUUAUAGAAAGCUUAGUAAGUUCAUAGGCACCAAACAUAAAACUUACCAAACAUUUAUACACUUAUACAUUAUACACCAUUACUAAGUUUACCUGUCAACCACAUUCUUUGGUGAGUUCCUUGGUAUAAACUCACUAAUACUUAUUCUUUUACCAUAAUUCCUUUGGGCCCAUUUGUCACUUACCAUCCUUGAUCAAAAUUAAGGAACGGUUACGGAAAAUUGAGUACUUCACUUUCACUUUGCCAUAGUAUAAAUAUGGUCUUACGUAUGAUCACUUAUCACUUGUCCUUGAUCAGGUUAGUGUAGCUAGGCUACCACUUAUCACUUGUUCCUGAUCAGAUAAGUGUAGCUAAGCUAUCACUUGUCACUUUGUCACUUGAUCAAAAGUACUCAAAUCCGGUGUUCCGCUCAAUUUGAUCACUUAUUCAGUUUGCGCAUUUUUAUUUUAUUCUCAUUUCAUCAAUAAAUAUAUAUAUAUAUUUCACCAUACAUUAUAUAAUUCAUGAAAUUAACAUUUAAUCAUUAAAUUUCAUCCAUAUGAACUUACCUAGGUCGAUUUUCUGAAUUUGUAAAAGUUCAAGGACUAAUCAGCUACUUUUUCUUUUCCUCGACUUGUUUCGGGUUCUCGAUAUGAUUCAAAUAUAUGAAAAACUAGCUUGGAGGGACUCUUCAAUGGCGUUUUUUGCUGAGAAAUAUGAUGAAUUGCCUAGAAACUCUUUUAGUUAAGAUUUUUAUUUGUUAACUUUUACAAAAUUUCUAAUUUUGCCCUUAUUACAUCACUUUUUCAGAUUUUUCUUCUCUUAUGCCGUCUCAACUAUUCCAUAUUAGCAUAUUUAUGCCUUAAGUCCCUCCUUAUUUACCACUUAAGCUGUUUAAUCACUUUUAACAAAUUUUACAUUAUUUUCAGUUUAGUCAUUUUUAAUUAAUUAACCACCAAAACGUUAGAAUUUUCUAACGAAACUUUAAUACCAACUCAAUGACACUCUAUAAAUGUUUCUAAAAAUAUUUAUGGCUCGAUUGAUGAGUUUGAGGUUUCGAUACCUCAUUUUCGACUCUAAUUAUUUUAAUAUUUAUUCUUAGUACACUAUUCACUAUUUCAAAAAUUUUCCUAACUUCGCAUUUAACUUAUACUCACUAAAUUAAUAAUAUUUUCUACUCAUUUGUCAAAUUUAAUGAUCUCGAAUUACCAUUCCGACACCACUGAAAAUUCAGGCCAUUACAACUCUCCCCCCAUUUUGGAAAUUUCGUCCCCGAAAUUUCGUACCUGAAAAUAAAUUCGAAUACUGAAAUCUCAUCAAUUCCUCUGUUUCCCAGGUUGCCUCCUCAGAUCCAUGUCGAUUCCAUAACACCUUAACUAGUGGUACAUGUUUAUUCCUCAACUCUUUAACAUCCCAAGCUAAAAUUUUCACCGGUUCCUCUGAAUAAGUCAUGUCAGGUUGAAGCUCUAUUUCCGUAUGAGGAAUUACAUGUGAUGGAUCUGAUUUGUACCGUCUCAACAUAGACACAUGAAACACAUUAUGAAUCUUUGCAAGUUCCGGGGGCAAAGCUAAUCUAUAGGUUACCAGACCGAUUCUUUCAAUGAUUUCAUACGGCCCGAUAAAUCGUGGGCUGAGUUUUCCCUUUUUGCUGAACCGCAAAACUUUCUUCCACGGUGACAGUUUCAAAAAUACACGAUCACCCACAUUAAACUCUCUAUCCCUUCUCUUCAAAUCUGCAUAUGAUUUUUGCUGAUCGGAGGCAGCUUUUAAGCAAUCUCGAAUAAUACGAACUUUUUCUUCAGUUUCCUGAGUCAAUUCCACUUCCACCAGUUUCAAUUCACUUAAUUUAGACCAAUAUAAUGAAGUUCUACACUUUCUUCCAUACAAAGCUUCAAACGGUGCCAUUUUAAUGCUAGUUUGAUAACUAUUAUUAUAAGCAAAUUCGGCUAAAGGUAAAUACCUUUCCCAGCUACCGCCGAACUCAAGUAUACAACACCUUAACAUAUCUUCUAAAAUCUGAAUCACUCGCUCUGACUGCCCAUCUGUCUGGGGAUGAAAAGCUGUGUUGAAAUUUAAUUUGGUGCCUAAAGCUUCCUGUAAUUUACUCUAAAAUCUCGAGGUAAAUCUCGGAUCUCGAUCUGAAAUAAUAGAUGUCGGUACCCCAUGUAACCUCACUAUCUCAGACACAUAUAACUCCGCUAACUUUUCAAGCUGAUAAUCUGCUCUGACUGGAAUAAAAUGUGCUGAUUUAGUUAACCGAUCAACAAUCACCCAUAUCGAAUCUUUCUUCUUCGAAGUUACUGGUAAUCCGGAUACAAAAUCCAUCGCAACAUGUUCCUAUUUCCACUCUGGAAUCAUAAUGGGCUGUAACAACCCUGUCGGCACUUGAUGCUCAGCUUUCACCUGUUGGCAGAUCAAACAUCUUGCUACAUACUCACAGAUUUCCCAUUUAAUUCCGGGCCACCAAUACAUUUUCUUCAAAUCACAAUACAUUUUUGUACUAACCCGGUGAAUAGAACACAUACUACUGUGAGCCUCUGAUAAAAUAUCAUUUUUCAAGUUUAAAUUAUUCGGAAUACAUAUUCUAUUACGAUAAUAUAACAUACCAUUUUCAUCAAUGGAGUAUUCUGAGCUUAACUUAUCUUGAACCAUCUGUCGUUUUAUCAUCAAUUUUGGGUCAUCAUCCUGUAACUCUUGAAUCCAUUGAAAGAACACGGGUUUAGCCUUUAAUUCUGCUAGUACAGAACCAUCCUCAUUAAUAGAUAAAUGAGCAUUCAAUGCCCGUAGUGCAAAUAAUGAUGAUUUCUGACUAAGUGCAUCUGCUGCGGCAUUUGCUUUCCCUGGGUGAUAGUCAAUGACAAGAUAAUAAUCUUUCUGCAACUCUAACCAUCGUCUCUAUCUCAAAUUUAACUCUUUCUGAGUCAUUAAAUACUUUAAGCUUUUAUGAUCAGUAUACACGUAACAUUUCUCACCAUAUAAGUAGUGUCUCCUUAUCUUCAAAGCAAACACGAUCGCUGCCAAUUCAAAAUCAUGUGUAGGAUAAUUCUUGUCGUGCGGUUUCAGUUGCCGAGAAGCAUAUGCCACCACUUUGCCUGACUGAAUAAGUACACAGCCCAACCCAUUUACAGAUGCAUCACUAUAUACUACAAAUGGUACACCCGAUUCUGGUUGAGUCAACAUUGGAGCCUCUGUCAACAUCUUUUUCAACUGAUCAAAACUCCGCUGACAUUUAUCUGACCAUAUAAAUUCAACAUUCUUUUGUAGAAAUCGAGUCAACUGUAAGGUAAUCAUUGAGAAAUCUUUGAUAAAUCGACAAUAAUAACAUGCCAAUCGUAGAAAACUCCACACUUCAAUAACAUUCUUCGGAACUUUCCAAUUUACCAUUGCCGCUACCUUACUUGGAUCGACUCUUAUUCCAUCAGCUGAUACAAUAUGACCCAAAAAUGCAACUUCAUGGAGCCAAAAUUCUCAUUUGCUAAAUUUGGCAUACAAUUGUUUCUCUCACAAAGUCUGUAAUACAAUCCUUAGAUGUUGUGCAUGUUCGGACUCUGUCUUUGAAUAAAUCAAUAUAUCGUCAAUGAACAACCACAAAUCUAUCCAAUUAUGACUGAAAAAUUCUAUUCAUCAAAUCCAUAAAAGCAGCAAGGGCAUUGGUUAAACCAAAUGGCAUCACCAAAAAUUCAUAAUGACCAUAUCGAGUUUGGAAGGCAGUUUUCGGCACAUCACACUCUUUAACUUUCAACUGAUAAUACCCAGAUUGAAGAUCUAUCUUGGAAAAUAUUGCAGCACCUUUCAACUGAUCAAAUAAAUCAUCAAUAUGAGGCAAAGGAUAUUUAUUCUUUACUGUUACCUUAUUCAACUGCCUGUAAUCUAUACACAGUCUUAGAGAACCGUCCUUUUUUUUCACAAACAAGACAGGUGCACCCCAGGGCGACAUACUCAGUCUGAUGAACCAUUUCUCUAAUAACUCCUGUAACUGCGCCUUCAACUCUUUUAACUCGGCUGGAGCCAUUCUGUACGGUGUCAUUGAGAUAGGAGUUGUUCCGGCGAUCACAUCAAUUACAAAUUCAACUUCUUUAUCAGGUGGUAGACCGGGUAACUCUUCAGGGAACACAUUAGGGAAUUCAUUCACUACUGGCACUUGUUUGAGCUUCAAACCAGAACCCUGAGUAUCCAUGAUAUAGGCCAAGAAUGCUUCGUUGCCUUUGCGUAAUAACCUCUGAGCAGGGAGAGCUGAAAUAAUUCUGACUGUAUCACCCAUAUUUUCAGACCCAACUGAGAUUAUAUCUCCCGUUUGACAUUUCAAAUUGAUCUGUUUAUCACGACAAUUCACUACCGCAUCAUGUCUCACUAACCAGACCAUCCCAAGAAUAAUGUCAAAUUCUCGAAAAGGUAACAACAUCAAAUCAGCGGGGAAUUCAUAGCCUUUCACUUUUAAUGGACAAUUACGACAUAUCAAAUUAACCAUCACACUUUGACCUAAUGGGUUUGUGACUUGUAUAUCAAAUUCAAUGGACUUAACAAAUAAUUUCUUUUCAGAUGCUAACAUAGUGCAAAUAUAUGAAUGAGUAGAUCUAGGGUCUAUCAAUGCAUAAACAAUAACAUCAUAAAGAUAGAAAGUACCAACAAUUACAUCAGGAGCCGUAGCCUCUUCCCUUGCUCGAAUGGCGUAGGUACGUGCUGGUGCUCUAUUCUUUGAUCGACCAACUGAUUCCCUCGUACCCGAACGGGUAGUCCCUGUAGCACUGCUCUGGCCCGAAUGUCUACUUCUUUGGGGAAUGGUUCUCUGUAUCUCUUUCUGUUCCACUUCAUCUUUUUACAGUCGGGGACAAUCUCGAAUAAGAUGAUUAGUAGCCCUACAUUUUUAACAAGCCCCCAUCUUGGUCCUGCAUUCUCCGAAAUGAUAUCUUCCACAAUAUUGACACUUAGGCCGGGGAGCAUUCUGAACACCGCUCACACUUGCUGCAGGUCUAUCGAAUACCCUGAAAUCAGAUUGUCUUGGUCUAUCUCUACCCGAUCUUCCCAACAUUAAUGUAGUUCGACUAAUUUCUUCUCUAGAUUUCUUCACUGGCAAAUCUAAAAAUGACUUAGAAGCACCUCUUUUGAAUGGCUCUUUACUUUUUCGAUCCCGCUGCAUUUUUCUGUUGUAUACUUCUUCGAGCUUUUGAGCACGGUCUGACAGAACAACGAACUCUCGUAUUUCAUUACCCCCAAUCAUCAUUCUAAUUUCAUCAUUUAACCCUUCUUCAAACCUGAUACACAUUUCUUCUUUAGUAGGUACAAUGUCUCGGGCAUAUUUGCUGAGGUAAACAAAUUCUCUUUCGUAUUCAGCCACUGAUUUAUUUCCCUGGCGUAGGUCGAGAAAUUCCCUUUUAUUUUUAUCCAAAUACCGUCUGCCCACAUAUUUCUUCUUAAAUUCAUUUUGGAAAAAUUCCCAAUAAAUUUUCUCUGCUGGAACCACAGCCUCAAUCGUCUCCCACCAACUAUAAGCUUCUUCUUUCAAUAGGGACACAGCACAUCUCAAAUAAUCAUCUGGUGAGCAAACCAUUUCUUUAAAAAUUCUUAUCAAACUUUGUAACCAAUAUUCAGCUUUGACGGGAUCUUCAUUAGUCCUUCCUGAAAUUCUUCGGCUCCAAGUUUUUUAAGCUUUUCCAAUAGAGAACGCUUACUAGAUUCAGUCGUUGUAGGAGGUGGAGGAGUAACCGGGGGUACCAUCGAUGGAGCAGUAGGGGGAGGAGGUGGUUCAGCAUGAUUUCUUUCUUGCCUCAUUUCAAUAUACCACUGAUUCAUAAUCUCAUAAAUCAUAUUCUUUAAUUCUUGCUCUCGCAUUUGGGAGAUCGGAACAUCACUGCUUGUUCUUUGUUCAGAAUUAUGUAUUCUACUAUUAACUUAUUCUUACUUAGUUCGUUCAGGUAUAUCUGACAUCUUUAUAACUGGAGAAUAUCUAUAAAAAUAACAAAGAUUAGAUCGGAUCAUACGCAUCACACUAUCACAGAUUUAUAUGGCAUGUAUUUCUAAACACUUUACACUUCACACAUAUUCCGAGAACCGGCUAAACCGGGAUCUGAUACCAAUAAAAUAUAACACCCUUUACCCAAGACCGUUGCCCGAGUCGAGCAUGAGGCGUUACUUGACUUAACUUAAAAGUUCAGGGCAUAAAAAUUUACUUUCAAAAUUAAUUUCACCAUUCACAAUAAAGCUGUCCACCUGCGCAGGAGUCACUAAAUCAAUUAUAACUCAAGCUACGAAACUCAAAAUUUAGAUCCGUAAAUUUUCCCUAAAACUAGACUCAUAUAAAUAUUCACCAUAAAUUUUUAAGAAUUUUUAGUUUAUCCAAUUAGUAUAGUUUAUUAGUUUAAGUCUCCCUUGUUUCACUAAUAGACUACCCUGACCUCUCGUCACUAAAAUUCAAUUAUCUCCUUAUACAGACUUGACAUGGUGCUUCCAAUUAUUUUUACUUAAAAUAUACUCAUUAAGGAAUUUAAAAAUAUAAUUUAUAACUCAUAAUUACUUUUUUACAAUUUUUAUUGAAUUUCUAAAUUCAGAACAGGGGACUUCAAAAUCAUUCUGACCCUGUCUCACUAAAAUUCAAAUAUCUAAAAGUAUAUAACUCUUUUGCUUACUCUAUUGCUUUCAUGUGAAAGUAUACUCAUUCAGAUUUAAUUUCAUAUCUCACUUAACUUAUAAUUCUAUUUCCACUAUUUUUGGUGAUUUUUCACAGUUACAUCAAUGCUGCUGUCCAAAAACUGUUCCAUUGAAAUUUUUAAAAAAAAUUCAAUAUAACCCCUUUAUAAUUAUCUAACCUUCCCUGCAAAUUUCAAAUCACAACCAAUUUCAGUAUUUCACCUACUUCACUUAAAUACUAAUGAAGUUCAACCAAUCAACCAUUUCAAACUAAAAACAUGUAUAGUUCAAUGUCUAACACAACCAUCAUAUUCAAAUUUACUUUGCAUACUUAGUCAUUCAUUCUAUUACUUUUUACUUCAAUUCCCUAUACAUGCCAUAUAAAUCCAAAAAGUUGUUUAACAAAAUCUACCAGAGUAAAUCUAGAUAGUGUGAUUCUUGGUGUAGAUCCGAUCCUCCGAAUGUAUAAAUACGUCAAUCUACAAGAAUCAAUAAACACAUAAUUAAGCUUAUAGAAAGCUUAGUAAGUUCAUAGGCACCAAACAUAAAUCUUACCAAACAUUUAUACACUUAUACAUUAUACACCAUUACUAAGUUUACCUGUCAACCACAAUCUUUGGUGAGUUCCUUGUUAUAAACUCACUACUACUUAUUCUUUUACCAUAAUUCCUUUGGGCCCAUUUGUCACUUACCAUCCUUGAUCAAAAUUAAGGAACGGUUACGGAAAAUUGAGUACUUCACUUUCACUUUGCCAUAGUAUAACUAUGGUCUUACAUAUGAUCACUUAUCACUUGUCCUUGAUAAGAUAAGUGUAGCUAGGCUACCACUUAUCACUUUGUCACUUGAUCAGAUAAUUGUAGCUAAAGCUACCACUUAUCACUUUAUCACCACUUAUCACUUGUUCCUGAUCAGAUAAGUGUAGCUAAAACUACCACUUAUCACUUUGUCACCACUUAUCACUUGUUCCUGAUCAGAUAAGUGUAGCUAAAGCUACCACUUAUCACUUUGUCACUUGAUCAGAUAAGUGUAGCUAAGCUAUCACUUAUCACUUUGUCACUUGAUCAGAAGUACUCAAAUUCGGUGUUCCGCUCAAUUUGAUCAUUUAUUCAGUUUUCACAUUUUUAUUUUAUUCUCAUUUCAUCAAUAAAUAUAUAUAUUUCAGCAUACAUUAUAUAAUUCAUGAAAUUAACAUUUAAUCAUUAAAUUUCAGCCAUAUGAACUUACCUGGGUCGAUUUAUUGAAUUUGUAAAAGUUCAGGGACUAAUCAGCUACUUUUUCUUUUCCUCGACUUGUUUCGGGUUCUCAAUAUGAUUCAAAUAUAUGAAAAACCAGCUUGGAUGGACUCUUCAAUGGCGUUUUUUGCUGAGAAAUAUGAUGAAUUGCCUAGAAACUCUUUUAGUUAAGAUUUUUAUUUGUUAACUUUUACAAAAUUUCCAAUUUUGCCCUUAUUACAUCACUUUUUCAGAUUUUUCUUCUCUUAUGCCGUCUCAACUAUUCCAUAUUAGCAUAUUUAUGCCUUAAGUCCCUCCUUAUUUGCCACUUAAGCUGUUUAAUCACUUUUAACAAAUUUUACAUUAUUUUCAGUUUAGUCCUUUUUAAUUAAUUAACCACCCAAACGUUAGAAUUUUCUAACGAAACUUUAAUAUCAAUUCAAUGACACUCUAUAAAUGUUUCUAAAAAUAUUUAUGGCUCGAUUGAUGAGUUUGAGGUUUCGAUACCUCAUUUUUUAUUCUAAUUAUUUUAAUAUUUAUUCUUAGUAUACUAUUCACUAUUUUAAAAAUUUUCCUAACUUCGCAUUUAACUUAUACUCACUAAAUUAAUAAUAUUUUCUACUCAUUUGUCAGAUUUAGUGAUCUAGAAUUACCAUUCCGACACCACCGAAAAUUCAGGCCAUUACAUUAUGUUUAUUGACUCAUUUUUUCUGUUGACUGAAUUUCAGGUAACUCAUCGACUUAGGCGGGUCGGCAUGGCGAGAGCUCGGUCAUCCUUAUUUAGUAAUUUUCUGUUUAAAUUAAACUUAUGCUAUAGUUGUUUUAUCUUGAAUUACAGAUUGCAAAUUUAUAUUUCUACACUAGUUCAACUAUUUAAACAUUUUCUGACAAUUAAACUUUAAUUAGUUAAAAGUGAGAAUUUCUUAAAUGAUUUGUUGUAGCUUUCCAAGCUUGGUCCUAACAUCUAGGUCGGGUUUGGGGUGUUACAACCCAAAACCCCCAAACUUUCCCCUCAAAACUUUUACUCCCCCACCCUUUCUCUUUCUCGCUCACCCUCCCAAACCCUUUUACUUUUCCCCCAAAACUUUUACUUCCCACUUUUACCCCCAAAUCAAAAAUCAAAAUCCUCCCAAAAAAAUCCUUAAACCUAAAUAGUAAUAAUUUUAUUUAUGGCCACUAUUUAUAUUAUAAAUUAAAUUUCACAUUUUCUAUUAUUUAUAUUAUUAAAUUGUUUAAUCAUUUUGAAUCUUUAUCAAUUUCUGUUAAAACUGUAUCAUUGAUGAUGUCAUACAUUAUUUGUGUUAAAAAUUUCUAUUGGUAUCAAUUUCACAUUUUAUCUUUAAAAUAAAUUUUAUUAAAAAAAUUACUUUUUUACAUUUAAUAUAUUUUUUAAUUUCAAAAUAUAUGGUGACAAGAAUUAGAAGAUAAUUGAAGCAACUAAGCAAGUAAAAAAGCUAACAUGUAUAUAAAAGAUUAAAUAAAUUAUGAAGGGAUGAAAGUUAAUAACACAUUUGAUUACGGUGGACAAAUUUGAUAAUGAUGGGUGACAGUGGCUACAAGGAUCCAAAGUAAUUUUUUCAAUUAACUGGAAACAAAUAUAUUCGAUUCGAUUCGAUAAAAUUUGAAAUCAUUUUAGGAUGAUAAAAUAAGAUUCGUCAACUCGAUUAACUCGAAGUUUUUUCAUUUGAUUCGAUUAGACGCUCACCCCUACAAAGUAUGACCGAUUGGUCUGAUUCUGAAAAAAAUUGGUUUUGAUCAAUGAAAGAACUUUUACGAUGGCGACAGGUCUAACAAACAGGUGAUAUUUUGAAAAGAAAAUUAAUCUCCAUAGUCUCAACCUUAGGAGGGUGAAUUUUGAGCAUUGCAUUUGUUGUCAUUGUUAGACAUUAUAAAGGAAGAAAAAAGAAAGAAAAAAGUUAAAAUGAGGGAAAUUAUUGAAAAAAAGAGAGAAGAGAAUAAUUAAUUUUUUUUAAAAUUUUACAUGUCAAUCUAUUAUUGAUUAGAUUUUUUUAAUGAGUGUAACAUUUUGGUGUUAAAUGGAUAAUAAAAAAAUAUUUUAAGUAUCAUUUAUGAUAAAAAUAUUUAGGUAUCAAUUUGAAAAAAAUAUGUAGCUUAGAUACUAAUUGAUGGGUUAAUUUUUUUAGCUUAAUAAUUUGAUUAAACCGAAAUACCAACUGAAAAAAAGUUUACUCGCCGCUUAUGAAAAAAAAUAAGUAUGAAUUUGUAAGUUAAAUCUCCCUAAAAGAAAAAAUAUAUCACAUUCAAUACGGGGUGAAUGAAGCAAUGAAUGCAAUGGGGUAUUACAACCAGCCACAUGUCAUUCAAUUCAUGUUAUAUCUACCUUGUUGGCCCCACAGGCGGUCUUUUCCAUUAUUUUCGAAGUGAACGACAUGAGUCGGACCUAUAUCGGCCCCAACAAACAACCUCAACCACUUGUUUUGUUAGGUUGUUGACUAAUUUGAAUAUGUCGGCUCAAAGCUUUUUGAAAAUUAAAUUAUUUUUUAUAUUAAUAUCAUAUAGGUAUAAAAAUUUAACGUUUUGUAAAAAAAAUAAAUUUAGUGUUAAAUUUAAAUAAUUAUAAAAAAUUAUACAAAAUACAAAGACAACUUAGAGUCAAUAAAAAAAAUAUGGAAAAUCAAUUCAUACAUGAAAUGGCAUAAAAAUAUUAUGAACACUAUACAAAUAUAUGAAUGUUUUUAUAUCUAUAUAAAAUAAGUUAUUAACGCUUAAAUUUCAACCAAUUAAAUAUUAAUUUAACUAUAAACUAUAAAAAAUUAAAAUUUCAUUUACCCUAAACAAUUAUUCUAAUUUCGCCCCUGUAUAAAAUAGUUGUAAUAUUAAAAAAAAAGUUAUACGAAUAUGGAGUGUUAAAAAAAAAGGCUUUCAACUUUUAAUAUUCCAAACAAAUAAAAGAAAUAAUAAUAACAGUUUACAAGUGCAAUAAAAGUAAUACAUAUUUGAUGAAUUAAAAAUAGAAUAAAUAUAACUAACUAUAACAGAAAUAUAUUUAGAUUUAAACCAAAUUUUUUUGAAGAUGAAAUUUGAACUCACAAAUAAUAUUUAUAAAUGAUGAUAUGUUUUAGAACAUGUAUAUUUUAAUUUCAUUUGAUAUUUAAAUUAAAUGAAUGAAAUGAGUAUAUUAGCAUAAAUAUAUUGAAUUUCUAGAUUUAUUAAAAAUCCAACUAAAUAGAGUAGAUCCAUAAAUUUAAAAAAUGAUUAUGGAUUUUGAAAUAUAAAUCUAAAAUUUAAAAUCUGAAACCCUCCUAAAUGUUUUCCAAAGUAAGGCGGGGAUAAAUGGUAUAGGGAAGACGGUGGGUAGAUAGAUGUACGGUUUAUUUAUAACUUCGUUUUUAUUAGUCGGCUUACAGUUUCAUAAAAAGCAUCCGUGCAAGGCAUGUUCAAAUGCUGCACUAGCAUACCACUACUAUAAAAAAAACACAUACAAGAGCACCACAAAUUUAUCCCAAAAUACAUUAAAUAAAUGACUCCUAAGGGUGCCAGAUUUAACUAGUGUGUCUGGGAUUGUAUUAGCCUCUCUGAGGCCAUGUGAAAAAAUUUAAUGUUAUUGUUAUAUUUCCAUCUCGAUACGUUGCAAGACAUGAAGCAAUCUGUAAACAACUCUCUUUUGGAAGCAGUUUGCAUACGACUCUUCGCUAAGAACCAUUUGUUGUGAUCUUUCGCUUAGGAUUGCUCACAAAUGACCCCCAUGCACCCUAUCUCUCUCCCUCCUUAACUCAUCAUCUUGAACUCUCAUCCUAUUAUAGGUGAAUCGAGACUCUUCUCCUCCACCCUUUCCUCGUUGGUUACUUGUAGCAAAAAAAAUUAAUUUCACCGAAAAUGUUGGAGAGAUCCCAUGGUCUAAGUGUGUUGUUAGAGCAAAGCUCGAUGGCAAAUUUGGAGUCAAAUUUUAGAAUCAACCCUUUAAAAUCCAUUACACCGUAAAGGAAAAUUUUUACAAUUACAUUAACAAUAAAUAUUCAAAAUUUACUCAUCUAUCUAUACUUAUAUUAAGCCUUAUUUGAGUUGGAGUCAAGAGUCAACUAGGUACUAACUCAGUUGAGAAUUUACUAAAUAAUUUUAAUAUAAAGUAAAAAAAAUAUUAAUACGAGGGUGUUUUUAUCUUUUCAUAUUUUUAAAUAAAAAUACUAUAAUAAGAUUUAAACUUAAGUUUAAAAUUUCAAUCAAAACAUCACUUAAAUUUAAAAUAACAUUUUUAUAUAAAAUGUGUUUAGAUUCUAAGAUAAUGAAAUUUAUGAUGAGGUAUUCAAAAUGUGUUUGAAUAUGCUAAUGAGAUAUUCAAAUUGGUAUGCACAUUCCUAAUCAGGGAGCAUUAAUGAUAAUUUAGUAAAAUAAAUUAUCUCAUUAGCAUAUAGUUUAUUAUAAAAUUAUUGUGUAAAAUAAACAAUUCACAAACUUAAGAAUUUAUAACACAAAAAUUAUACAUCAAUGUUGUUAGAAUUGUAUUAUAUCCAUCGGUUGAAUUUAAAUUUAAAAAUUUAAUCAGCGAUAAUAAUUAAAAUCGUUUCAAACUAGUAAAAUAUUGAAAAUUAAGAACUAAUAAAAUAGAUUCUAAUUAUUUUUAUUUAAAAAAUGUUACCUUCUUAUUCAGGUUACAUUAAGACAAACCCAUCUUAAUUAUAAGUAUCAUAUUGUGAAUGGUAAACUUCUUACACAACAUCCACCAUUUGUCCAAAUAUGUUAAAUUAGGUGCAACAUAGAAAUUUUAUUGUAAGGAGUGAAUCUCAUUGUUUUUAUUUUCAUCAAACAUACGUCUAACUUUAUUAUUACGGGAUUAGAACUUAAAUUUGAUAAAUUGUGUGGUUUUAGGUGAUUUCUUUUCGUUAAAUUUAUCUAAAUCAACCUAACACUCGAAAAGUGAGAAUUCUCCUAAAAAUUCUUUAUGUUAGCAAAAAAUAUAGUGGAAGUAACUUGAAACGAAAGAGCAAUGAGAGAAUUGAAAAGACACAAGAAAAUAAUGCAUACAAGGUGUUUGAGUAAAUGCUCUCAAUAAAUUCUUUAACUCAAGAAGGAAUGAAGUACAACCAGUAUCUAGCCCCCCUAAAAUAGAAAAUUUUCCAUUUAUAUACCUUUAUAAUUUAUAAAAUUUAAAAUUUUACUUUCCCAUAAAAUGAUAAAAAAUUGAUUUAUUUCUUUAAAAAUUAUAAAGAUGACUAUUAAAAUAGUAAAAUUGUAUUUUUAUUAUUGUAAAAAUAUACAAUUUAAUUCUGUCUCCCAAAUUUUUUUUUUUUGGUUUCAUCCCUAAGUACAAUGAUCGUUGUAGCAGGAUACAUAGGCAUUCUAGCACAGAAUGCAAAUAUGUUGCCAAUUAACUUCGAGUCAUGGCAUAAAGUGCCCGAGAGUAACAAGAACCAAGCUCUCGAUAACAUUAAGGUAACAAAAUGUGUAUAUCAUUUAUAAUACUUGAGUUUAAGUUUCGUUUACAUUUACUUUCUGAAGUUGUGUUUUUUGUAGGGGAGAUUUGCUCUAGAGGUCUCCGAUGCUUAUGUAAAGAAGGCAUUGGGAAAAAGAUGGAGAGACCAUAAGAGCACUUUAAAGAAAGACUAUUUUAAGACAAAAACAACACUCGACGAGAGAUUACAAAAUGUCACGCCGGGAAUGCUGAGGUACCAGUGGGAAGAAGUCGUUAGAUUUUGGACUUCGAAGAAAGGAGAGGUAUGUGUUACUACAAAAAUCUUGUAAUUAUUUUGGUUUAUAGUAUUUACUAAUUAACGUACUAAUAAUUUCAUAACGUAGGAUCGUGAACGAGUUGGAACAAGUAGUAGGCAGAAACAAAAAUUCACGCACACAGCUGGGUCGAGAAGUUUUGCGUGUGUAGCUCAGGCCGAGGUAUUUUGAAUUUUUUAAUACUGGCAGAUAUUUAUUACUUUCUAUCAAAUAAUAUUUUUACUAUUGUAUUGUAGGAAGUGUUGUCGGGUCAAAAAGUUGGACGCCUUCAACUUUUUGACAUUACACAUAGGAAGAAAGAUGGAAACCCUAUGACUCCUGAAGCUGCAGAAAUUAUGGUACGUUUGCUUAAUACAAUUUGACUUGUUUUAAUUAUUUAUGCUGUUUAUUUUCUAAUGUUUUUUAUUACAUUUCUUGUAAUGCAAAUAUUGUUAAGUUAUGUUGCAUUUGUUUUGUUAAUAUAUGUUGCGUUCUUAACUAUGUGAUUUAUUUUUUAGGAAAAACUGAAGGAUAAAAAGGCGGAGUACGAAGCGAUUGCUUCCAGUGAUAGUUCUGUUCAUAUUGACGACAUUGAUAACCGGAUUAUCACUGAAGUUUUGGGUCCUGAAAGGUAUGGUCGGGUUCGAUUUCAAGGAUCUUUUGUUAACCCAUCCCAAUAUUUUGGAUCCAGCUCGCAACAAUACAUGCAUUCGGGGAGUCAGGCUCAAGCUGAAGUUCAGAGGUUAAGAGACCAGAUAGCUCAGAUGCAAGCGGCAACGAGUGAGCAAAUUACACAACUUAAAGCGGAGGCAACAUCGAGAGAAGCUGAGGUUCAAAAAAGAUAUGAAGAACUCCAGCUACAACUUAAAGCAGAUGCGGCAGCGAGAGAAGCAGAGGUAGCAGCGAGAGAAGCUGAGGUUCAACGAAAGUAUGAGCAACUGCAGCAGCAGCUUAAAGAAGAUGCGGCAACGAGAGAAGCAGCGGCUGCAGCGAGGGAAGUAGAGGCUGCAGUGAGGGAAUCAGAACAGCAUAAAAAGUUCGAUGAACUCCAGCAGCAGCUUCAGAAUAUGAUGAAGAUGUUUCAGCAGUCGCAACCGCCGUCAUCUUAGACUAUCGUUUAAAUAUACUUCAAUUUUGACUUUGGUAUUAUUAUUUUAACUUUUACAAUUUCUGUCAGAAUAAUACGAAUUUUAUUUUAUUUAUUGACAUUUAUUUUAAAUAUUAUAUAGAUUUGGUUAGAUUUGGUUGGUUGGAUUUGGUUUCUUCUGAUUUGUUUUUAUAGGAGGGGGCUGAAAUUUUUUUUUUCAAAUCUGCAAAAAUUAGCGGCGUUUUUUUGGAUAAGCGCCGCUAAAGACCAUCGUCUAUAGUGGAAUUUUUUGGCUAAGCGCCGCUAAAGACCAUGGUCUAUAGUGGCAUUUUUCGGCUAAGCACCGCUAAAGACCAUGGUCUAUAGUGGCGUUUUUUGUCUAAGCGCCGCUAAAGACCAUGGUGUAUAGUGGCAUUUUAUGGCUAAGCGCCGCUAAAGACCAUGGUGUAUAGUGGCGUUUUUUGGCUAAGCGCCGCUAAAGACCAUGGUCUAUAGUGGCGUUUUUUGUCUAAGCCCCGCUGAAAACCAUGGUCUAUAGUGGCGUUUUUUGGCUAAGCGUCGCUAAAGACCAUGGUCUAUAGUGGCGUUUUGUGGCUAAGCGCCGCUAAAGACCAUGAUCUAUAGUGGCAUUUUUCGGCUAAGCGCCGCUAAAGACCAUGGUCUAUAGUGGUGUUUUUUAGGCUAAGCGCCGCUAAAGACCAUGGUCUAUAGCGGCGUUGCAAAGAAAACGCCGCUAAAGACCAUGGUCUAUAGUGGCGUUUUUUAGGCUAAGCGCCGCUAAAGACCAUGGUCUAUAGCGGCGUUGCAAAGAAAAUGCUGCGAAAGGUCUUGAUCUUUAGCGGUGUUUAUUAUAAAAAGCGCCGCUAAAGUUACCGACGCUGUCAUUAGCGGCGAUCCUUGCGGCGCUUCGUAAAGCGCCGCUAAAAGUAUUUGCGGCGCUAAAAAAUGCCGCUAUAGACCUAAAAAAGCGCCGCUAAAACCCUGUUUUGGUGUAGUGUGAGAUGAUUACAAAUGAAGGGGGAGAUCUCUAUUUAUAGUUGAGCUCCCCUAGAUCCAAUAGUAUAGAUUGAAUUACAUCAACGAUUGAGAUUAGUACUUAUCUACAAGAUGAGUCUUAAGGAUUUUAAACUCUAUACAUCUUUAUCCCUUAGGAUUUACAUUAAUUACUCUGGUAACUCUAGUUUUACUGGAGAGUUUCACUGAACCACCAAAGGUUUAAGUAGAUGAGCUUCUCCAUAUGUUCCACGAGUUGGACAAGUUCAAGCGGAUCAAAUGAGCCCAAUUUAAUUAGUUAAUCUCAAUAAAACGUUCUAUGCACAAUGAUCAUGAACUUUGAUCCACAUCUCAAAAUGAUCAGAUGAAUAAUCUCUCUUAAUUAUAUUUUUAUAAAACUUGAUAUUUUCAUUUAAAAAGAAACACAAUCACAUAUAAUAAUGUCUCCAAAAGAGUCGUCCACUUCAAAGAUUUAAAGUAAUGUAAGAAUGAACCCAACAUUUUUCAAUUAAAAAUAUGUCGAUAGAUAUAGCAAGUUGUAUAACCUUUCAAUUACAAAACAGAUUUCAAUGGGGAUUGCAUCCGGUACAUGCAACUAAAGAACAGAACCGGUGCAUAAAUUGAUUUAAUUAAACUUUGGGUUGAGUAAUCAUGAUUUUCAUUAUUAUUAGACUACGUGAAUGUUGAUAUAAAAUGCUUGAGAGAAGGGUAUAGAAGAAACACAAAAUAAUGAGUGAUAUUAAUUUGUAGAUAAAGAUAAUAUUACAUAGUCGCAAAAAGCGACCUAGUACACAACGCACAACUCUAAAUUAGGAUAACUCCUCUGCUAUCCCUAUGGAUGGAUUUUAACAUCCAUAUUUAUUCUGUAGCUAUCGUUAUUUUGGCUUCCACUAGCUGGUGAACUUUCCAUGCCAAAACUUCACUUAACCCUGCAAAUGAAACAACAAAAAACACAACAUUAAAUGUUGAGCAAUUAAUAAGCAUAAGCAAUGAAACAACUCAUACGAACCUGCUGCAGUCAGUGCUAGGGCUGAUCUUGUAAGGGAUGUUGACACCGCACUUGCCUGGGAGUCCGCUUGCAAUACCAUAGUUGAUGCCAGGAAUGCCGGCGGCCGCACUUUUGAUGCAUUUGCAAGCUGCUUGCCGGUCUGGUGUUGUUUGGGCGGCGGAGUUGAGAGAUUUGAUGCCGCUGCAGCAACCUUGGGGAACGGCACCAGCACCAUUCCCUCUCAAGUAAUUAAUGCAGGGUGCGAGGGAGCCUGUGACUUGACCACAGGUUACGGUCCCUUGAGCCAGGGGUGCACCCACCACCAUGCACAACACCACCACACAUGCAAGCUUAAGGGACAUUGAGCUAGCCAUAUCGAUUAAUUACAAGAAAAACAAACUUGUAAGGAAAAUGCUUGCUUGGAGUAGUAGUAGUAUUGCUGAUUGUUGCGUGGUUAGGGCCCGAGGGUAGGAGGGUUUUUAUAGCCAAAAGUUUUGUGAAGGGAUAUGGAACGAACUGAGAAACACGUACGAAUAGAAUAUGGUUAGGCGUUGGUAGUUGUCCCAAUUCAAUGCCAAGGUUUCUUUUUUUCUUUUUCAUGUUUCAGCUUAUGGUUGAGUGUGUUUAAUGCUUUGAAAAAGGUUUGUAUCUACCACUUUCAUCUUCAUCACUAAUGCUGAAUUACUCCGUUGAUUAAUGCAUCAUAUUAGCCUUGUCCUAGUGUUACCGGUUUUCUGAUAUUAGUAGCUUUACCAAUAAAAGAUGCUAUCAAAUAUAGUUUUCAGGAUGAUAUUAAAAAUUAAGGUUUUUUAGUUACAAAUAAAAUUGUCACAUUAUCAAAUUUUAAAGAUAUGAAAUUAUUAUUAUAAACUCAUCUAUAGAGAAAUUAUUUUAUGAGCCCUUUCCACCACAUUAUUCACAGUCCAUUUUCAAUUAUUUAAUAAUAUUUCAACAAUAUUUUUCAUGUCAUUGACACAUAAUUUUAAUAAAUUUUUUACCCUGAACCUUGAGUCUAGAAUCCCAAACCCUAAAUAAAAAACUUAAAACCCCAAACUAUAACCCCAAACACUUGCAUCAUAAACUCGAACCGCGAACCUCAAACUCAUAAUCUGUAACCUUGAACCCAAACUUGUAAUCUCGAACCCUUGAACCCUUGAACCCUGAACCUAAACCUUGAACCCUGAACUCAAAGCCCAAAACCAAAACUGAACCCUGAACCUUAAAUCUCAAACCCAAACCUUAAACCUCGAGGUUUGGGUUCAAGGUUCAAGGUUCAGGGUUUGAGUUCAAGGUUCGAGGUUUAGGAUAAAAUAAUUACCAAAAUUUGUAACAGAAUAAAAGAGUUCGUUUAUAAUUUAAAAAGCAAUUAUUUUAAGUAAUUUAAUUAAAGUGAAAUUAAGUUAGAGAAAAUAUUAGAUAUAGAUGAGUGUAUAAUAAUACUUUAUUGUCUUUAAAAUUUAAUGACGUGGUACUAUUUUAUUGGUGCCUCAAACUAUACUUUUUAGAAUAAUCCUAAUACAAUUUAUUCCCAUAUUAAAUACGUAUGCUUUCUAUAUUUUUUCGAAAAAAUAAAUUUUAUUCAUAAACUUUCUAUAUAUAAAUAUAUGUUUUAUUUAAAAUUUAUAAAUACAGAAAAAUUAAAAUAUAAAUAUAUGUCAAAGUAGCUAUUAAGUGUAGAAUUAAACAAUUAUAACAUAUAAAUAGAUUAAAAAUUAGGACAAAAAAUCAAUCUAUUACAUAAAAUAUAAAUUAUGAAUGAAAACAAUCUAAAUUAUAGUCUGGCUAAUCAAACUAAAACUUACAUAUAACCAUAUGACUUUAAGGGUCUUGAAUAUGGUUACUUAAAAGCUUAUAGUUCAGCUUUUACCCACUACGUCAAGGCUUCAUUUACGUUUUUUUUAACCAUAUAUUUUUCAUAUAAUUAUAUAUAUAUAUUUUGCAUAAAAAAUCCCCAAGACGUUAAUUACUUCUAUAUAAUGUAGCGAUUAAGUCCUCAAACAAAAAUUGCUCAACAUCAAUGCAUGUAUAGAUCAAUUUUAUAUAUCAAAGACCAAUACUAUCUUUUUCUUAAAAAAAAAAAAAAACCAAUAUGUUGUGAUUGCUUAGCUAUUGUUCCUAAGUCUUCCUGAAAAAGGUUUCACAGCGAGAGGAGAAAAAAAAAAGUUGAACUUGUCUUGGUUUGCCCCAUAAUGAUUGAAGCAUAGACAAGAUUAUAAAUGUUAAUUUAGUAUACGACAUAAUAAUAUAAUAUAAUAUAUUUAAAUGUAUAUCUCCUCACCUCCUAGACGCUGUCAGUUAUUUUAUUUUUUGGGAUUCUUUUAACAAAAGGUUGAGCUUUUUAUUAGGUUUUAUUUGAUUUUUCAUUUAUUAAUAUAAUUUUUUUAUUUUUAUAUAUUUUAGUUAUUAUUAAUUUUUGUUGGAAAUUUGUACGGUCUUGUUCUAACAACAAUUACAACAAGCUUUUUGGAACAAUCAAAAGUUUUGGGUGUUGGCAUGUUUGACUUUUAAUGGCUUAUGUUUUAAUAUUAGUUAACAACAAAUGAUAAGAGAAUUUCAUGGUAAAUUAGAAUAUAAUUAUCAUCCAUUUGAUUAGUCUUGAAGAGGAAGGAGAGGAGUUUUAACUUUGGUGGACACCCAUCCUUAUCCUUGUCUUUUAGAGUGUUUGAAGCUAUUGGAGAACUUGGUUUUAAAGAUUUUAUUUGAUAAAUAUUCAAAAUAAUUAAUUUGAUAAUUUCAACUUUUAAAGGAGAGUUUAAAACUUAUCAAAAUAUUAUUUGAUAAACACUUGUAGAGGCGUAUAAAUAGGCAACAGUGUGGUGUAACUUUGUUUGUUGUUUUGGAGUGUCUUAAACUUUUAUUUUUUUGCUAUUCCAUUGGGUAACUUUAUGACACUCUCUUUUUAGGUAUUAUUUGGAGAUGUUUAGUAAUUGUAUUGUGAGGAAUUUGAGUGAGUGAUUGCAUUGAAGAAAUGCGACCUAAAUGUAUAUGUUAAACUCUUAUCUAGGACAUAAAUUCCAUGAACAAGGUACCCAUGUUAAUAACAUGUCACCACUUCGCAUCUUUAUGGUAUUGACCCUAUGUAGUUAGACCCUAUAUGACGUAAACAACACUUAUAGUGUGCACGAUAUCGUAGGCUUGAACGUUGAUUGAAUGCAACCUAUAUUUUGGUGCCUUUGUCGGAAAUGAUGUAUGCAUCGGGUUGCGGUACAAAUGCCUUCUCAGGUUAGUUAAGAAGAAAUCCCAUUCAUCAUUGGAUUCUUCAGGAGUUAUUACAAAAGCUAUUGGCAGGAUUUUUAGGUUACCAUCUUAUGCAACAACUACUAACAACCGAUGGUCGCAUAUUCUAUACAGGAAUGUGCCGUUAAUUUGGAAAAGUGGCUUACAGUACCAAAAUGUAGUUCUGCAUUGCUUAAAAGUCCAAAAGCAACGGUGGAAAACUCCUUUUCCAGGGACCAAGCAAUCGUCAUAAUACGCAGGCUCCAUUUUUAACUUGGUUACAGAACCUAGUAUGUACCACUCUAGUAUCUAACACCAUUGCCACAAUUUAUAGUAGGAUUUCUCCCACCCUCUAUUCAUUUUCUCCAAUGCCUUCUAUUUUUGCAACUAUGUCUUAUGCUAGGACAUGGUGUAAUCGGAUUCUCUACAGAUGUGUGCGAUCAAAAUUGGGACCAGAAUCGUAGGACUUGCUUUUGCCAUGGGUAAUAGAAUUUUAGAUAUCAUGUCUAAAUCUAAUUUUGGAUGAUCAUUCGAUAUGCUUGAAAAACAAGAAAUCAAGUCACUAUGUGUAAUAGAAUGUAAAAAAAGGCUAGGAUUCGAGUCGAUGUUGUUAGCCAUAUUACAUACCAGCUACAACACAUGUAUGUGGCACGAUAAAUUUCCUACGUUUAAAAUGCCAACUUCUUCGUCAUAAAUGCCAUGAUUUUCCAUAGACAUCUUGUUGCACGCAUUGUGCGCAUCGCCUUAUAUUUCUCGGAUUGAGAGCAUGUAAUAGUGAAGUUGACACCAAGUUGUAUGCUAUACUACUUGAUUGUAGCUACAAAAGCAUAUUUGGAGUCAAAUUCCAUCCCAACCUCUAAGUGGUCGAAAUUUGUUGAUGAAGUCGCAUACCUUAGUCUUCUACGGGGGAGGUCUGGGAAUUCUAAAACCACUUUCACUAGUAAGACUGAGAGUACGCAUAUGGGGUGGGGGUUUGUAUUUCGUGAAACUUAGGUCAUCCCCUCGAGCGAUGUCUAAAGCUUGACCAUUAGAUCCAUCGUCUUCUAGUUCAGUAGGAAUGGGAUCUAGUUCUAAAAUUACUACAAUUUCGCACCAUCCAGUCCAACCACCUCUCCUGGGUCAUUAUCUGAUUUAGACCCCUCUUUGACCACUUUGUUCUCUUGUCCCUCUUUGUUAUCAACCCUGGUUGUAAGUCCAGGGUUGGAUGUACCCUCUCUGGUCAAAGUUGUCAAGAGUAGAUCAUUCAUUCUUGUAAAUCCGAUGUCAAUCCCAAAAUCAAUUCUGUUUGGCCUACCCAGUAACUUGAUGGUGUACCAUAUGAGUGUUAUCGAGGUUGAACAUAGGUGUGUCAAAGUUGAAACCAAAGGCACUGAUAGAAUGUUGUGCGGCUGUGUUGUAGGCCUGGUGACCGAAUACGUCUAACUAUCCCCCGAAGUUGAAAUCGAGGGAUGAAAUCGAUGAAUGCCUCACCAUUGAUGAUGUUAAUAAUGUGUCUUUGUAUAAGCUUUGUAGAAAUGAUCUGAAUCCACAACAAAACCGUGUGGCCAGACUUUUUGCUUCUUGAUUUGGCUAGAAAUUUGGCGGACACGGUAUAAUCGAGCUUGGGCCACCUUUUUCCUCUUCAGCAAAGACUGUAUAUUCUCACUAGAGUAAUGAGUUUCGAUCACUGUCUUCAAACCGUUGUCCCCUGUGAUCUGAAAAAUGGAAUAUCUAACGGGGUUAAAUGAUGUUAGAUAUCUACAUUUCAGGCUCAAAAUUCUUCUUCAGAUCCCUACUUUAUGCCUAAACCUUGUUCAAAGCUCUUUUAACGUUAUGCUCUAGUUGAAUGUCAGAUCUUUAGAUUGGGUUGAUACAAAAAUGGGCUCAAUUUCAGCCUCACAAUUUUGACCGUUGUAAUGGACAAUAGCUCUGGCUCGUCUCCUCAUCUUGAACCAAAUAUUCUAUUCCACAUGUUUAAAAUCGAGAAAAUUGUAAAAAUAUAGUUCUCAUCACCCAAAUCCCUAAAUUUACACUUACUUUAAUGAAAUACCUUUGCUUCGACAAUAUUGUCAGUAUAAAAUUUUUGUUUUUUACUACAACAUCGAUAACUCCUAAUGCCAACAAUCUGCUUCAAACAUCUGUAUGGAAAAUCCAAGAAUUAUAUUGAGUUUUUUUAUAGAGCCUUUUCCUCGACGCACAUGAAACGAUUCUAGCAACAACACAUGUCAAGGCAUUAGUUGUUUUUGAGGUAUACACUAAAAAUUAAAAUUUGUGGGGGAGAAAACGUUCCCCGCAACGAUGUUUUUCAGCACCUAGACAUAGCAUUGAAAUUUAUCCUAGGAAUCCCGGGUUGUAGGGGCUUAGAGGUUGAAGCAAUCAAGUUGGCUUGGGUAUUGAAAGACCAUAAAGAAAAUGCCUAUUGCAGGAAGCAUUUCCACCUGACUUGGCAAUCAAAAUGCCUCCUGCAGGACGCGUUUUCCAGCCACAUCUCUGAUAUGUUAGUCGAAAACGCAUCUUGCAAGAGGCGUUUGUACUGCCAUGUUAGGUAAAAACACUUCCUGCAGGGAACAUUUUCUUUAUGGCCAUUUCAACACCCAGGCCAACUUAAUUGCUUCUGCCUCUGAGCCCUUACAACACGGGAUUCUCGGGAUAAAAAAAUUUCCCUUUUUACCCCACCCCAUCCCUUAUAUAAAUGCAUGUUCUCAUCCCCUACUCACCCAUAUCUCAGUCUCCUUUAAAUUAUUUUUUUCUUUUUCUUCCGUGUUGAAAUUUUCAAGUUUAAAGAUUUAUUUCUCUCACACUUUGAGGGGGAUGUAAUCAUAGUUUUAAGUUGUGUUUGAGUUCACAAUAAUGUCGUGGCGCUUGAUAACUUACAAAUUUCACUUGUCGUGUGAGUAUGGAGCCAUCACUUGAGAAAUCGAGAUCGCUUUGCAACUCGAGGUCCAAGUUGACGGUGUAAAUAAGGCUUCAAGUUUACAAAGGUUAUGCUAUUAAAAGGAUGGAGCAAAACCGGGACUGUAGUUGAUGAUGGUGAUGCAAGCACAAGAACUAGUUUUUCCUCAUUGGAAGAGCAUACUUUAUAAAAUCCAUAUACAAGUACGAGGGAGAAAAUCACAGGGGUCUUCCAGUAUAAUCAAGUAAUUCAUUUUAUCCUUUUCCAGCAAAGGCAAUGACCCUGUUACUAAAACCUAUUACAUCCCAAUUCUAUCAUAGGUAAUAGUAACGGUGUCACUGUCUUUGGUGGAGAUGGAUAAAAAAAUUUACUUAAUUAUACUGAGAUACCAUUGCAUUUUUCUUCCUCGUACUUGUGUAUGAGUUUUAUAAAGCAUCAUUUUCUAAUGAAAAAAGUUUUUUGUCGUGCCCGCAUAACCAUUGUAAAUUACAGCUCCAAUCAUACUCCGUCCUUUGAUAGCGUAACAUUUUGUAAACUUGAAGCUCUAGUUACACUUCAAUUUCAGACCGUAUAAUCACCCUUAACUGGGACCAUGAGUUGCAAUGCGAUCUGGCUUCUCGGGUGAUGGCUCCAUACUCACAUGACAAAUGAAAUUUGUAGGUCACCUAACUCCACGACACCACCAUAAAUUCAAACAUUCCUUAAAACUAUAACAGUGUCUAUCUCAAACAAGAAUGAAAAUAAAUGUUCAAACUUCUAAUUUCAAAUUGCAAGAAAAAAAAAAGAAAAAAAUAAAUUUUAGCAAAGUAAAAAUGGGUCCUACCGGCACAUUUUCAUUGCCACAUCAAUGAAAAUACACCUCGUACGACACGUUAUUCUUUCUUCGUAAACAAUGUAAAUCAAUAAAUUUAAAAAAAAAUUAUACAUUCUCAAAUAACUCUUUUUUUCAGCAUUUUUGUUAAAUUUAUCCCAUAAUACUGCUACUUCUUGUUUCCUGGGUUAUUUUUAUUACUGCUGGUUGUACCACCCUCCUACUGUGCGCCGGUUAUAGCAACUCACUCAAGAUUCUAAAUACUAAUAUAAACACCAUUUCUUUUAUUCUUAGUUUUUUUAGUGAUUAACGUGGUUUUAAUUAUCGUUAGAUCACGUGGGUGUUUAUAUGAAAUGCUUGAAAUCGUCACGCAGGACAAAAAAAAAAAAGAAAAAGAAAAGGAAAUGAAGAGUAUAUAUAUAGAGGAAACAACUAGUGAGAGUGAUAUUAAUAUUUAGAGUAGGUAAAGAUAGUAUUAUAUAGUCGCAUAUGCGACCUUGUACAUUACCACUAACUCUAAAACUAGGAUAACUCCAACAAUGAAUAGUACCGCUAUGGAUUUUUAACAUUCAUUUUUAUUCUGUCGACAUCACUAUUUCCCUUCCAUUAGCUGAUCCCAACUUCCAUGACCACACUUCACUUAAUGCUGCAAAUGCAACCACACCAAACAAAACAUUCAUAAAUUAAUAAAUCAAUUGCCAUAAGCGAUAAACUUUGGGUCAUUUUCUUUUUCCGUAAUUUCAAAGAAACCUAGUUUAAAUUAGAUACGAACCUUUUGCAGUCAGUGGAAGGGCUGAUCUUGUAAGGGAUGUUGAUACCGCACUUGCCUGGGAGUCCGGCUGCAGUGCUAUAGUUGAUGCCAGAAAUGCCGGUGGCCGCACUUUUGAUGCAGCUGCAAGCUGCUUGCCGGUCUGGUGUUGUUUUGGCGGCAGAGUUGAGAGAUCUGAUGCCGUUGCAGCAAGCUGGGGGAGCAGAACCAGCACCAUUCCCUUUCAAGUAAGCAAUGCAGGGUGCGAGGGCGCUUGUGAUUUGACCACAACUUAUGGCCCCUUGAGCCAGGGGUGCACCCACCACCAUGCAAAACACCACCACACAUGUAAGCUUAAGGGACAUUGAGCUAGCCAUAUCAAUUAGUCACAAGAAAACAAACUUGUAAGGAAAAUGCUCGCUUGGAGUAG
rnacentral:lncRNA from 1 species